ACCUGAUCACGAAGAAUCCCAAGCAAAGUUUCCCUCUCAUUUUCCAUCAAAUCAUGUGAAGUGCCAAAUUGAAGAGCAGCUCUUGCAACGCAAGAAUUGUCACUUUGAUUCUCCGCUCCAUACUUGCAACAAUCUUCGGCCAACUUUCUCGCUACAAUAUUUGAAUACAAAAAUAUUGUACACAAGAACUAGUCAAGAAAAUUAAAAAAAAAAUCAAAUAUUAAAACGAGAGCAAGAGCAAACAAACAACCUAUUUCCAUUUGUUUCAAGUUUACUGCAACAAACACUUCAACGCCACGGACAACAUUCCAUUUGUUUUAUUCUUCUUAUACUUUACGCUUGCAUCAGCCUCAAUCACUUCUUAAUCGCUUGCUUUAACUGCAUCGCUCUCUCUGUGCUCUUCUAUAUAUGUAACGGUUAUGCGGUUGUAGUUCACGGCUGAGGCUACGUGUGGGUUUGACGUGGCAGUUACGUUACAAGGGGAUAAAUAAGAUUGGUUACAACAAACCCACUAAUUUUAUAAAAUUCGAGUAAUAUAGAAUAAAAUAAAAAAAUAAAUACAAAAUUGGCUUUUAUUUUGUAUGGUUGACUGUAUUUUGUGUUCUCUUCCGGCACUACUACAAUUGUUCCCUAUAUAUUAGUCACACCCAUAUAUCAUUAACACAAGAAAUGAAAUCUAAUGUCACCUACUUAGUUAAAGAAUCACUCAUGAAAAAUUUUUACCAUUUUGAUUUGAGGAUCCAUAUUUUGAACUGCAAGCUAAUGUUCAUCAAGAAUCACUGAUGUUCAUAAAAAUCAGAGUAUGGCCGUUGAGUAGAAAAAUUAUUUUUGGACAAAUUAUUUUUGUUGAUAGAAUCUGCCACUUUCUCAUGAAGAAAGGCAUGCGGAGCAUACCAUGGUACCAUACGGAGAAUGUUAGAACCACCCUAGAAUAUCUUUACCCUGAUGUUUCUAACAAAAAUCUGCAUGUGGCAGCAAUUACUAGAUCUACAAUUUCCCAAAUAAUAUUUUGUGUUUCUUAAAAAAAAUUGAAAUACAUAGUUGCAAUUGCACACCGUGAGACAGUGCUACAAUCUACUGAGAUCUAAAUUAUAUGAGACUUUAAGCUACUAAUGUUUGCAUAUUUCUACAUGUCAAAUUAACAUUACCAUCUAUAAUCCGAAACGACAGAUGAUAAACGGCUUUUGGCCACUUAUUACUAGCAUCCACAAUUAAUUUUUGUUCAGCAAUCAGCUUAUUUUAUAGAAAUUGAUUUAGUCAGCAACAAACACUAUAAUACUUGAAAUUAGUUCUUGUUCUUUGUAAUUUUCUAUGAUUUUUCAUAUAUCAAUUAAUCUGCAGUGCCAAGAUGAGGUUUAGUUUUCAAACUAAAUAAUCAAGUAAGCAAAAAUACAAAUUCAGAGAUUAGCGGGGUAAACUAGCUGGGUGGUUUAGAACUGGGCUAGCUACCUCCCUGUAUUCCUAUUUGUAAGGUGAAUUAAUUGAAUCAUGAGAAAACAAUGUGACCAUAGCUCAAUAUGAGAUGAUUUCGGAGAGGCAUAUUGUUUUCGAGUGAAUUUGAUCCAUUAAGAGAUGAAGUGGAUUGAAGUGGAAAGUUUAAAUAACAAAUCCUUGUUCUUGAGUUUUACGACGUCGUUACUCCUUCAGGUGGCAGAUUAUGCAAGUGAAUUCAAAAACACAAUGCAUCAAUCACGGGGACAAAAGACGGGAUCACAGUCUAUGCAUUGAACAGUUACAGUUGCUGCUACCAAUUGUUCGGCAAAGAUCAAGAAGACUGAACGGGAAGCUAAUGCCAUCAAUGUCGUCUUCACUAUAUCUGCUGGGAAUGUAGGUGAACUUUCCUCAUUUGCAGCUGUCUAUACAUAGGCUUUUCCCCAGCUUAAGUACAAAUAAAUGAAGCUGCCUUGAAGGCUUUAUUAUUGACCCCAAUAAGGAUUACUAAUUGAAGAAGACUAUACGGAGUUAAUCUCACAUUUUAGUUCUCUCAAUUUCUUUCAGAAGUGCCUCUGAAAAUAGCUGCCAAACCGUUAGUCAGCUUGUAUACUCUGUUUUCUGGAAACAGAGUAGCAUAUUUAAUCGUUUUAAUUGAAUUGUCUUCGUAGCGAUCAUCAACAAACUCAUCAUAAGAUUUUUGAAGCACCCAAGGACUAUCACUGGGUUUCUCUUCUGGUUGAUUUAUUAAUUAAUCAAAGAACGGUUGGAUGAAGUGCAAUGAUGGAGCAAAAUUUACAAUGUCUCCGGUUUCUCCUGACCAUCGGACUUUUGCAGUGAGAACAUAUAACAAAAAGACCUUCAUCAAAAUUUGUAGACUCCGGGUAUGGAUUGGAUCGAGUUUUUUGUUUGAUAUUGAAGAACCACUUUACUAUCGCGAUAUAGAUUAUGUGCAAGGGGUUGUCUACUGUUCUUUGCCUUGUGCUAUGAUCGGUGCUUUUGACGUUGCCCCGAAACAGUGGAAAAUACUUCGAUUUCCUCCGUUUGAUGAUGCAAAGAACUGGUUAAUGUACGAUUACCUAAUUGACUCAGGAUCAAGUAACAACAACAAUUUAUUAAUAGUAGUAUCACAAACGAAGAAGAUUUCGGAGAGGGUGAUGUAUGCCUAUACCGUUUACAGGUUUGAUCCACAGGGGAUGAAGUGGUCUCAAGUGGAAAGUGAUUUAUUAAACAACAAAUCAUUGUUCUUGGGUCAUACCUCAUGAUGUCAUCAAGUGGAAGAUGAAGAUUAUGCAAGACGAAGAUCGUUUGAUAUUGAAGAAUUUGAACAGAAAGCCCAUAGAAAGUACUUAAAUAAGCAUAUUCUUGUUGGGGUAGAAUAUUAAGAAAGGAGUUGUCUACUGUGUGUUGCGUGAUUAGGCUAUGAUCUGUGCUUUGAACAUUGCCCUCAAAACAGUGGAAAAUACUUCAUAUCCUCGACAUGAUGAUGAAAAAUUGGUUACCGAUUACCUAAUUGACUCAGUGACAACAAUCUAUUAAUAGCACAAUUUGGCGUGAUGCCGUUUAGGUAUAUGGUUUUCAAGUUUGAUUCAUCAGUGAUGAAGUGGACUAAAAUAAGAUGUUUAAAUGAUAAGUCAUUGUUCUUGGGCAUAUCGUCAUUACUACUUCUAGUGAUCAAAGAUGAAGAUGAAGAUGAAGAUGAAGAUGAAAAUUGUGCGAGUUCAAGAUUACCAUCAACUCAAUUUUAUGAUUGGAGUGUCUCACCGUGACUCAGACAAAUUCUGAUUCAACCUCCUUCACCAAUGGAUUUUGAUUAGUUAUUUUGUGAUCAAGCAACUUAAUUAAACUCACAGUUUGUUAGUCUAAUUUUAGUUUUACUGUGACCACUAUUCAAGGUAAGCGAAAGUUACAGAUGUGGCAAAAUCAAUAAUUAAAUUCAUAAAAUGUUAAAAAAUAAAACUUAUAAAUUUUGCAUGACUACUUACUAAUAAAUAAAUAAGUUAGAAUGUAGUUAGUUAAUUUUACACCAUAUUAUAUAUUAUUCGAUAAUAAUAUAAAAUAAAAAGAAUUAAAAAAUAAAUAAUUGAAUAAACAAAUAUGACUUUCUAAACAGUAAAAAUUCUAGAGUUAAAAUUUAUAUUAUUAUUUUAUUUUUUAAAAUUGACAUAUUUCUAUUAUCUUACAUGUACACAGAUUUUGAGAGUUGAGAAGAAUAUAUUUAAUGAAGCUUGCUAACAUUUGGUGGGAUAGCAAGUAAGGGUAAAUAAGAUUUUUUUGUUAUUUAUUUGAAUUAUAUCUAUUUUGUUCAAGUUAAAAUACUAAAUAUAAAUUGGAGGUAGACAUUUUAACAGAUCAUCUAAGCUCUCAAAUCUGAAAUUUUGUGUAGAUUUAAAUUCAUAAUUUUAGUUAAUUUUCAUACAUUCAUAUAAACAAAUUUAUGAGAUUUUUCUUUUCAGCAUGUUAUAUUUUGAAACUUUCAAUGUAUUAUUCUAGCUUUAUUUAAAUAAUUAAUUUAUUUAAAAUUUAUUUAAUUUUGAAUUUGAUCAAUAGUAAAAUUAUUUUUAUAUCAAAUUUUUUUAUUUAAAUAGUUCGUGGAUUGGACAAAAUUAAAAAUUUUUAAUCCACAAAAUGGUGGAUUAGAUAUGAAUUGGGUUAAAUACACAUUCGAUCCGCAGUCGUAUGAAUUUGAUUUGGAUUGAAUUUCAUCAAUCCAUGGAUUAGAUUGGAUUGAAAAAUUUAUUAUCCGCAAAAUCGUGGAUCGAAUAUGGACUGAUGUCCAAUCAGCAAAAUCCAAUCCCCGAACACUCCUCUAUCAAAAUUUUCAAGAAUAUUUUUUAUCUUACAAAUUUUUUUUAAAGUCAUAGUCUAAGGGCGGCCCAAUUUCUACUCCAUCCAUAUAAGCGGAGUUCAAAUCUCAUACCUCUUAUCUCCACACAAGAGAUUUAACCAAUUGAAAUAGCUAGCACCCACAAGUAUACUAGUACAGCAUCUCUUAACGUUUAACAUACGUAAAAUUAACGCCAUAGCUAUUGAUAAACACAUUGUUCAAUAUAUAUGAUCAAGAAUCUGAUCCUGCGAGCAACAGCAGUCAGAAGAACCAUUAUAAUGCCUAGCUCUUAUCCUGGUUAAUCCUCUGGCCCGAUGCUUCAUCAUAGUGAUUUAAAAAACCAACAACAGCUCUCUAAAAGAGAUGAAGAUAUCAUCUACGUAAAGAACAUGAGACGGAGAUUCACAACCCAUAAGAACUGAGAUAAAUUGGACCAGACCAGUAAUCUUGAGAUAAGUUAAACUGUGACUUAAGUUGAAAUCAGAGGACAGGAAUUUUAAAAUCUUUCGGCUAAGCCCCUGAGGAAUUUUCUAGAGUACGACUUCUGCUUACCUCUGUUUAAUUUCUCUUUAUAUUUUUCUUUCAUUUCAUUAAUAAAGUCAAAUAAUAAAUCAAAGAACGAGGGAAGAUUUUUCCAAGUCAUGCAUUAUUUGAUUACCAUCAAUCAAGAAACCGACCAAAUUAAUUUCUCUCCGUGAUUUUUAAAAAUUAAAAAAAAAAUAUUUGAGCAUAACAUCAUUAAUUAUAGAGUGGAUCAAACUGCGUUAAUCAUGAACUUUGUUGUGUUAAUUAUUUCAAUCCCCGAUUACGCAAUUUUUAAAUUAUAGCCUAACGGUGGUCUCAUCACCACGUGUGUGAUUUUCUUUUGCCAAUAGGAUCUGUAGAGAGCUUGAUCUCACCCAAUAGCAAAAUAAACUUCCUAAUAAGUGAAGGCAUAGUAUAAAUAAUUCACCCCCAUAUUAUUUAUUAGCAGCUUGAUUAUUUUAUAUGCAUCUUUGAUUUAAAUUUUUUUUUCCCAUAAUUGCUACUAUGUUCGAACUGGUCAUGAAUUAUCUAUAAGAUUUUUCAUGUUGCUUUUAGGUGCAUUGGAUUUUUUUUAGUUUAGUGCAAGAGUAGAGGAAGGCAAAUUAAGAAAAAGGAUAAAGAUCUAUGAUUAGCUAUUUUGGGAUGUCUCAUAACAUAUUGAUGGUAACAUUAUACAUAUGUAUAUCUAAAUAAUGGGGUUGGAUCAAGAGCCCAUUAAUAAUCAUAGAUUAGCUUAUAUAGCAAUUUCACAAGCACAUGUUAGCCUAUGUUGAGCUUUAUUAUCAAUAGUUCAUAGUUCAUCGGUGCACUGCAGGUUUACUAUUUGAAGUAAAUGUUAUGGUGCGUGCAUUUUUCAUAAGGCCAACCGCUGAAUUUAGCAUUGAAACUUACAAAAUGUAAUAGAGAGAGGUAGAUAACAGCCACAAAACACUAAGAUUGGAAAUCAGGGCUACUAAAUACUAUUACAAGCCCUUAGAAAAGACACUGAUCAUCCUGGAAUAUAUAUACUGAAAGUAAGAAAUAUUAAUCGCAAAGUUAUGUGCCAACAAAACUAUUGACCACUUGUCCCUAGCAGAAGGUAUAUAUUUUUAACUUCAGCUCUCUACUUUGUUCUAAGAACUAGGCAAAAGAAUGAAACUUCACUGUCUAAAGUUUGCCGCUUGGAAUAUUUCACUGUCUAAACAUUCACUCACCACUAAUUUCACAAAUGAAUUUUGUCUAACUAUAUGUUGAUAACGAUAUUAGAGGUAAUAUAAUGCAUUUAAGGCUUAACAUAUAUUUUUUAUUAGUAGAGUGUAGAAUUUUUAAGAAAUAAAUUAUUAAAUUACUAUAACUAACAUAUUAUUUUAAAGUUAUGUUAAGAAAAGAAUGAAACAAAAAAAAAAAAAAAAAUAAGGGUAUUCUAAAACUUUGAUCCUUUUAAAAGUAGUUUUUGACGUAAAUAAAAUAAUUUUUAUUUUUUUAAAUCACAUACUCUAGUUAAAAUCAAAUUUGUAUUUAUAAAGCUUGUAAAUUUUUUUUAGCAUUAAUAUUUGAAUACUUUCAAGAUAAGAAAUAGGGUACUAAUUAUGCUACAACAUUAUUAUAGCAUAUAAAAAGACAAUACCCUUUAUAUUAUUAUACUAUCGUUUUUGUUAUGAUAGUAUUUUGUUAGUGGUCAAAUAUUACUUUUUUAAGUAAAAAAGUAGACAAAUGUAAAUCAAUUUUUAAUCUCUCCUAAAAUUCUAAUUCCUAGUUACCAAACAAAAUUGUUUGAAAAUAAUUUGGCUAAGUGCAUGGGUUCUUAAAAGUUAAAACUAUAGGUGAUAGAAGUUACUAGCACAAGCAAUUUUGACGGUCCAUUUUAUAAAAAUUUUUAAUAAUUUUUUAUUUACCAUUUUACCACCUAUAUAAAGAGUGCCACAUCGACAUAUCAAUUCAUUUGCAAAUUAUAUUAAUUUUGUAAAAUUCAUUUGACUUGCUAAACCCUUCUUAUCCCCUUUCUCGACUGUCAUACCCUAACCUUAUUAAUCCAACUGGCAAGUGCUCACAAUGACCGACAGCCUCUCCAUCUCCAUUUCAAGCUUCCUCUUCAACUGGCUUCUGCUUCCGUCGUACGCUUCCUUGGAUUCGGAGUCCGUAUUCGCUCGACCGGUCCGGCACAGCUCCCUCUCACUCCAAUUGUCACCCAACAAGACCAAUUGCUUAACAUUGAUCGUAUGGCAAUUGUCCGUAUUUCUUGGAUUCAGAGUCCGUAUGGCACAGAACAAGAAGAGUAUGAGAGAGAGAUUUGGAAAUCGAAACGUACGCAUUGACCGUGCCUUUGAGGGCAAUUACUUUUCUUGAGAAUUGAAGUUUGGUAAUGUAAUUUGUUCUCUAUCUGUGUCCCCUUUGUAGUCAUUUCAUUUAUUUGUUUGUUUGCUUUUAUUUGCACUUACGAAGUCUCAGAUAUAUCUACGCAAGAAUGAUGCAGGAGAAAUUGAUCCUCGAGCUUACAAGAAAAGUAAAUUUCGAAAGCAUAAUUUGGCUCCGAUUGAGGUAAUAAUUGUCUUUAAACUCAUUUAGUUUUAUAUCAAACAAAAUCAAGGCUGCCUUUCUCUUCAAUAUUUUUUAUGAUAAUAUCUUUAGAAGCAUCUCAUUGACGGGUAAUCAUGGUAUCCCUUAAAGAGUCUAUAAACUCAAUGAUAUUUUCUUCUGCAAAUGGUUCAUUAAACUUCUUAGACGUAGUUAAAUGUACACUAAGAACAACGAGAAGCUAUGCCGCUGUAGCAUGUAGUGAGAUCUUGUUUGAAGUUGUUUUCUGAAAUGAACUGCCAAAUGGUAGUUUUUUUUUUCUUGGGUGCAUUUGAUGACUCUUUUCUCCUCAUUUUAAACAUGUACCUGCUUGGAAUGGGAAGGAAUAGGCUUCCGAGUUGUUAUAUAUGUUGACAUGCUCUGGUCAUUACACAAAAUGCUCAAAUUGGAAAUUAGAAUGAGAUAUUUGUCGAUGCUUUUUGAGAGAUCUGCAUUCUAUGCACCAUAACAUGAUUAAUGAAAACAGGUUUAAGGACUGGAAAGAUCUGUGGCGGCCCAAGCUUGCAGGAAGGAUUUCAAUGGUUAAUUCUCCCAGAGAGGUUAUUGGUACAAUUUUGAAGUAUCUGGGAGCAUCAUGCAAUUCAAACGACAUUGAUUAGCAACUUGCUGCUGGGAGGAUUGUUGUCAGCAGAAUCUGGCAUUACUGGGAAACCAGGUACUCUUAAAGAAAUGAUAUCUGGUCAAUGCAUAUUAUUGCCUGACAGCUGAUUUUGUUUGUAAAGUCUGCCUCUUCAUACAUAUGAAUGCAUAUGUUAGUGUUUUCUUCUCCUUUUAAUACACAUGAAUGCAUAUGUUAGUGUUGUCUUCUCCAUUCCAUAAAUAUGAAUGCAUAUGCUCUGGGUGUUGGUUACUACUUCAAGUGGAAGGUGAAGGUGAUGCAAGUGAUUUCAGGAGUACAUAUAUUCCAAGGAUGCCGGACUAUUAUUGCUUCCCCCCAUAUUUCAGAAUUUUUUGUCAACCUCCUCCACUAAGGGAUUCCAAUUGAGUUACAAAUAUAUUUUCUGUAGCUCUGUUUUAAAUUUUUGGUCUCAUGUUAAUUUUUCUAAUUACUAUUCUUCAACAAAUCUCUUUUACUUUAAAAAACUGCUACAGUUUGAUUUUACUGCCUUAUAUCAUUGAACAUUGAUACAUGGAAUUUGAAAUCAGACUUGUAACAACAGAUAAAUAGAUAUAGAACAUGCAUAUAAUCUCCAUUUCGAGCUCCCUCUCCAACUGGCUUCUGCUUCCGUCUUACUCUUUCUCGGAUUCGGAGUCCGUAUUUGCUCAGCCGGUCCUGCCCAGCUCCCUUUCACUCCAAUUGUCACCCAACAAGACCAAUUGCUUAAUCAAGGCACAGAACAAGAAGAGGAUGAGAAGUUGAAACAAGAAUUUGAGAAUUGGAAAUCGAAAAUGUAUGCAUUGACUGUGCCUCUAAGGGUUGUUUCUCUUCAGAAUUCAAUGCCUCAAUCUUGGGUUAAGGAUUUUAUGCGAAGUCAAGGAAAGAGAUUGAAGUUUCAGAUGAAUUUGUGUGCUAGCAUUGGUGGGAUCUUUAACAAUUUAUCUGUGCCCUUUAACAAAGUUAAGGGUAAGUCAGCUUCGUAUACGGCUGCUGAUUUGGUUAGUGUUGGUGAUUCAUGGCUCAGUUUUACAAUUAAAAAGAGAUUGAUUGAGCCAAUAGCUGAAGCUGAAGAUCAAGACUGGUUCAAAUGCUUAUGUCACAAAUGGAAGGUAACAUCAUUAUCUUUGACCCGAUAAUUUUUAUUGUCUUACAUUGAAAUUUGGUAAUGUAAUUUGUUCUCUAUUUGUGUUACCCUUUGUAGUCGUUUUAUUUAUUUGUUUAUUUGCUUUUAUUUGCACUAACGAAAUCUCAGGUAUAUCUAUGCAGGAAUGAUGCAGGAGAAAUUGAUCCUCGAGGUAAAAUAUGGGCGGCACCAUACAGGUGGGGCACAACGGUGAUAGCCUACAAGAAAAGUAAAUUUCGAAAGCAUAAUUUGGCUCCGAUUGAGGUAAUAAUUGUCUUUAAACUCAUUUAGUUUUAUAUCAAACAAAAUCAAGACUGCCUUUCUCUUCAAUAUUUUUGAUGAUAAUAUCUUUAGAAGCAUCUCAUUGACGGGUAACAAUGGUAUCCCUGAAAGUGUCUUUAAACUCAAUGAUAUUAUCUUCUACAAAUGGUUCAUUAAACUUUGUUGUUGUAGUCAAAUGUACACUCAGAGCAAUGAGAAGCUAUGGCACUGUAGCAUGUAGUGAUGGCACUUAAUAAGUGAGUUGCUAGGAUGUGAACUAGAAAAAUUAAAUAUUGUCUCCUUGGGUAUGCUAGCUUGUAAGUCAGGGUUAAUAUUAGAGCUUAAGUUACUAUAACCAUGAGACGCUAUUGACUGCCAAUUAAAAUAUCCAUUAAAUUGUCUAGGAAGUUAUGAAAGUGGAGGUAUCUUCCGAUUUCUAAGGCCAGAUAGUAGACAUCAUCCAGGAUCCUAGGAAAGUGCAGUUAACCUCCUGCUCGAUGCAAUUAAUAAAUUUGGUCAAUGCCACUGAAACCUGCUAACCGACGUCACAAUGCGAGAUGAGCACUUCAAAAUGGGACAGACGGUCAGUAGCACUAAAUUUUUCUUUCCUAAGAUUGAGCAAUUGGUCUAACUACUAACCCCUAUUGUAGGUUGAUCAUUAUUUUUCCAAUUAUGUUCAGUUUGACCCAAAAAGUUACAGAAUCUUGAGCUGAAUAUUGUCACUGAACACUGUCAAUGUCAUUUAGCAUACCCAACUAACUUGAGUUUGGUAAAACAAACACACUGUGCGUCUCAUCUCUCACAAUUCAAAUUAUCAUCUGUAAUGAUGGAGAAUUUUUCCAAUGUAUGAAGUAUGCUUUGAUAUGUGUACCUUGGAGAAGAUAUCUCCAAAUAAAGAAUAUGGAGAGAAAACGGUUCAGUAGUUUAUUAUUCUGUAGGCAAGUCUUGUCUCGAAAAUGGUCAAAAUUUAAAUGAAUAAGGACAGGGGAUCUUCAUUCUUUUUUCCCUUUUUUAUACCAAGAUAUCUCUCAACCUUUAUAUAAUCCCCACUGGAUAUCUGCUUCUAAUAAUUAAAAUAAAAAUUUCACUCACACAAAUAAAUACUGACCAAGCUCUAACAAUAUAAAGUAACAUCUUUACUCAAGUAAUUUACAGUUCCUCAUCAUCUUAGUGUGAGACUAUCAUUACGUUCCAAAAACAAAAUAAAACUGGUUUGAUCCUGUUUAUUGAUGUUUAAAUGUUGUUCAUUGUGACAUGUAGAAAUGAUGAAGCGAAGUUUAUUUGGUCAUCAAUUAGUAAGAUCUUGUUUGAAGUUGUUUUCUGAAAUGAACUGCCUUUUUUUUGGGCAUAUGAUGGCUCUUUUUUCCUCAUUUUCAACAUGUGCCUGCUUGGAAUGGGAUGGAUUUGGCUGCAGAGUUGUUAUAUAUUUUGAGAUGCUCUGGCUGUUGUGAAAAUUUUAAUAUACUCGCAAGCACACGAAUCUAGAAAUAGAAUAGUGAUAACGAGGUCGAACCCACAGGGAUUAUUGAAAAGUCUAAUUUAAAUCUAAAAUUAAUAUUAAUUCUAACCUAGUUGAGCAAAUUGAGUUUUAAGAGAAAUUAAACUAAUUAAACUAAGAAAAUAAUUAAAGUAAAGGAGAAUUCAAUAAGACAAAAAUUACCAAGGUUUCAGAAUCCACCACUAUUCAACUAGUAAUUAUCUAAUUAUUAAUUAAUCCCCAAUUUUAGAGUGACAACUCGAAAUCAAUCUAUGUCAUCUCAUGGAUAUAACAAUUAAGCCCAAGUAAUUAAAUCUAAUGUAGGUUCUUUUUCUACUUAAUAGUAUGAUAUCUAAGAAUCUCAUGUAAACAUAUUGAAUAACAAAGAGUCAAAGUUUUCUUAAGCACUCUAUGUAAACAAUUUAAUGAAAGACAUAAAAUCAAAGAUAAUCAUGCAUAAACUUUAUAGAUCCAAGCAUAGAUUUAAUCGAAUAUUAAUCCUAACAAUCAAUAAUGCAUAACAGAAUUGAUGAAAAGAUUUUAAUAACAUCCAACUAAUCAUGUGAAAUAAAAACCAUAAUCAUUAAAGAACAUAUAUAGGGAAUUAAAUAAAUAAAAAAAUAAUUAUUUCAUUGAAUAGGGUUUCAUCCUUAACCUCAGUAUAAGAAAAUUAGUUAGACAUACUUGAAUUGGGAAAAACAAAAGAGAUAAAACCGGCCAUGAGGAAUAUUGAACUGUUGGUGCCGAUUGCUCUUUUCCAGCCUUGCGUCUGCUUUCCUCUGGCGGCUACCUCCCCCCUUGCAAAAGCCAAAGUUCGGCUUUUAUAUUGUAACUCCCCCACAAAAUCCUCAAAUCAAAAGGUUUUAAAACAAGCCAAGCACAACCGACUUUGAGCCCAUGCAUGUGAAGCCCAAUUGGAAUUUUCAUUCCUUUUUUAAUGCCAUGCAAUUGCUUUCCCACGUGCUGGCCACUUUAGCUUUAAAUUUCUUCUUUGUUUGCACUAGCAUGGAGAAUUCAAUUUAUUGGCUUCGGCUUCUUCGGAUUGAAUUUCAUACACAUCUACUUAAUUGCUUCCACAAAUUGACUUGAUUUUUAAUGUUGUCCAAUUGUUAUUCUUUAUGUACUUUUCAUCCUUAAUCUCCAAUUAAUUCCCUAUUCAAUAAAAUUAACUUAGCAAUUAUAUAAUAAAGGGUAAAAUAUGUAUAUAAAUUAUGCUCAUCACUGGCCAUUGCACAAUUUGUUCACACUGGAAAUUUGAAUGAGAAAUUUGUUGAUGCUGUUUUGAGAGAUCUGCAUUCUAUGCACAAUAACAUGAUUAAUGAAAAUGGAUUGUAGGACUGGAAAGAUCUGUGGCAGCCUGAGCUCGCAGGAAGAAUUUCAAUGGUUAAUUCUCCCCGAGAGGUUAUUGGUUCAGUUUUGAAGUAUAUGGGAGCAUCAUACAAUUCAAACGAUAUUGAUUCGCAAGUUGCAGGUGGGAAGAUUGCUGUUCAGCAGAAUCUGGCAUUACUGGCAAACCAGGUACUCUUAAAGAAAUGAUAUCUGAUCAUUGCAUGUUAUUGCCUGACAACUGAUUUUGUUUGUAAAAGUCUGCUUCUUCAUACAUAUGAAUGCAUAUGUUAGUGUUCUCUUCUCCUUUUCAUACAUAUGAAUGCAUAUGUUGGUGUUGUCUUUUCCUUUUCAUACAUAUUAAUACAUAUAUUGGUGCUCUCUCCUGAGAUGGAUGCAAUAAAGGCUUUUGGUCCUAAAUUUAGGUGAAGAAAUGGCAAGGGAUGUGAGAUUCUGUCUCAUUAAAUUAACAAAAACCCAAAACAAUGAAAACCCAUAAUAAUGUGGUGGGGGUAAAUUGGCACCAUUUGGUUUGUUUACUUAAUGUGAAUACACGAGCAAUAGGGACUAACAAAAUGAAGUGACAACAACAAGUCAGUGUCCUUUGAUGGAUGCAUUUUAGGCAAAAAUAGGUUUGUAAUUGACCAAUUUCAAAAAAUUUAAAUUAUGUGGUUAUUAGCUGUAAUGAAGGGGAUAGGAGGUGCAAUCAGGUGGAUCCAGGAAAGUUCAACAAAGUUCUGGUAUGGCAUAGUGAAAUUGGUUUGUGCAACUCAAGAGUCUUUCAGGUGAACGAUGAUAUGUUUUGAUUUAUAAAUGUUAUAAAUCUACCGUCCAUAGUAUUCUAGUAGAAUCAUCUAUAAGUUCUAGUUAUUGAAAUUGUCUACUUUGUCCAGUUUGAGUUAAGGGCACAUGUAAUAGGAAAAAUAGUUGUCACAUCUUUUUGGUUACCUAACAUUUGAUCAAUCCUAUUAUGAGGGCUUCAAGAUGUCUAACAAUAUGUAGAAUGCCCAUGCUCCUCCCCAUUGUUUAUCUUAUACAAUAAUUUGUUUUAGAUGCUAAUAUAUUUGUCGAUACCGGUAACGAUAUUACAAUAUCUGCAUUUAUUGGGUUUUACAUAGGUUCGACUGUUUGACAGUACACACUAUCUGAAGGCAUUUGGAAUUGGAGAUGUAUGGGUUGCUGUUGGGUGGAGUAGUGAUGUUCUUCCUGCUGUCAAACGUAUGUCUAAUGUUGCAGUUGUUCCCAAGUCUGGUGCUAGCUUAUGGGCCGAUCUUUGGGUAUACCCAUGCCGGCCAUUCUACUUCGAUAUUCACGUUGUUAUCUCCUUCAUAUUAGCGAUCAUAAACUUGAUAAUGUGACUAAUAAGUUCGUAUUCUCUUUAUAGGCAAUCCCUGCUGCCUCAAGACUUGAAACAAAAGAAAUUGGAGGGCGAGUCUGAGGUCCAUCUCCAUUAAUCCAUCAAUGGAUAGAAUCCUGCUUGCAAACAGCGAGAACAUUGCCUUUCAAGCAAGAGGUUAUCCCGGGCGCAUCUCCCUCUGCCCUUGAAAGUACUCUGGUUAAGUUGCCUGAAGAACUUCUGAAGGGUAAACCAAGUCUGGAUACUAACUUAAUUGCUGGAGUACCCCCGGCUGAAAUUCUGGCCAGAUGUGAGUUUUUGGAGCCAUUGUCUGAAGCUACAUUGUCAUAUUAUGAGUGGCUGGUUGCUAAUCUGCAAAAACCUGCCCCCCUCUUGAUGAAUAGGCUGCAACAUUACUUGUCAUCAUUAAUCCAAAGCUUUCUAGCAAAAGCUACAUUGAAAAGUUAAUGGCACUGCAUGCCAGUCAUUGUAAUGCUGUCAGGGCUAUUGGGUCAGGGCUAUUGGGUCAGAGCAUAACUUCAUUAGGAAAAGAGGCUUCAGCUACGUUAAAUAUUACAGGAUGUACUGAGAUGGCUGAAGUUCUUGAGGUUUUACGAGAAACGAAAGAUGAGUGUUUGUUUGAACAAAGUUGUUGCCAUCUUGCAGAGUUUGAGAAGAAAGAUCACUGAGCGAAUGCCACCGAUUUCUUAAUCAUUGUAGCCUCCAUAGUUGAAGUUUCCUUAUUUGAAGCUGUUUAUGCGUACGCUUUUUCCCUGCUCAAGUACAGGAAAUUGAAGAAUUAACCAGAUGUGAUAUGCUGAAAGAGGGAAGUUUUCUUCCUUGAACGUGGCCUUGUGAUUUGUCUUGGAAGGAAUAGGAUGAUCACUGGCAAGAACCCUAUCAAGGUAGAUUUUAUGGUGCUAACGUAUUAUUAAGCAUUUUGUUACAUCAGCAAUGAUGCUUUCAUAGCAUGAAAGGGUUUAAAUUUAACUGAAUGAUUCUGAUUAAUCAAUUAUGAGUUUGAAUCGAGUAAAAACUAAAUACAAUCAUCGUUAACAAUACUGAAAAAAUUUAACUGAAUCAUCGUUAAUUGAGUAAAUAGGAUCUUGAUAUUGAAGAAUUUGAAAUCACAACGCACACAGGAAAUUGAAGAAUUUGAAAUACAAUCAUCGUUAACAAUAUAAGAUGAGUGUUUGUUUGAACAAAGUUGUUGCCAAUCUUGCCGAGUUCGAAAAAAAAGAUCACGGAGCAAAUGCCACUGAUUUCUUCAUCAUUGUAGCCUCCAUAGUUGAAGUUUCCUCAUGUGAAGCUGUACAUCAAGUACAGGAAAUUGAAGAAUUAACCAGAUGUGAUAUGCUGAAAGAGGGAAGUUUUCUCCCUUGAAUGUGGCCUUUGUGAUUUGUCUUGAAGGAAUAGGAUGAUCACCGGCAAGAACCCUAUCAAGGUAGAUUUUAUGAUGUUAACAUAUUAUUAAGCAUUUUGUUACAUCAGCAAUGAUGCUUUCAUAGCAUGAAAGUGUUUAAAUUUAACUGAAUGAUCUUGAUUAAUCAAUAAUGAGUUUUAAUCGAGUAAAAACUAAAUACAAUAAUUGUUAACAAAUACUGAAAUUGGGUAAAUAUGAUCUUGCUAUUGAAGAAUUUGAAAUCACAACCCACACAGGAAAUCACCCUUCGCGUGGAGAUGGAGAUGUUUACUGCAGCGAUAUUGAAUAUGUCCACUGCUCUUUGGGUUAUGGUGCGACUUGCGAUUUCAAGGUUGCCCUGAAACAAUGGAAAAGAAUUAACAUACCCUGCAAUGAAUGAAAGCGGCUGGACUAAUUCUGAUUACCUGAUUGACUCAGGAUCGGAUGGCAAUAAAGACAGUUUAUUAACAAUGCACAGUCCCGAGUACUUUUUCAGGAUCAGAUAUUACGUGGUCUAAUGUUGAUAAUAAUAGAUUAUCAAAUGAGAGAUGCUGAGAGAUGCUGGUCUAGUAUUGCAAGCCCCCAGAUUUAAGAAUCUUUUGAUGAUAAUUUACCACCUGUAACUGUGCCGGAAGAUUCACCUAGCAUUGAAAAAGAUGAUAAUUUAAUUGAUAUGGAUAGUUUUCAUAACACUUUUAAAUCAUCUUAUGUAAUUAUAAUGUUGAGAAGCAUUAGUGGUCUAUAUGUGAACUAUUAUUGACGCUAUUUUGUUGUAAACAAUCUUAUUCAAUUAAUGUAUAAUUUAAAAUCAUUAUGUAAAUCAAUCUAUUACUUUUCAUGAUAUUUAACUGAGUUAAAACUAAGUGCACCCAAUAAAUCUCUUUUCCUUUAAAAAACUGUUACGCUUUGAUUUUAGUGCUUAAUAUUUACGGAACUCCGGUACAGGGAAUUCGAAAUCAAACUCGUAACUACAGAUUAUCUAAUUGCAAGCUUUUGUCCAUAGUUGCUGAUUGUAGUGAUUAUCUAAUUGACUGAGGUGACAACAAUUUUUUUUUUUAAUUUUCAAUAGCAUAAUGUGGAAUUCAAUAAUUAAAUUCUCCUUUUUAAUUUGUUUCCAGUUAAAUUAUUAAUUACUUAAACUCUGUUUUAAGUCUUUAAUUUUAUGUCUUGGCGUAUAUGCAGGGUUGGAUUCUUGAGCGUGUUGGACACGACCAACAAUGAAAUUGACAGUAAACAAACAUUAUAACGCGUUGAGUGUCGACUCCGCUAGCUGCCCUACAAGUCUACAACUUUACAAACAAUAACUGAGUACACACAUUUGAUUCUCAGGGCCUUUCAAUGAAUUUCUAGGCCGGUUGACUCCACCGACAAAAGUUUUGGAAAAUAAAAAAGAAAAUUCAUAGAAUUCCACCAAAUGCAAAACGCGUGGAAUUUAAUUUUCGGCUGUGUGGACCAAAACAUAAUUUAAUGAAAAAAAAGAUAAGAUUUCUAGAAUGUGUGGAAGGUGAUCCAUAUUUUACUGAAACAACUUAUUAAAUUUUUCAAGGAUUUAGAAUAUUUGGUCAUAAAUUACGCUCAUGUUAAUUUUUCCACUGUUGACUAUCAUAUUCUAGACUCACUGGUACCUUUCUUGAUGAAGGGUACUUAGUCUCUCUUCUCCUCUUAUAAAAAUUAUAUUAAUUAAUUUCUUAUUAUAAUAAAUAGUCUUUAAGAACGUAUAGAUUUAUUGUUUUCGUGACCAAAUUAUGCCAGCUUAAGGUUGCGACUAUUAAUAAAAUUAAUAUUUAAUGUUUAUGUUAAAAGAUAUAAGAUUUUUUGCAUUCAUUAAUUGUCAUUAGCUAAAGGAUUAAUUAUUUUUUCAACCCAAUCAGUUGAUGCAUCUGCAAGAAUUUUUUCUUUUAUUGACCAUAAUUAUAUUCCGGGUACAAUAAAUUAUCUUUGGUGCUUGGAAAAUAUGACUUCUUACUUCAAGUUUGAUGUGUCUCUCUCCAUAAGCUUACUGGAAAUAUAUCCUCAUCUACUGUCAUUUAUCUAAUAUCAAUUGAAUAUCUGACUUUUUCAAACUAUCACUUCCAAGUCUCAUUGUCACUUGGCCAUUCUUGGACCAUUCAAAACCAAACAAGUGUUGAAAUAAUCAAAUAUAUGCAAAAUUAGAGUCACGACUUUUGGUCCUCCAAAUUCUAAUUAUAUUACUUCUAUAUAUCUCAUUGUCAGGUCACGAACUUGUUGGCACAUUUUCCAAAUUCCUCUUCCAUCAGCUCUUACACGUUAACUUAAGUGGAAAGUUUCCAAGUUGAUUGCUAGAAAGCAACGCAAAAUCAGACACGCUUGAUCUGUCCCCUAAUUCUCUUUUCUACGUUGAAAAAGAAAAAAAAUAAGAAAAAAGAAAAUAGAUCUAUGUAAAAAUAAAUAAUAAACUGAGUAAAAGUACAUUUGUUUAUUUAACAUCUGAUCGGGGCAUUUUUGGUGUAAUUUCGUGCUGUGUUUAACCCACAACUAAAAUCAAACAGCCCCUUAGAAUACUUCUUCCAUUUUGGGUGCGUUUGGGAUUGAGGUUGGGCAGCUGUAACUUAAAAACUACAGCACUAAAGUGUUUGAUAAACACUAACUGCUGUAGCUUUUAAGCUAUGUUGAUAUGGUUUUUCACUUGUAUAAUACAAAAUUUAUUAUAUCUUUAAUAAUUUUAUCAAAAUUAUUAUUUAAAAUUUAUAUUUACUAUAUAUUAUUAACUUUUGUUUCAUAAUUACAGCUUUUUUUUCACAGCAACUGUAGCUUAAAAGCUACAGCAUCUCAAUCCCAAACGCACCCUUUAUCUGCUACUUUUGUGGAUCUUAUAGGGUGGGCAUGUGAACAGAAUUUAAAAAUUUUAAUAGUCUCAAAGAAUAAGAUAUGCUAAAGCUAAAGUUGUUGCACCUUCUAAUUAAAUAAAGUUGUAUAAUUUCACCAACUUGGAAGAAUUGAUAUUAAUGGACGGUCCCCUCUCCAUAUAUGAAGCCUUCUUAAAAGUUAAUUUUUAUUUCAGAAAAAAAAAGUUUAAGUUACAUAUAUUAUAGUAAGAUUUUUUUAGACCAAUUCCCUUCUUGAAAUAAUAAUGGAAAAGCAUUAAUUUAAAAAUAAAAUGAAUAUGUAUUGAUUAUAUCCUGAUUUUCAUCGAUUAUAGUGAGAGUUUCUCCAAAUCAAUUCCCUUAUUCAAAUAAUACAGAAAAAAUAGUAAUUUAAUAGUAAAAUAAACAAGUGUUGAUUAUAUAUUCUAAGUUUCAUCGAUUAUGUGAUCAAAGUGGCAUUGUUGAUUUAUUUCUUGUUCAAUGUUAAUUUUUAGGUUAUAUAAAUUUCAAGGAUCUAAAAUCUUUGGUCAUGGAUUACACGCUUGUUAAUUUUUCUGCCAUUAACUGUCAUAUUCUAGACUUAAUGAUACCUUUCUUGAUCAAGCGUAAUUAUUCUCUCUUCUCCUCUUAUAAAUUCCUCUUCCAUUAACAUCACUAGGAGUAUGUUGAUCUCUCAGACGUUAACUUGAGUGGAGAGUUUCCAAAUUGAUUGUUACAAAACAACACAAAAACUAGACACACUUGAUCUGUCUAAUAAUUCUCUUUCGGUAAAAUUAAUUAAUUUUAGGGAAAUAUUCUGCCAACCUCUGUAAUUUCAAAGUGAUCAUUAAUUAAUUAAACGAUACAAAUAUCUAAAGUGAUUAGAUGUUUGCCGACAAUACAAGUUCAUGACUUGAAAUUUGAUCUCUAUCGAUUGGUUUACAAAUGGACGUACUUGUGCCUUUGUGGCGAUAAUCAAACAAGUUCCCAUGAUUAUUAUUUUUUCCAAAAACGUUUUUACAACAAAUUCAUCUCGCCAAAAAUUCUAUGUUGCUAACUAACAAUAAUUGAGCACUUGGCCGCAUUGACCCCACGUCUCCACCUCUUUCUAAAAACAUGGAAAAUGUAAUUUCCACAAAAUGCCAAACGUGUGGAAUUUAAUUUUUUUGCCUUGUGGAUCAAAAUACAAAUGAAAGAAACAGGAGAAAAAAAAGGCCCAAAGACUUCUAAAAGAUGAAGAAGUCUUUGGGCCUUUUUAUAAUGGUGAAUUUUUUAAAAGAAAAAAAAUAACAACAUUUUUAUGGUUUGUUUUGAUAAUCAUAUUUACAUAUACUCUCUAAUUUUCAAAAUGGACACAUAAAUCUUUUUUUUUACAAAAUAUAUAUUAUUCAUAUUUUUUAUUUUUUAUUAUCAUAUUUUUAUUUAUUAUAAAUGUUUAGAGUAAAUUUUUAGGUUGAAAUAUAAUAAAAAUGUAUAAUCGUUCUCUUAUUAAACACACAUACUUUUAUUAGUUUCUAUGCAUUUGUCAUCUCAAUCUCUCUCAAUUAUUCUUUAUUGCUAGCUCAAAACGCGUUGCUGUUGCAAAUUAUAGCAAAAUGACAAAUAUGGAAAAAAAGGGAAGAAAAUUAAUGCAUGAAAGACUUGGAGAAAACAACAAAAUAAGCCAACUAUGAGCUAGUUGGGUGUAUAAAUUGUUAGAUGUGUUAUAUACAAAUAGCAUAGAGCCCUCUAGUUAGUUCCAGAGACAGAAAGAGCGUGUGUGUUUUUUCACAGUUAGAGAUAUAGUUAGAAUGGGUGGUUCAAAAUCAAAAAUGAUGAUAAUGUUUAUUAUGUUAUUAAUAAUAUUUAAAAGUGGGUGGAGUGAGGGAUGUUUGGAUCACGAGAGAUUUGCUCUUUUGCGACUCAAACAUUUCUUCGAUGAUAGUUAUCUUUAUGACUGGGCCGAUGAUGAGGGAGCUACUGAUUGUUGUCAGUGGGAAAAUGUUGAGUGCAGCAACACCACAGGCCGAGUGAUAGCGCUAGACCUUUUUGACACGCAUGGGGGAGAGCACAGCUGGUAUAUGAAUGCUUCUUUGUUUACUCCCUUCCAACAACUUGAGUCACUUGAUUUAACUGACAACAAUAUAGCCGGUUGUGUUGAGAAUGAAGGUGCUUCGUUUAAUUUAAUUAAUUUACUUUCUCCCCCCAAAUUUAAGUUGAAUAUCAAGACCGAGCAAUUAUAUGCAUAUUCAUUUAGUCGACAAUUUUGACUUUUUUUUAAAUGAUUAAUUUUGAAAUUACACCAGUAUCUAUGAUCUUUUUUUAUUUUAUUUUAUUUGCAGGUAUAGAGAGGCUAUCAAGAUUGAACAACUUGAAGAUGCUUAAUUUAAGUCGAAACUCAUUCAAUAAUAGCAUUUUAUCAUCUCUAACUCAUCUUUCAUCAUUAAGAUCAUUAAAUUUACUUUGGAAUAGAUUGGAAGGAAGUAUUGACGUUAAAGGUACAUAAUUAAAACUUCAAGCUCUUUCAUUAACUUGCUAAAAUAAGAUUCAAGGCUUUGAAAGAAAAAGAGAGAAAAAAACAAGGCCCAAAGACUUCUAAAAGAUGUAAAAGUCUUUGGGCUUUUUUAUAAUGGUGGAUUUUUUAAAAGGAAAAAAUAACAACGCUUCUAUGGUUUGUUUUGAUAAUCACAUUUACAUAUACUCUCUAAAUUUCAAAAUGGACACAUAAAUCUUUUUUUUUUCUACAAAUGUAUAUUGUAUUUUUUAUUAUUUUUAAUAUCAUAUUGUUAUUUAUUAUAAAUAUUUAAAGUAAAUUUUUAAGUUGAAAUAUAAUAAAAGAGUAUAAUCGUUCUCUUCUUAAACACUCAUACUUUUAGUUUCUAUCCAUUUGUCAUCUCAAUCUCUCUCAAUUAUUCAUUAUUGCUAGCUCAAAACGCGUUGCUGUGGAAAAUUAUAGCAAAAAGACAAAUAUGGAAAAGAAAAAAGGGAAGAAAAUUAAUGCAUGAAAGACUUGGAGAAAACAACGAAGUAAGUCAACUAUAAUCUAGCUGGGUGUAUAAAUUGUUUGAUGCUUUAUAAGCAAAUAACAUACAGAGACAGACAAUGUGUGUUCGUUUUUUCAUAGUUAAAGAUAUAGUUAGAAUGGGUGGUUCAAAAUCAAAAAUGGUGAUAAUGUUUGUUAUGUUAUUAAUAAUAUUUAAAAGUGGGUGGAGUGAGGGAUGUUUGGAUCACGAGAGAUUUGCUCUUUUACGACUCAAACAUUUCUUCAAUGAUCCUCUUAAUUCUCUUUACGACUGGGUAGAUGGUGAGGGAGCUACUGAUUGUUGUCAGUGGGAAAGGGUUGAGUGCAGCAACACCACAGGCCAAGUGAUAGCGUUGCACCUUUCUAAUAUAUAUUUGGGAGAGUACAGCUGGUAUCUGAAUGCUUCUUUGUUUACUCCCUUCCAACAACUUGAGUCACUUGAUUUAAGUUUCAACAAAAUAGCCGGUUGUGAUGAGAAUGAAGGUGCUUCGUUUAAUUUAAUUAAUUUACUUUCUCUCUCCUAAUUUAAGUGGUAUAUUAAAAUUGAGCAACUAUAUGCAUAUACAUUAGUUGACAAUUUUGACAUAUUUUUUGAAGUGAUUAAUUAAUUUUGAAAUUACACCAAAUAUCUAUGAUCAUUUUUUUUUAUUUUACUUGAAGGUAUAAAGAGGUUAUCAAGAUUGAACAACUUGAAGAUGCUUAAUUUAAGUGCUAACUCGUUCAACAAUAGCAUUUUAUCAUCUCUAACUCAUCUUUCAUCAAUAAGAUCAUUAAAUUUAUAUGUGAAUGAAUUGGAAGGAAGUAUUGAUGCUAAAGGUACAUAUUUAAAACUUCUCUCUUCCCCAAGCUCUUUCAUUAACUUGCUAAAAUAAGAUUCAAGGCUUUGAAUUCAAUUUUUUUAUGAUUAAUAUUUAAAAAAAACAGUUUUAAGCAAUUUAUAAAUACAAGUUUUAAUGUUUCUUAUAAUUUCAUCUUGUACUUUCAUAUGUCUUGAAUUUAAGAUUAAAAAAAAAACUCUAAUAGCAAACCAAACACCUCCACAACUUAUUAUUAUUAUUAUUAUUAUUAUUAUUAUUAUUAUAUAUUUUUUAAUUUGUGGUGAGGUUUGAAACAUUCAACUCAAUUUGUACUUGUUACAGAAUUUGAUUCUUUGAGAGAUUUAGAGGAGCUAGACAUUGGCGGGAACAAGAUUGACAAAUUUGUGGUCUCAAAAGGUACUACAAAUACCAUAAAAAAAAUAUGCUAACUUUUACAAAUUAGUUAGAUUCUUUGCCAUUUGGUUUAUUAUUUUACAGGUUUGAGUAAGUUGAAGUCUCUUGGUUUAAGUGGUAUCAAACUCAAUCGUAGCAUCUUAUCUUCUCUUUCUUCGUUAAGAGAAUUAGAUAUAAGUCGUACGGGAUUCAAAGGAACAUUUGAUGUUCGAGGUAAGCCUAAACCUUGCUUUCUCAUUUUAUAUAUGCCAACUAGAUUUGUGUAUCAUCGACAUAAUUUAAUAUUUAAUUUGAUAAGUCUGAAGGAAUUACAUGCUAAUUUAAACACACUUUUAUUUACUUUGUCAAUUAAUCAAUUAAUUACUAUUUGGCUUGGUUUGGACGAAAUUCUCAUGAUGUUUUAAUUUCUUUAAAUUAAUUAAUUAAUUAACUCUGUUUUUAAGUCUUAAGUCUGGGCAUGUUUGCAGAAUUUGAUUCCUUCAAUAACUUAGAAGUGUUGGACAUGAGUUGGAACGAAAUCGACAAUCUUGUGGUUCCUCAAGGUAAACAAUUAAAAUAUUAUUCAAUUACAUUAUUUUAAUUCAUUUGAUUAGAGAAGGCCAAAAAGGUAAAAAAAAAAUUCAAUAAAGAAAUAGAGAAUUUGUAUUAUUUAAAAAACAGAAUGUAAUAAAGAUUUGAUUCUAGUUCUUUAAUCUUUAAAGCGAUUGAAAAACAAUGUUGGUCUUUUCGCAAAGCAUAAAAUACGAAUUGAAUGCCAAUUAACUUAAUCAUUCAUUUCGUUUAGCUCUAAAUUUAGACAAUGAAUUUUUAUAUUAUUUCAAAAACAGGACGUAAUAGAAUUUUUUUAAAAAUAGAUUGUAAUGAAGAUUUGAUUCCAAUUCUUUAAUCUUUACAGUGAUUGAAAAACGAUACUACUUCCCAAAGCAUAAAAUACGAAUUGACUCUCAAUUAAAUUAAUCAUUUAUUUCGUUCAUCUCUGAAUUUAAAUAAUGAAUUUUGAUCUUCAAUCUUUUCCUAAUUAUUAUUAAUAAACAGGUUACAGAGGUUUGAGGAAGUUGAAAAGCUUUGGUCUAUCGGGAGUUGGAAUUAGAGAUGGAAGCAAGUUGUUACAGUCAAUGAGAUCAUUCCCAUCCCUCAACACUCUUGACCUGACCGAUAAUAAUUUUACCAAUAUAGCGACCGCUACUCAAGGUAAGUAAAAGGUACAGAUGUGGCCAAAUUUAUAAAUAAAUUGUUUAUUAAUUAAUUUUUUCGUAUUAUUAAUUAAGCUAAAUUCGUUGCUCCUUCCUUCUAAAUCUAAACAGAGUUGCACAAUUUCACCAACUUGGAAUAUUUGACAUUGCACGGUUCCUCUCUCCAUAUAAGCCUUCUGCAAAGCAUUGCAUCAAUAUUCCCUUCGUUAAAAAAUCUGUCGAUGUCUUUUUGUGAAGUCAAUGGUGUUGUACGCGGUCAAGGUAAAAGAAAAGCGUUGAUUGUGAACUCACUCAAUGGUGUCCUACGUGUUCAACAUUUUUAUUUAUUAAUUUAUUUAUUGUUUAAUGUUUCUGCUAGGUUUUCCUCAUUUCAAGAGUUUGGAACAUUUUGACAUGAGCUCCACACGCAUUGCACUCAACACCAGCUUUCUUCAAAUCAUCGGUGAAUCGAUGCCUUCUCUUAAGUACUUAUCACUGUCAUAUUCUACUCUUGGCACUAACAGCAGCAGGAUUCUUGAUCAAGGUUAAUGAGAUGCUGCCACCCUCCCUUCUUAAUCUAUAAUAUUAAUUUUCGAUUAAAUAUUUAAUUACACAAACCAAUCACUUAUUAUAAAAGAAUAAUACGCAUUCAUUAAUUUUUAAAUUGUAUUAAUAAUUGAUGAAUUUAAUAAAUUUUCAGGCCUCUGUUCGUUGAUGCAUCUACAAGAGUUACACAUUGCUUAUAACGAUUUAAGAGGUAGCUUGCCUUGGUGCUUGGCAAAUAUGACAUCCCUCCGAAUAUUAGAUGUUUCUUCCAAUCAACUUACUGGAAGCAUCUCCUCAUCUCCCCUCGUUCAUUUGACAUCCAUUGAAGAGCUGAGGCUUUCAUACAACCACUUCCAGAUCCCAAUUUCACUUGAACCACUUUUCAAUCAUUCAAGACUCAAGAUUUUUUAUGCUGACAACAACGAACUAAAUGCAGAAAUAACUGAGUCACAUUCUUUGACCGCCCCAAACUUCCAAUUAUCACGUCUCUCAUUGUCUUCCAGUUACGGAGACAGUUUCAUAUUCCCCAAAUUCCUUUACCAUCAACAUGACCUGGAGUAUGUUGAUCUCUCACACAUAAAGAUGAAUGGAGAAUUUCCAACUUGGUUGUUGGAAAACAACACAAAAUUGAGACAACUUUCUCUCGUCAAUGAUUCUCUUGCAGGACAUUUCCGGUUGCCAAUUCAUUCACACAAGCGGUUAGGACUGUUGGAUAUAUCCAACAACAACUUCCGAGGCCACAUUCCAGUAAAAAUUGGAGAUGUUUUACCAAGUUUAUACGUUUUCAACAAUUCCAUGAAUGCUUUAGACGGUAGCAUUCCCUCUUCAUUUGGUAAUAUGAAAUUCCUCCAAAUUCUGGACUUAUCCAACAAUCACUUGACUGGUGAAAUCCCCGAGCACUUGGCCGUGGGUUGCGUCAACUUGCAGUCUCUUGCAUUAUCAAAUAACAACCUACAAGGUCAUUUGUUCUCUAGAAAUUUUAACUUGACAAACUUGCAAUGGUUACAAUUGGAGGGCAAUCGCUUCGUAGGUGAGAUCCCACAAAGUUUGUCUAAAUGCUCCUCACUAGAAGGAUUGUAUCUUAACAAUAAUAGUCUUUCGGGUAAGAUUCCACGAUGGUUGGGUAAUCUCACAUGGUUACAAUAUAUUAUACUGCCCAAUAAUCAUCUUGAAGGCCCUAUUCCAGUGGAGUUUUGUCAGCUUGAUUCGCUUCAGAUUUUGGACAUUUCAGACAACAACAUAUCUGGAAGUUUACCAUCUUGUUUCCAUCCUCUCUCUAUCAAACAAGUUCAUCUUUCAAAAAAUAUGUUACAUGGACAGCUAAAAAGAGGUACAUUCUUUAAUUGCUCUUCCCUUGUGACAUUAGAUCUUAGUUAUAACCGCUUGAAUGGCAGCAUUCCGGAUUGGGUUGAUGGGCUUUCUCGGUUAAGCCACCUUAUCUUAGGUCACAAUAAUCUUGAAGGUGAAGUGCCAGUUCAAUUGUGCAAAUUGAACCAACUACAAUUGUUAGAUCUUUCUAAUAAUAAUCUUCACGGUCUUAUUCCUCCUUGCUUUGAUAACACCACACUUCAUGAAAGUUACAGCAAUAGUUCUAGUCCUGAUGAGCAAUUUGAAAUAUUUUUUUCCAUCGAAGGCCCUCAGGGAGGUGUAGAAAAGCAAAUCCAUGAAAAUUUUGAGUUCACAACAAAGAACAAUGCAUACAUUUACCAAGGAAAAGUGCUUAGCCUCCUAUCAGGACUUGAUCUUUCUUGCAACAAGCUAAUCGGUCAUAUUCCUCCUCAAAUUGGAAAUUUGACAAGGAUUCAAACAUUGAAUCUAUCGCACAACAACUUGACAGGAUCGAUCCCAUCAACAUUUUCAAACUUGAAGUAUGUCGAAAGUUUGGAUCUUUCCAACAACAAAUUGAAUGGGAAAAUCCCUUAUCAACUAGUGGAGUUAAAGACAUUGGAGGUUUUCAGUGUGGCAUACAAUAACUUAUCAGGCGAAAUUCCAGAAUGGAAAGCACAAUUUGCAACCUUCAACGAGAGUAGCUAUGAGGGAAAUAUUUUUCUUUGUGGACUGCCAUUGCCUAUUUGCAUAUCACCAACAACUACGCAGGAGGCUUCAAUUGACAAUGAACGAGAUGAUAAUUUAAUUGACAUGGACAGUUUCUUUAUCACAUUUACAACAUCGUACGUAAUUGUGAUAUUCGGAAUUGUUAUUGUUUUAUAUGUAAAUUCUUAUUGGCGACGUAGAUGGUUUUACUUUGUUGAAAUGUGGAUAACUUCAUGUUAUUAUUUUAUUGUAGACAAUCUUAUUGCAACAAGAUAUUGUCAUUGAAAUUAAUUAGCAGUUUAAUUACCAUUCUUUAAGUUCUAAUCAAGUUUGCUUAGGAAAUAAAUUUAUUUUUAUUUUUUAUUAAAAUUGUAGUAGUAUUUAGCGCUAUAUAGCUUCCAACUUCCGAGCACUUCACAUUUGUCUCUACACUUCCAAACCCAUAUCUGUCCACCAUAACUUAUACUUCCUUAUACUGUGCAGCAUACUUAAAUAAGAGAACCAUCUCCAAUGUUAAAACCAACCACUCUAUAACAUUCAUUUAGAAACUAUAUUUAGAAUAUUUUUAUAAUCAUACACAAGAAAUGAAACACCUAGAUGCACUUGAUCGCCUUUUUUUACUUUAAAAAAUAAUGAUUAUGGUGCUAUCAUCAUCUUCUUCACUAGCGUCAUUAACACCAAAUCCAGCGACGGACCCAUACAUUUUAUCAAGAAAGGUAUAUAUAUAAUAAAGUUGAAGCUCGACAAAAAUUCAGGAAGAUUGAUGCCUCGCCACAACAAGGGGCACACCAACAUCAAAGUAGAGAUGAAGCAAUAUUCUCAAAGCUAAAACUCUCAAAUCCACCCACCAGAAUUUCAUAUCCCUCAACAAUUUUAAGAACUAAAGAUAAUUAGGAUCUAACAUUAGUUUUUUAUAUAUUAGUUUCAUAAUUUACAAAUCAAUGAAGAUGAAGAUUAUGCUAAUGAAUUCAAAUUAUACCAUACAUUCUCGAGAUGUUACCAAAAAUUUCUAAGUCAAUCCCACAUAUUUCAUAAUUUUAAGACUAGAAAAUUUCAUUAGUUAGAAGUUUAUUACCUUCAAGUGGAAGAUGAAGAACAUUAUACAACUGAUUCAGAUUAUAUCAUACAUACUCCAAAUGCAACUAGAAAUUAACAAGUUCAUGCGCACAGAUUUCAUAACAUUAUGAUUGGAAAGUUUCACAAAGAGAAAUUCUAAAUUCAAUCUAUUGCAUCAAGGUAGUUUGAUUGAUUUGAGUUACUUUCUGAUCAAGCUACUAAUAUAACAUUCAAGUCAGGGAGAAAGUAAAUUAAAUCUGAGAAGAAAUAACAAUAAAAAUUUGUUGCUAAACAUGAUGUGUAUUUUUUUUUCAAGGCAAUUUGGAAACACAGUUGUUACUACAGAUAUUCUCCUCAACUUAGAGAUAAAUACAAAUAUUAAAAUGCAUAUGAUCGCACAUAUUACUUGGAGCUUAGUAAGAUUUCAUAAAGAGAAGAAAUCAAACCACUUAUCAAUUGUUGCAAUCGUUCUAUAAGCUAAAAUAGCAAUAUAAUACAAGAAAAGGAACAUAUAGAUACUUGGCAAGAGUUCAUUAAGAAGUCGCAUCACAUUCGGGUGAGUUUGCUUCUGAUAUCUUGCUAGCGGGGGCUUUUUCUUGUCUUUCUACGUAUGCCGAGGGAAACUAACCAGCUUGGCCCUUGCAUUCACCUUCUGACCAUCCAGUAGGAGCCACCUUGAGAAGUUAUAACUAAAACAGUGAAUUAAACAAAAGUUGACCGUUCAAAGACCUAAGGGGAAAACUAAUUCUUUUACGUAGGAGGAGUGAAUUAGUUGUGAUCACUGAAAUAACAGCAUAACUAUGGAAGCAUAACAAGAUAUAAAUUCACACGUCUAUAAGGGUAAACUGGGUGGUUUAGAACUGAGCUAGCAACCCUACUAUAUUCUGAUUUGCACUUCAAUGUAAAAGGGAAUAUAUGGUAGGAAGAAAGAAAACCAACCAUCAUUUGUUAACUCAUUGCUUUUCAAUCAAAAUUUUAAGAACAAAAUGCCAUGUGCUUUGAACAUCAAAUAAGUAUAAGCAUUAGUUCUAAAUUCCACAUAUCAUAAGUUAGAAGGAUAAGUUAAUAGCAUAGUAGAAAAAUCUCUGUGUUGUUAUUUAGAGGGGAAAGUACCAGGCGAACCACAACAUAAUCAUCAAUUGAAAGACUUAGCUCUCCAUUUGCUUGAGCAUCAAAUGGAUGUAUAACCUGCAAGAUAAUGGGAUAAAUAGAACUUAAAUCUUAAAAAAAGCAUAACAAAAGCAGCAACAGUAGCAGCAGCGUUCAUUGUAACCACUAUGAUCAUGGCCAACAAAGAUAUAUUAGAAACAAAAUUCCAUUUUUACUACGACAUUAAUAUGUACUAUAUGAUAUCAUGACGAUAGGGUUACCAAGAGCUAUCAAAGUCCAAUAAAUUCUGUAUAACUUUAUGUAGUUAUUCAAAUUAUGGAUCAGAUUUUAAAUCUGAAAUUUUGACUGCUCUCCACAAAACAUGGCCUAUGCACAAGAAAGUCAUAGAUAAUGAGGAUUACAAGUGUCUGACAUCUUUUGAGUGAUGGAUUUAACAUGAGAGCUUAUGGUCAGUCAAUUUCCUCUGCCUAGCAAUAUAAGCUUUUUCGGCCAGAUUUAUCAUCAAAUACAUAGAUUGCCCCCAAGUCACAUCCAUAUAAACAUAGUUUUUCUAGGUAAACCAAGUAAGGAAAAUCAUAAUUCAGACAUAAUCAUAAAAAGACCCAUCUAACUUUCUUUGGCAUGCCUAACUCAGCUUUGAUGUUGCUGAGAUAUUGAUAGUAGAGACACAUGAUACUUCUAGCUCAUGCAUUCUAUCUAGCUCAUCUGACAGCUAUCUCUUUUUUAAUUCAUUAGUGUUUGCUAAACCUCAUGCUUAAGAGUCCUGUUCUCCUAAACAAAGUUUUCUAAGAAUGACUUCCUCAGCACCACAUUUGGACACUUUUAAAGCAAUUUUAUUUGGGGGAAAAGAAUUUUCAAGGUGUUAACUAAUAAAUUUUAAAAAAUAAUUACAAUUUGUCCUACGAUUAUAUGACAAUUUAUCUGGGAUGAACGGAUACAGACAAACAUCUUCCACUUUUAAGACUAAUCACUACUUCCGUAGAUGUUUUGCAAUAACACAAAUGCUUGACCAGAUGGUAGUGAUGGUAGAAAAAAAUUUUAUUGCUCUAAAAUUAAAAUAAGAAUGCAAUAUGUUAAGCAAAAGACUGUGCAACAUCAAAUUAAUUGAUAAGUUUGUAAUUCAGUAAAUUAACAACUUUCAUGGUAAAAUACAACAAAUUUCUUUUCAAAAAAAAAUCUUAAAAGACAGCAUUCAAUUUUGUGCGCAUCUUAUUUCUUAAGAUUUUCCAGGAGGGCAAUACAGGGACUUUCACCUACGCAAGAGAGCAAAAGCCUUACUUUCGCUAUAAAGUAGACGUCAUUCUGAUUAAUAUGCGUUUGCAAAUCAGCUCCAUUUGAAUCAGUAUUCUGAUAGACACAUGAGGCAUUUACAUCCAUUUCCAAAGUCACAUGUUGCGAGGAGGACUCAUUUGAUUGCUCCUCUAGGAUCAUCUAAUUCAAGUAGCAAGGGUUGGAAGAGAAUAAAAAGUCACAAUUAUUCUUUUGCAUAAGUGAGACGAAAAUGAUAAAUGCACUAUUAUCAGCAGUAAACAAGAAGAGAACACUCCAAGGAAUAGAUAGAUGCGGACAAGCAAGUUAAAAUGCAAAGUUCCAAACCUCCGCAUACAACUUCUCUAAAAUAGCAAUAAUGUGUUGAUGAUAUGUUUUCUCAGCAUCUACCUGCAAAGGCCCGAGACUAGGAAAACAACAAUAAAACCACUAGCUAAAGGAGAAAGUAAAUAAAGAAAUACACUUGACAUAAAUCUUGACAAGAAGCACAAUUUAAGACAUAACAAACCCCAAUCAUAUUGUUUAGAACUACCAUUCGUUAUUUCGUUAUUGUAGCAUUUCGAACAAGUGUUGACUUAAUUCAACAUUGUUGGAAAGAUAGGCUUUUAGAAGCGGAAGAAAGCCACUCAAACCAAAGUGAUUAUCCUUGUAUUGAUCAAGGGAUGUAAACAUAUUACAUUUGCAGGAUGAGUUUUAAUCACUCCCCUGAUUUAUUUGGGUUGCAGUAAAACUAAGCGAGCAACUGUUUGACUUUCAAGCAACAUCUAAAUCAGCUAUUAAAAUUCAAAUAAAAUCAUAAUAGAAUAAUAACAGGCCAUCUUGCAUCAAAAAUUAAGUUUAAUUUGUGAAUUUUUUUCUAUAGACAUGUUAGUUCCUGCUAUUGAAAUGUUAAAAGCAUUGAAAAAUUAUUCAAUAAAUUAUGCAAACAUUAAAAUAGAGGACAUAUUAAAAAGUUUCUAAUUACAAUGUUAUGAUUUCCUAUAUUUUAGCAUUUGCAUAUUUUAAUUUAUUUAAAAGCUACGUCGAUCAACUUUGGGCGUGAAGAUUUUAGCUUCUACGAGACUUGAUUGGAAUAUGCAUAAGGAAGAGUGUUAAAAUAUGAUGCAUCCAACGAAAGACAAACCACGUGUAGUCUUUUAAUUAAGCCAAGAGUAGUGCUAGAGAGAGAGAAGCACGAGAGAAGGACGAGAGAAUUUUGCCCCUUUCUCUCUACCCACUCAUUCUCUCUCUACCCCUUUUUUCAUUGUUUCUCUCGUCUUUCUCUCGUGUUUCUCUACACCAAGCAUUUUCCUUAAGCCAAAGUAGCAGCUCAAACAAAUGACACUUGGACCAACAUGCAAUCAUGAAGUGGCCGGAAAAAGGACAAAUGCAACUUUGGCUUAAAUAAAAAAUAACAUGUGACUUGACUUUUGCUGGACAUGCAUCAUGUUAUUACAAGACAACAGAAAUCAGUAUGAUAGUACUAAAAGUUGACAAUAACAUGAAGAUAAGAGGCAGAAUGUCAACAAAUGCAUAGGCACACACAAGAAAGUAUUAACUUAUAUACCAUAGCAAAAAGUCUUUGAUAUGUCAUCUGUUGCUGCUGUGAUUCAACUGACAGCAUGGCAGCUGUCGCUUCUCUACCAAGAGCCAUUAUUGUAGAUUUAAGCUCGGUCAAUCUUGCUUCUGCAUUUCGAAGCUUCACAGCACUCUCUGCUGAUAUAUCAGAUUCCCUAAUCUUUGAUCGGCGCCUAAAUACUUCAGCUGCCUGGUGAAAAUAUUCAAUAUAAAUCUAACAUAAUUCUAAUCUUGCCUUAUACAUGCAUAUGUUAACUCAAAGCUUACCUGCGCUUCAACUUCAUGUCGAAGUUUGUCAUAACGAUGAGUCAGGUGUCGAGCAUCUUCCAAAGGUGCUCCAUUGAUUAACGCCCGUAGUGGCUCAGAUACCGACAUGUCCAAAAACCUGUAACAUAGUUAGAAAAAUGAAAAGAAAGAGCAAAACCUCAAUUAAAAAGUUCCUCCAACAUAAUCAUGGAAUUUGGGCCUACUUCAAGGAUAUAUAUAAGGAUAAUUUAUGCAAUUUUGGGUCUAAGGAUGAUUCAUAUUAGGUUAGUGUUCUUCUCUUCUGUAUUUAAGGUUAAAAUAGAAAUAAACCUAUGAAAAUAUCUAAAUUAGGGCUGUAAGACUUCCACAUGCAUCCUUCAGUCUCAUGGAUUUGAUUUUACUAUAGAUGCAAGUGUCUUUAUCGAAAAUGCUUGGAGUCAAUUGAGAGAACUCACGGCCAAUAACUUGUCACACGCUAGUCUUUGCUAGUGAUGUAAGAAGUCACAAGGUCUCUUCAACAUUUGAACCAAUAAAAUUAUUAAGUCAUGGAUGUCACUAGCAAUGAUUUUAAUAUAAAACAUUACAUAUUUCAGAGUUGAAACUUUAAAAUGGAUUCUUUUAUUCAGUAUCUUAGAACUAAGUUUCCUUAUGAGAAGAUAAUAGUUUCAGUAGUAAUUUACAUAUAAUUUUCUAUAUUUGAAUUAUUUUCUAGUUAGGGAUGAACUAACCUGAUCACGAAGAAUCCCAAGCAAAGUUUCCCUCUCAUUUUCCAUCAAAUCAUGUGAAGUGCCAAAUUGAAGAGCAGCUCUUGCAACGCAAGAAUUGUCACUUUGAUUCUCCACUCCAUACUUGCAACAAUCUUCGGCCAACUUUCUCGCUACAAUAUUUGAAUACAAAAAUAUUGUACACGAGAACUAGUCAAGAAAAUUAAAAAAAAAAAAAAUCAAAUAUUAUAACGAGAGCAAGAGCAAACAAACAACCUAUUUCCAUUUGUUUCAAGCUUACUGCAACAAACCCUUCAACGCCACGGACAACAUUCCUCUGAAAAUGCUGCGCUACAGAGCAUAUAUUCCAAAUUAUUGUUCAGAUAAAACCAUACAAACCAUCAUAAUUAUUCAACAUACAUUAAGCUCCGUUUGGUAAAUACUUGCAACUUCAGUCCAGAAAAUACAGUUAAUUUUUAUUUAAAAAACAUCAUAAUUAUCAACAUACAUAUUUGACAAAAUUAUUAUUUAAAAAUCAUAACUAAUUACCAAAAGCCACAAUAAAUCAAUAUCAAACAGUCUUAUUAUUAGCUAAAGGAGGAUAGUACCUUAGCUGCCCUGGUGGAAUUGUAUAGAUUUUGAAGUUGUUGGUGACACUCAAUUUCAGAUUCAUCAACAUUUUCAAUACCAAGAUGGAGCAGAUGCUUCAAUACUGCCUGUACAAACCAUAAAAAACUAAUGAAAAAUAAAUAAAAUCGAGAAAUUUCACUAAAUAAAAGUCUAAAUAUAAUUUUUAAAAAAAGAAAAGAAACGGACUUGCUGCUGCUUGGCGACUUGUUCUCGGAGCUUGAUUGCCUGUUUCUUGAUAGCUUCCAUACUGUUUCUUUCAAAAAGCGACGACGGCUCAGCUCAUGGAGGUGGAAAAAAAAAAGUGUGAUGGAGAAAAAUAAAAAGGCAUGAAUAAUUUUUGACAAAAAGCGAAAAUCAAGGAAAGCCAGCUCUUUCCAGAAAAAUAAAAAAGAAAAAAGAAAAUUAUAAGUUUGAAAGGAGAAGAUGAUAGUGGAAGUGUGCGGUGUGGCUGCCAGCUACUUGGAUUUUACUGUUGGGUAAGGUAAUAGUAGAGAAUUUUUUUUUUUUUUUAAGAAAAAUAGUAGAGAAUUUUUUAAGAAGCUAGAACAGAGCAUGACAUUAGACUUUUGUGGACCAAAUUCAAAAGCCGAAUGGCACGGCCCAGAAGCUUUUGAAUAGAAAAACUUGCAUCAGCCUCAAUCACUUCUUAAUCGCUUGCUUUAACUGCAUCGCUCUCUCUGUGCUCUUCUAUAUAUGUAACGGUUAUGCGGUUGUAGUUCACGACUGAGGCUACGUGUUGGUUUGACGUGGCAGUUACGUUACUAGGGGAUAAAUAAGAUUGGUUUCAACAAACCCACUAAUUUUAUAAAAUUCGAGUAAUAUAGAAUAAAAUAAAAAAAAUAAAUACAAAAUUGGCUUUUAUUUUUUCUGGUUGACUGUAUUUUGUGUUCUCUUCCGGCACUACUACAAUUGUUCCCUAUAUAUUAGUCACACCCAUAUGUCAUUAACACAAGAAAUGAAAUCUAAUGUCACCUAUUUAGUUAAAGAAUCACUUAUGAAAAAAUUUUACCAUUUUGAUUUGAGGAUCCAUAUUUUGAACUGCAAACUAAUGUUCAUCAAGAACAGAGUAUGACUUAUGUGUAGAAAAUUUUAUGAUUUUGGCCCGAAAUAUAAGGAAAUUAAAUUAGAUGAGAAUCUGCCACUUUCUCAUGAAGAAAGGCAUGCGGAGCAUACCAUGGUACCAUACGGAGAAUAUUAGAACCUCCCUAGAAUAUCUUUACCCUGAUGUUUCUAACAAAAAUCUGCAUGUGGCAGCAAUUACUAGAUCUACAAUUUCCCAAAUAAUAUUUUGUGUUUCUUAAAAAAUUUGAAAUACAUAGUUGCACUUGCACACCGUGAGACAGUGCUACAAUCUACUGAGAUCUAAAUUAUAUGAGACUUUAAGCUACUAAUGUUUGCAUAUUUCUACAUGUCAAAUUAACAUUACCAUCUAUAAUCCUAAACGACAGAUGAUAAACGGCUUUUGGCCACUUAUUACUAGCAUCCACAAUUAAUUUUUGUUCAGCAAUCAGCUUAUUUUAUAGAAAUUGAUUUAGUCAGCAACAAACACUAUAAUACUUGAAAUUAGUUCUUGUUCUUUGUAAUUUUCUAUGAUUUUUCAUAUAUCAAUUAAUCUGCAGUGCCAAGAUGAGGUUUAGUUUUCAAACUAAAUAAUCAAGUAAGCAAAAAUACAAAUUCAGAGAUUAGCGGGGUAAACUAGCUGGGUGGUUUAGAACUGGGCUAGCUACCUCCCUGUAUUCCUAUUUGUAAGGUGAAUUAAUUGAAUCAUGAGAAAACAAUGUGACCAUAGCUCAAUAUGAGAUGAUUUCGGAGAGGCAUAUUGUUUUCGAGUGAAUUUGAUCCAUUAAGAGAUGAAGUGGAUUGAAGUGGAAAGUUUAAAUAACAAAUCCUUGUUCUUGAGUUUUACGACGUCGUUACUCCUUCAGGUGGCAGAUUAUGCAAGUGAAUUCAAAAACACAAUGCAUCAAUCACGGGGACAAAAGACGGGAUCACAGUCUAUGCAUUGAACAGUUACAGUUGCUGCUACCAAUUGUUCGGCAAAGAUCAAGAAGACUGAACGGGAAGCUAAUGCCAUCAAUGUCGUCUUCACUAUAUCUGCUGGGAAUGUAGGUGAACUUUCCUCAUUUGCAGCUGUCUAUACAUAGGCUUUUCCCCAGCUUAAGUACAAAUAAAUGAAGCUGCCUUGAAGGCUUUAUUAUUGACCCCAAUAAGGAUUACUAAUUGAAGAAGACUAUACGGAGUUAAUCUCACAUUUUAGUUCUCUCAAUUUCUUUCAGAAGUGCCUCUGAAAAUAGCUGCCAAACCGUUAGUCAGCUUGUAUACUCUGUUUUCUGGAAACAGAGUAGCAUAUUUAAUCGUUUUAAUUGAAUUGUCUUCGUAGCGAUCAUCAACAAACUCAUCAUAAGAUUUUUGAAGCACCCAAGGACUAUCACUGGGUUUCUCUUCUGGUUGAUUUAUUAAUUAAUCAAAGAACGGUUGGAUGAAGUGCAAUGAUGGAGCAAAAUUUACAAUGUCUCCGGUUUCUCCUGACCAUCGGACUUUUGCAGUGAGAACAUAUAACAAAAAGACCUUCAUCAAAAUUUGUAGACUCCGGGUAUGGAUUGGAUCGAGUUUUUUGUUUGAUAUUGAAGAACCACUUUACUAUCGCGAUAUAGAUUAUGUGCAAGGGGUUGUCUACUGUUCUUUGCCUUGUGCUAUGAUCGGUGCUUUUGACGUUGCCCCGAAACAGUGGAAAAUACUUCGAUUUCCUCCGUUUGAUGAUGCAAAGAACUGGUUAAUGUACGAUUACCUAAUUGACUCAGGAUCAAGUAACAACAACAAUUUAUUAAUAGUAGUAUCACAAACGAAGAAGAUUUCGGAGAGGGUGAUGUAUGCCUAUACCGUUUACAGGUUUGAUCCACAGGGGAUGAAGUGGUCUCAAGUGGAAAGUGAUUUAUUAAACAACAAAUCAUUGUUCUUGGGUCAUACCUCAUGAUGUCAUCAAGUGGAAGAUGAAGAUUAUGCAAGACGAAGAUCGUUUGAUAUUGAAGAAUUUGAACAGAAAGCCCAUAGAAAGUACUUAAAUAAGCAUAUUCUUGUUGGGGUAGAAUAUUAAGAAAGGAGUUGUCUACUGUGUGUUGCGUGAUUAGGCUAUGAUCUGUGCUUUGAACAUUGCCCUCAAAACAGUGGAAAAUACUUCAUAUCCUCGACAUGAUGAUGAAAAAUUGGUUACCGAUUACCUAAUUGACUCAGUGACAACAAUCUAUUAAUAGCACAAUUUGGCGUGAUGCCGUUUAGGUAUAUGGUUUUCAAGUUUGAUUCAUCAGUGAUGAAGUGGACUAAAAUAAGAUGUUUAAAUGAUAAGUCAUUGUUCUUGGGCAUAUCGUCAUUACUACUUCUAGUGAUCAAAGAUGAAGAUGAAGAUGAAGAUGAAGAUGAAAAUUGUGCGAGUUCAAGAUUACCAUCAACUCAAUUUUAUGAUUGGAGUGUCUCACCGUGACUCAGACAAAUUCUGAUUCAACCUCCUUCACCAAUGGAUUUUGAUUAGUUAUUUUGUGAUCAAGCAACUUAAUUAAACUCACAGUUUGUUAGUCUAAUUUUAGUUUUACUGUGACCACUAUUCAAGGUAAGCGAAAGUUACAGAUGUGGCAAAAUCAAUAAUUAAAUUCAUAAAAUGUUAAAAAAUAAAACUUAUAAAUUUUGCAUGACUACUUACUAAUAAAUAAAUAAGUUAGAAUGUAGUUAGUUAAUUUUACACCAUAUUAUAUAUUAUUCGAUAAUAAUAUAAAAUAAAAAGAAUUAAAAAAUAAAUAAUUGAAUAAACAAAUAUGACUUUCUAAACAGUAAAAAUUCUAGAGUUAAAAUUUAUAUUAUUAUUUUAUUUUUUAAAAUUGACAUAUUUCUAUUAUCUUACAUGUACACAGAUUUUGAGAGUUGAGAAGAAUAUAUUUAAUGAAGCUUGCUAACAUUUGGUGGGAUAGCAAGUAAGGGUAAAUAAGAUUUUUUUGUUAUUUAUUUGAAUUAUAUCUAUUUUGUUCAAGUUAAAAUACUAAAUAUAAAUUGGAGGUAGACAUUUUAACAGAUCAUCUAAGCUCUCAAAUCUGAAAUUUUGUGUAGAUUUAAAUUCAUAAUUUUAGUUAAUUUUCAUACAUUCAUAUAAACAAAUUUAUGAGAUUUUUCUUUUCAGCAUGUUAUAUUUUGAAACUUUCAAUGUAUUAUUCUAGCUUUAUUUAAAUAAUUAAUUUAUUUAAAAUUUAUUUAAUUUUGAAUUUGAUCAAUAGUAAAAUUAUUUUUAUAUCAAAUUUUUUUAUUUAAAUAGUUCGUGGAUUGGACAAAAUUAAAAAUUUUUAAUCCACAAAAUGGUGGAUUAGAUAUGAAUUGGGUUAAAUACACAUUCGAUCCGCAGUCGUAUGAAUUUGAUUUGGAUUGAAUUUCAUCAAUCCAUGGAUUAGAUUGGAUUGAAAAAUUUAUUAUCCGCAAAAUCGUGGAUCGAAUAUGGACUGAUGUCCAAUCAGCAAAAUCCAAUCCCCGAACACUCCUCUAUCAAAAUUUUCAAGAAUAUUUUUUAUCUUACAAAUUUUUUUUAAAGUCAUAGUCUAAGGGCGGCCCAAUUUCUACUCCAUCCAUAUAAGCGGAGUUCAAAUCUCAUACCUCUUAUCUCCACACAAGAGAUUUAACCAAUUGAAAUAGCUAGCACCCACAAGUAUACUAGUACAGCAUCUCUUAACGUUUAACAUACGUAAAAUUAACGCCAUAGCUAUUGAUAAACACAUUGUUCAAUAUAUAUGAUCAAGAAUCUGAUCCUGCGAGCAACAGCAGUCAGAAGAACCAUUAUAAUGCCUAGCUCUUAUCCUGGUUAAUCCUCUGGCCCGAUGCUUCAUCAUAGUGAUUUAAAAAACCAACAACAGCUCUCUAAAAGAGAUGAAGAUAUCAUCUACGUAAAGAACAUGAGACGGAGAUUCACAACCCAUAAGAACUGAGAUAAAUUGGACCAGACCAGUAAUCUUGAGAUAAGUUAAACUGUGACUUAAGUUGAAAUCAGAGGACAGGAAUUUUAAAAUCUUUCGGCUAAGCCCCUGAGGAAUUUUCUAGAGUACGACUUCUGCUUACCUCUGUUUAAUUUCUCUUUAUAUUUUUCUUUCAUUUCAUUAAUAAAGUCAAAUAAUAAAUCAAAGAACGAGGGAAGAUUUUUCCAAGUCAUGCAUUAUUUGAUUACCAUCAAUCAAGAAACCGACCAAAUUAAUUUCUCUCCGUGAUUUUUAAAAAUUAAAAAAAAAAUAUUUGAGCAUAACAUCAUUAAUUAUAGAGUGGAUCAAACUGCGUUAAUCAUGAACUUUGUUGUGUUAAUUAUUUCAAUCCCCGAUUACGCAAUUUUUAAAUUAUAGCCUAACGGUGGUCUCAUCACCACGUGUGUGAUUUUCUUUUGCCAAUAGGAUCUGUAGAGAGCUUGAUCUCACCCAAUAGCAAAAUAAACUUCCUAAUAAGUGAAGGCAUAGUAUAAAUAAUUCACCCCCAUAUUAUUUAUUAGCAGCUUGAUUAUUUUAUAUGCAUCUUUGAUUUAAAUUUUUUUUUCCCAUAAUUGCUACUAUGUUCGAACUGGUCAUGAAUUAUCUAUAAGAUUUUUCAUGUUGCUUUUAGGUGCAUUGGAUUUUUUUUAGUUUAGUGCAAGAGUAGAGGAAGGCAAAUUAAGAAAAAGGAUAAAGAUCUAUGAUUAGCUAUUUUGGGAUGUCUCAUAACAUAUUGAUGGUAACAUUAUACAUAUGUAUAUCUAAAAAAUGGGGUUGGAUCAAGAGCCCAUUAAUAAUCAUAGAUUAGCUUAUAUAGCAAUUUCACAAGCACAUGUUAGCCUAUGUUGAGCUUUAUUAUCAAUAGUUCAUAGUUCAUCGGUGCACUGCAGGUUUACUAUUUGAAGUAAAUAUUAUGGUGCGUGCAUUUUUUAUAAGGCCAACUGCUGAAUUUAGCAUUGAAACUUACAAAAUGUAAUAGAGAGAGGUAGAUAACAGCCACAAAACACUAAGAUUGGAAAUCAGGGCUACUAAAUACUAUUACAAGCCCUUAGAAAAGACACUGAUCAUCCUAGAAUGUAUAUACUGAAAGUAAGAAAUAUUAAUCGCAAAGUUAUGUGCCAACAAAACUAUUGACUACUUGUCUCUAGCAGAAGGUAUAUAUUUUUAACUUCAGCUCUCUACUUUGUUCUAAGAACUAGGCAAAAGAAUGAAACUUCGGUGUCUAAAGUUUGCCGCUUGAAAUAUUUCACUGUCUAAACAUUCACUCACCACUUAUUUCAUAAAUGAAUUUUGUCUAACUAUAUGUUGAUAAAGAUAUUAGAGGUAAUAUAAUGCAUUUAAGACUUAACGUAUAUUUUUUAUUAGUAGAGUGUAGAAUUUUUAAGAAAUAAAUUAUUAAAUUACUAUAACUAACAUAUUAUUUUAAAGUUAUGUUAAGAAAAGAAUGAAAAUAAAAAAUAAAAAAAUAAGGGUAUUCUAAAACUUUGAUCCUUUUAAAAGUAGUUUUUGACGUAAAUAAAAUAAUUUUUAUUUUUUUUAAAUCACAUACUCUAGUUAAAAUCAAAUUUGUAUUUAUAAAGAUUGUAAAAUUUUUUUUAGCAUUAAUAUUUGAAUACUUUCAAGAUAAGAAAUAGGGUACUAAUUAUGCUACAACAUUAUUAUAGCACAUAAAAAGACAAUACCCUUUAUAUUAUUAUACUAUCGUUUUUGUUAUGAUAGUAUUUUGUUAGUGGUCAAAUAUUACUUUUUUAAAUAAAAAAGUAGACAAAUGUAAAUCAAUUUUUAAUCUCUCCUAAAAUUCUAAUUCCUAGUUACCAAACAAAAUUGUUUGAAAAUAAUUUGGCUAAGUGCAUGGGUUCUUAAAACUAUAGGUGAUAGAAGUUACAAGCACAAGCAAAUUUGACGGUCCAUUUUAUAAAAUUUUUAAUAAUUUUUUAUUUACCAUUUUACCACCUAUAUAAUGAGUGCCACAUCGACAAAUCAAUUCAUUUGCAAAUUAUAUUAAUUUUGUAAAAUUCAUUUGACUUGCUAAACCCUUCUUAUCCCCUUUCUCGACUGUCAUACCCUAACCUUAUUUCCCGUGUCCACACUUGACCACGCUCAAUUCAGGCCAUCAGAUUAUCCUGGACCCACAUUAAUCCAACUGCUCACAAUGACCGACAGCCUCUCCAUCUCCAUUUCAAGCUUCCUCUUCAACUGGCUUCUGCUUCCGUCGUACUCUUUCUUGGAUUCGGAGUCCGUAUUUGCUCGGCCGGUCCCGCACAGCUCCCUCUCACUCCAAUUGUCACCCAACAAGACCAAUUGCUUAACAUUGACCGUAUGGCAAUUGUCCGUAUUUCUUGGAUUCGGAGUCCGUAUGGCACAGAACAAGAAGAGGAUGAGAAAUUGAAACAAGAAUUUGAGAAUUGGAAAUCGAAAACGUACGCAUUGACCGUGCCUUUGAGGGCAAUUACUUUUCUUGAGAAUUGAAGUUUGGUAAUGUAAUUUGUUCUCCAUCUGUGUUCCCUUUGUAGUCAUUUCAUUUAUUUGUUUGUUUGCUUUUAUUUGCACUUACGAAGUCUCAGAUAUAUCUACGCAGGAAUGAUGCAGGAGAAAUUGAUCCUCGAGCUUACAAGAAAAGUAAAUUUCGAAAGCAUAAUUUGGCUCCGAUUGAGGUAAUAAUUGUCUUUAAACUCAUUUAGUUUUAUAUCAAACAAAAUAAAGGCUGCCUUUCUCUUCAAUAUUUUUUAUGAUAAUAUCUUUAGAAGCAUCUCAUUGACGGGUAAUCAUGGUAUCCCUUAAAGAGUCUAUAAACUCAAUGAUAUUUUCUUCUGCAAAUGGUUCAUUAAACUUCUUAGACGUAGUUAAAUGUACACUAAGAACAACGAGAAGCUAUGCCGCUGUAGCAUGUAGUGAGAUCUUGUUUGAAGUUGUUUUCUGAAAUGAACUGCCAAAUGGUAGUUUUUUAUUUCUUGGGUGCAUUUGAUGACUCUUUUCUCCUCAUUUUAAGCAUGUACCUGCUUGGAAUGGGAAGGAAUAGGCUUCCGAGUUGUUAUAUAUGUUGACAUGCUCUGAUCAUUACACAAAAUGUUCAAAUUGGAAAUUAGAAUGAGAUAUUUGUCGAUGCUUUUUGAGAGAUCUGCAUUCUAUGCACCAUAACAUGAUUAAUGAAAACAGGUUUAAGGACUGGAAAGAUCUGUGGCGGCCCAAGCUUGCAGGAAGGAUUUCAAUGGUUAAUUCUCCCAGAGAGGUUAUUGGUACAGUUUUGAAGUAUAUGGGAGCAUCAUACAAUUCAAACGACAUUGAUUAGCAAGUUGCUGCUGGGAGGAUUGCUGUUCAGCAGAAUCUGGCAUUACUGGGAAACCAGGUACUCUUAAAGAAAUGAUAUCUGGUCAAUGCAUAUUACUGCCUGAGCUGAUUUUGUUUGUAAAGUCUGCCUCUUCAUACAUAUGAAUGCAUAUGUUAGUGUUUUCUUCUCCUUUUAAUACACAUGAAUGCAUAUGUUAGUGUUGUCUUCUCCUUUCCAUAAAUAUGAAUGCAUAUGCUCUGGGUGUUGGUUACUACUUCAAGUGGAAGGUGAAGGUGAUGCAAGUGAUUUCAGGAGUACAUAUAUUCCAAGGAUGCUGGACUAUUAUUGCUUCCCCCCAUAUUUCAGAAUUUUUUGUCAACCUCCUCCACUAAGGGAUUCCAAUUGAGUUACAAAUAUAUUUUCUGUAGCUAUGUUUUAAAGUUUUGGUCUCAUGUUAAUUUUUCUAAUUACUAUUCUUCAACAAAUCUCUUUUACUUUAAAAAACUGCUACAGUUUGAUUUUACUGCCUUAUAUCAUUGAACAUUGAUACAUGGAAUUUGAAAUCAGACUUGUAACAACAGAUAUAUAGAUAUAGAACAUGCAUAUAAUCUCCAUUUCGAGCUCCCUCUCCAACUGGCUUCUGCUUCCGUCGUACUCUUUCUGGGAUUCGGAGUCCGUAUUUGCUCGGCCGGUCCUGCACAGCUCCCUCUCACUCCAAUUGUCACCCAACAAGACCAAUUGCUUAAUCAAGGCACAGAACAAGAAGAGGAUGAGAAGUUGAAACAAGAAUUUGAGAAUUGGAAAUCGAAAACGUAUGCAUUGACUGUGCCUCUAAGGGUUGUUUCUCUUCAGAAUUCAGUGCCUCAAUCUUGGGUUAAGGAUUUUAUGCGAAGUCAAGGAAAGAGAUUGAAGUUUCAGAUGAAUUUGUGUGCUAGCAUUGGUGGGAUCUUUAACAAUUUAUCUGUGCCCUUUAACAAAGUUAAGGGUAAGUCAGCUUCGUAUACGGCUGCUGAUUUGGUUAGUGUUGGUGAUUCAUGGCUCAGUUUUGCGAUUAAAAAGAGAUUGAUUGAGCCAAUAGCUGAAGCUGAAGAUCAAGAUUGGUUCAAAUGCUUAUGUCACAAAUGGAAGGUAACAUACUAACAUCUUUAUCUUUGACCCGAUAAUUUUUAUUGUCUUACAUUGAAAUUUGGUAAUGUAAUUUGUUCUCUAUUUGUGUUACCCUUUGUAGUCGUUUUAUUUAUUUGUUUAUUUGCUUUUAUUUGCACUAAUGAAAUCUCAGGUAUAUCUACGCAGGAAUGAUUCAGGAGAAAUUGAUCCUCGAGGUAAAAUAUGGGCGGCACCAUACAGGUGGGGCACAACGGUGAUAGCCCACAAGAAAAGUAAAUUUCGAAAGCAUAAUUUGGCUCCGAUUGAGGUAAUAAUUGUCUUUAAACUCAUUUAUUUUUAUAUCAAACAAAAUCAAGACUGCCUUUCUCUUCAAUAUUUUUUAUGAUAAUAUCUUUAGAAGCAUCUCAUUGACGGGUAACAAUGGUAUCCCUGAAAGAGUCUUUAAACUCAAUGAUAUUAUCUUCUACAAAUGGUUCAUUAAACUUUGUCGUUGUAGUGAAAUGUACACUCAGAGCAAUGAGAAGCUAUGCCACUGUAGCAUGUAGUGAUGGCACUUAAUAAGUGAGUUGCUAGGAUGUGAACUAGAAAAAUUAAAUAUUGUCUCCUUGGGUAUGCUAGCUCAUAAGUCAGGGUUAAUAUUAGAGCUUAAGUUACUAUAACCAUGAGACGCUAUUGACUGCCAAUUAAAAUAUCCAUUAAAUUGUCUAGGAAGUUAUGAAAGUGGAGGUAUCUUCCGAUUUCUAAGGCCAGAUAGUAGACAUCAUCCAGGAUCCUAGGAAAGUGCAGUUAACCUCCUGCUCGAUGCAAUUAAUAAAUUUGGUCAAUGCCACUGAAACCUGCAAACCGACGUCACAAUGCAAGAUGAGCACUUCAAAAUGGGACAGACGGUCAGUAGCACUAAAUUUUUCUUUCCCAAGAUUGAGCAAUUGGUCUAACAACUAACCCCUAUUGUAGGUUGAUCAUUAUUUUUCCAAUUAUGUUCAGUUUGACCCAAAAAGUUACAGAAUCUUGAGCUGAAUAUUGUCACUGAACACUGUCAAUGUCGUUUAGCAUACCCAACUAACUUGAGUUUGGUAAAACAAACACACUGUGUGUCUCAUCUCUCACAAUUCAAAUUAUCAUCUGUAAUGAUGGAGAAUUUUUCCGAUGUAUGAAGUAUGCUUUGAUACGUGUACCUUGGAGAAGAUAUCUCCAAAUAAAGAAUAUGGAGAGAAAACGGUUCAGUAGUUUAUUAUUCUGUAGGCAAUUCUUGUCUCAAAAAUGGUCAAAAUUUAAAUGAAUAAGGACAGGGGAUCUUCAUUCUUUUUUCCCUUUUUUAUACCAAGAUAUCUCUCAACCUUUAUAUAAUCCCCACUGGAUAUCUGCUUCUAAUAAUUAAAAUAAAAAUUUCACCCGCACAAAUAAAUACUGACCAAGCUCUAACAAUAAAAAGUAACAUCUUUACUCAAGUAAUUUACAGUUCCUCAUCAUCUUAGUGUGAGACUAUCAUUACGUUCCAAAAACAUAAUAAAACUGGUUUGAUCCUGUUUAUUGAUGUUUAAAUGUUGUUCAUUGUGACAUGUAGAAAUGAUGAGGCGAAGUUUAUUUGGUCAUCAAUUAGUAAGAUCUUGUUUGAAGUUGUUUUCUGAAAUGAACUGCCAAAUGGUAGUUUUUUUGGGCAUAUGAUGGCUCUUUUUUCCUCAUUUUCAACAUGUGCCUGCUUGGAAUGGGAUGGAUUAGGCUGCAGAGUUGUUAUAUAUUUUGAGAUGCUCUGGCCAUUGCACAAUUUGUUCACACUGGAAAUUAGAAUGAGAAAUUUGUUGAUGCUGUUUUGAGAGAUCUGCAUUCUAUGCACAAUAACAUGAUUAAUGAAAAUGGAUUGUAGGACUGGAAAGAUCUGUGGCAGCCUGAGCUCGCAGGAAGAAUUUCAAUGGUUAAUUCUCCCCGAGAGGUUAUUGGUUCAGUUUUGAAGUAUAUGGGAGCAUCAUACAAUUCAAGCGAUAUUGAUUCGCAAGUUGCGGGUGGGAAGAUUGCUGUUCAGCAGAAUCUGGCAUUACUGGCAAACCAGGUACUCUUAAAGAAAUGAUAUCUGAUCAUGCAUGUUAUUGCCUGACAACUGAUUUUGUUUGUAAAAGUCUGCUUCUUCAUACAUAUGAAUGCAUAUGUUAGUGUUCUCUUCUCCUUUUCAUACAUAUGAAUGCAUAUGUUGGUGUUGUCUUUUCCUUUUCAUACAUAUUAAUACAUAUAUUGGUGCUCUCUCCUGAGAUGGAUGCAAUAAAGGCUUUUGGUCCUAAAUUUAGCUGAAGAAAUGGCAAGGGAUGUGAGAUUCUGUCUCAUUAAAUUAACAAAAACCCAAAACAAUGAAAACCGAUAAUAAUGUGGUGGGGGUAAAUUGGCACCAUUUGGUUUGUUUCCUUAAUGUGAAUACACGAGCAAUAGGGACUAACAAAAUGAAGUGACAACAACAAGUCAGUGUCCUUUGAUGGAUGCAUUUUAGGCAGAAAUAGGUUUGUAAUUGACCAAUUUCAAAAAAUUUAAAUUAUGUGGUUAUUAGCUGUAAUGAAGGGGAUAGUAGGUGCAAUCAGGUGGAUCCAGGAAAGUUCAACAAAGUUCUGGUAUGGCAUAGUGAAAUUGGUUUGUGCAACUCAAGAGUCUUUCAGGUGAACGAUGAUACGUUUUGAUUUAUAAAUGUUAUAAAUCUACCGUCCAUAGUAUUCUAGUAGAGUCAUCUAUAAGUUCUAGUUAUUGAAAUUGUCUACUUUGUCCAGUUUGAGUUAAGGGCACAUGUAAUAGGAAAAAUAGUAUUCACAUCUUUUUGGUUACCUAACAUUUGAUCGAUCCUAUUAUGAGGGCUUCAAGAUGCCUGACAAUAUGUAGAAUGCCCAUGCUCCUCCCCAUUGUUUAUCUUAUACAAUAAUUUGUUUUAGAUGCUAAUAUAUUUGUCGAUACCGGUAACGAUAUUACAAUAUCUGCGUUUAUUGGGUUUUACAUAGGUUCGACUGUUUGACAGUACACACUAUCUGAAGGCAUUUGGAAUUGGAGAUGUAUGGGUUGCUGUUGGGUGGAGUAGUGAUGUUCUUCCUGCUGUCAAACGUAUGUCUAAUGUUGCAGUUGUUGUUCCCAAGUCUGGUGCUAGCUUAUGGGCCGAUCUUUGGGUAUACCCAUGCCUGCCAUUCUACUUCGAUAUUCACAUUGUUAUCUCCUUCAUUUUAGCGAUCAUAAACUUGAUAAUGUGACUAAUAAGUUCGUAUUCUCUAUAUAGGCAAUCCCUGCUGCCUCAAGACUUGAAACAAAAGAAAUUGGAGGGCGAGUCAGAGGUCCAUCUCCAUUAAUCCAUCAAUGGAUAGAAUUCUGCUUGCAAACAGCGAGAACAUUGCCUUUCAAGCAAGAGGUUAUCCCGGGCGCAUCUCCCUCUGCCCUUGAAAGUACUCUGGUUAAGUUGCCUGAAGAACUUCUGAUGGGUAAACCAAGUCUGGAUACUAACUUAAUUGCUGGAGUACCCCCGGCUGAAAUUCUGGCCAGAUGUGAGUUUUUGGAGCCAUUGCCUGAAGCUACAUUGUCAGAUUAUGAGUGGCUGGUUGCUAAUCUGCAAAAACCUGCCCCCGUCUUGAUGAAAAGGCUGCAACAUUACUUGUCAUCAUUAAUCCAAAGCUUUCUAGCAAAAGCUACAUUGAAAAGUUAAUGGCACUGCAUGCCAGUCAUUGUAAUGCUGUCAGGGCUAUUGGGUCAGGGCAAUUAGGUAAGAGCAUAACUUCAUUAGGAAAAGAGGCUUCAGCUACGUUAAAUAUUGCAGGAUGUACUGAGAUGGUUGAAGUUCUUGAGGUUUUACGAGAAACGAAAGAUGAGUGUUUGUUUGAACAAAGUUGUUGCCAUCUUGCAAGAUCACUGAGCGAAUGCCACCGAUUUCUUAAUCAUUGUAGCCUCCAUAGUUGAAGUUUCCUUAUUUGAAGCUGUUUAUGCGUACGCUUUUUCCCUGCUCAAGUACAGGAAAUUGAAGAAUUAACCAGAUGUGAUAUGCUGAAAGAGGGAAGUUUUCUUCCUUGAACGUGGCCUUGUGAUUUGUCUUGAAGGAAUAGGAUGAUCACUGGCAAGAACCCUAUCAAGGUAGAUUUUAUGGUGCUAACGUAUUAUUAAGCAUUUUGUUACAUCAGCAAUGAUGCUUCCAUAGCAUGAAAGUGUUUAAAUUUAACUGAAUGAUCUUGAUUAAUCAAUUAUGAGUUUUAAUCGAGUAAAAACUAAAUACAAUCAUCGUUAGCAAAUACUGAAAUUGGGUAAAUAUGAUCUUGAUAUUGAAGAAUCUGAAAACACAACCCACACAGGGAAUCACCCUUCGCGUGGGGAUGGAGAUGUUUACUGCAGCGAUAUUGAAUAUGUCCACUGCUCUUUGGGUUAUGGUGCGACUUGCCCUGAAACAAUGGAAAAGAUUAACAUACCCUGCAAUGAAUGAAAGCGGCUGGACUAAUUCUGAUUACCUAAUUGACUCAGGAUCGGGUGGCAAUAAUGACAGUUUAUUAACAAUGCACAGUUCCGAGUACUUUUCCAGGAUCAGAUAUUACGUGGUCUAAUGUUGAUAAUAAUAGAUUAUCAAAUGAGAGAUGCUGAGAGAUGCUGGUCUACCUUUGCAAGCCCCCAGAUUUAAGAAUCUUUUGAUGAUAAUUUACCACCUGUACCUGUGCCGGAAGAUUCACCUAGCACUGAAAAAGAUGAUAAUUUAAUUGAUAUGGAUAGUUUUCAUAACACUUUUAAAUCAUCUAUAUGUGAACUAUUAUUGACGCUAUUUUGUUGUAAACAAUCUUAUUCAAUUAAUAUAUAAUUUAAAAUCAUUAUGUAAAUCAAUCUAUUACUUUUCAUGAUAUUUAAUUGAGUUAAAACUAAGUGCACCCAAUAAAUCUCUUUUCCUUUAAAAAACUGUUACGCUUUGAUUUUAGUGCUUAAUAUUUACGGAACUCCGGUACAGGGAAUUCGAAAUCAAACUCGUAACCACAGAUUAUCUAAUUGCAAGUUUUUGUCCAUAGUUGCUGAUUGUAGUGAUUAUCUAAUUGACUGAGGUGACAACAAUUUUUUUUUUUAAUUUUCAAUAGCAUAAUGUGGAAUUCAAUAAUUAAAUUCUCCUUUUUAAUUUGUUUCCAAUUAAAUUAUUAAUUACUUAAACUCUGUUUUAAGUCUUUAAUUUUAUGUCUUGGCGUAUAUGCAGGGUUGGAUUCUUGAGCGUGUUGGACACGACCAACAAUGAAAUUGACAGUAAACAAACAUUACAACGCGUUGAGUGUCGACUCCGCUAGCUGCCCUACAAGUCUACAACUUUACAAACAACAACUGAGUACACACAUUUGAUUCUUGGGACCCUUCAAUGAAUUUCUAGCCCGGUUGACUCCACCGACAAAAGUUUUGGAAAAUAAAAAAGAAAAUUCAUAGAAUUCCACCAAAUGCAAAACGCGUGGAAUUUAAUUUUCGGCCAUGUGGACCAAAACAUAAUUUAAUGAAAAAAAAAGAUAAGAUUUCUAAAAUGUGUGGAAGGUGAUCCAUAUUUUACUGAAAACAACUUGUUAAAUUUUUCAAAGAUUUAGAAUAUUUGGUCAUAAAUUACGCUCAUGUUAAUUUUUCCGCUAUUGACUAUCAUAUUCUAGACUCACUGGUACCUUUCUUGAUGAAGGGUACUUAGUCUCUCUUCUCCUCUUAUAAAAAUUAUAUUAAGUGAUUUCUUAUUAUAAUAAAUAGUCUUUAAGAACGUAUAGAUUUAUUGUUUUCGUGACCAAAUUAUGCCAGCUUAAGGUUGCGACUAUUAAUAAAAUUAAUAUUUAAUGUUUAUGUUAAAAGAUAUAAGAUUUUAUGCAUUCAUUAAUUGUUAUUAGCUAAAGGAUUAAUUAUUUUUUCAACCCAAUCAGUUGAUGCAUCUGCAAAAAAAAUUUCUUUUAUUGACCAUAAUUAUAUUCCGGGUACAAUAAAUUAUCUUUGGUGCUUGGAAAAUUUGACUUCUUACUUCAAGUUUGAUGUGUCUCUCUCCAUAAGCUUACUGGAAAUAUAUCCUUUUGUAUUAUUAAUAAAGUGAAAUUUGUUGCUCCUUCCUUCUAAAUCUAAACAGAGUUUCACAAUUUCACCAACUUGGAAUAUUUGACAUUGGACUUUUCCUCUCUCCAUAUAAGCCUUCUGCAAAGAAUUGCAUCGUUAUUCCCUUCAUUAAAAAAUCUGUCGAUGUCUGGUUGUGAAGUCAAUGGUGUCCUACGCGGUCAAGGUAAAAGAAAAGUGUUGAUUGUGAACUCACUCAAUGGUGUCCUACGUGUUCAACAUUUUUAUUUAUUAAUCUUUCUGCUAGAUUUUCCUCAUUUCAAGAGUUUGGAACAUUUUGACCAGCUUUCUUCAAAUCAUCGGUGAAUCAAUGCCUUCUCUUAAGUACUUAUCACUGUCAGAUUCUACUCUUGGCACUAACAGCAGCAGGAUUCUUGUUCGAGGUUAAUCAGAUGCUCCCACCCUCCCUUCUUAAUCUAUAAUAUUAAUUUUCAAUUAAAUAUUCAAUUACACAAACCAAUCACUUAUUAUAAAAGAACAAUACGCAUUCAUUAAUUUUUAUAUUGUAUUAAUAAUUGAUGAAUUUAAUAAAUUUUCAAAUAUUGUAUUAAUAUUUGACAUCCAUUGAAGAGCUGUAUCUUUCAAACAAUCACUUCCAGAUCCCAAUUUCACUUGAACCAUUUUUCAAUCACUCACGACUCAAGAGUUUCUAUGCUGACAACAAUGAAAUAAAUGCAGAAAUAAUUGAGUCGCAUUCUUUGACUGCCCCAAACUUCCAAUUAAAAUAUCUCUCAUUGUCUUCCGGUUACGGAGAUGGUGUCACAUUCCCCAAAUUCCUUUACCAUCAACAUGAUCUGGAGACUGUUGACCUCUCACAUAUAAAGAUGAGUGGAGAAUUUCCAAAUUGGUUGUUGGAAAACAACACAAACUUAGAAUAUCUUUUUUUGGUUAAUGAUUCUCUUGCAGGACCUUUUCGGUUGCCAAUUCAUUCACACAAGCGGUUAAGACUGUUGGAUAUAUCCAACAACAACAUCCGAGGCCACAUUCCAGUAGAAAUUGGAGAUGUUUUACCAAAUUUAUACGUUUUCAACAAUUCCAUGAAUGCUUUAGACGGUAGCAUUCCCUCUUCAUUUGGUAAUAUGAAAUUCCUCCAAAUUCUAGACUUAUCCAACAAUCACUUGACUGGUAAAAUCCCCGAGCACUUGGCCAUGGGUUGCGUCUACUUGAAUUUUCUUGUCUUGUCAAACAACAACCUACAAGGUCAUUUGUUCUCUAGAAAUUUUAACUUGACAAACUUGAAAUGGUUACAAUUGGAGGGCAAUCGCUUCGUAGGUGAGAUCCCAGAAAGUUUGUCUAAAUGCUCCUCACUAGAAGGAUUGUCUCUUAACAAUAAUAGUCUUUCGGGUAAGAUUCCACGAUGGUUGGGUAAUCUCACAUGGUUAGAAUAUAUUAUAAUGCCCAAUAAUCAUCUUGAAGGCCCUAUUCCAGUGGAGUUUUGUCAGCUUGAUUUGCUUCAGAUUUUGGGCAUUUCAGACAACAACAUAUCUGGAAGUUUACCAUCUUGUUUCCAUCCUCUCUCUAUCAAACAAGUUCAUCUUUCAAAAAAUAUGUUACAUGGACAGCUAAAAAGAGGUACAUUCUUUCAUUGCUCUUCCCUUGUGACAUUAGAUCUUAGCUAUAACCGCUUGAAUGGCAGCAUUCCGGAUUGGGUUGAUGGGCUUUCUCAGUUAAGCCACCUUAUCUUAGGUCACAAUAAUCUUGAAGGUGAAGUGCUAGUUCAAUUAUGCGAAUUGAACCAACUACAAUUGUUAGAUCUUUCUAAUAAUAAUCUUCACGGUCCUAUUCCUCCUUGCUUUGAUAACACCACACUUUAUGAAAGUUACAGCAAUAAUUCUAGUCUUGAUGAGCAAUUUGAAAUAUCUUGUUCCAUCGAAAGCCCUCAGGGAGAUGUAGAAAAGCAAAUCCGUGAAAAUUUUGAGUUCACAACAAAGAACAUUGCGUACAUUUACCAAGGAAAAGUGCUUAGCCUCCUAUCAGGACUUGAUCUUUCUUGCAACAAGCUAAUCGGUCCUAUUCCUCCUCAAAUUGGAAAUUUGACAAGGAUUCAAACAUUGAAUCUAUCACACAACGACUUGACAGGAUCGAUCCCAUCAACAUUUUCAAACUUGAAGCAUGUCGAAAGUUUGGAUCUUUCCAACAACAAAUUGAAUGGGAAAAUCCCUCAUCAACUAGUGGGGUUAAAGACAUUGGAGGUUUUCAGUGUGGCAUACAAUAACUUAUCAGGCGAAAUUCCAGAAUGGACUGCACAAUUUGCAACAUUCAAUGAGAGUAGCUAUGAGGGAAAUACUUUUCUUUGUGGAUUGCCAAUGCCCAUUUGCAGAUCACCAGAAACUAUAUCGGAGGCUUCAAUUGGCAAUGAACGAGAUGAUAAUUUAAUUGACAUGGACAGUUUCUUUAUCACAUUUACAACAUCGUACGUAAUUGUGAUAUUCGCAAUUAUUAUUAUUUUAUAUGUAAAUUCUUAUUGGCGACGUAGAUGGUUUUACUUUGUUGAAAUGUGGAUAACUUCAUCUUACUAUUUUGUUGUAGACAAUCUUAUUCCAACAUGAUUUUGUCAUUGAAAUUAAUUAGUAGCUUAAUUACGAUCCUUUAAGUACUAAUCAAGUUUGCUUAGGAAAUAUUUUUUUAUUAAAAUUGUAGUAGUAUUUAGCAUUAUAUAGCUUCCAACUUCCAAGCACUUCACAUUUGUCUCUACACUUAAAAAACUGAGUGAUCAUGUUUUGCAGAUCUGGAUUUGGAGCAGGAUGGAUCCAAACCCAUAUCUGUCCACCAUAACUUAUAGCUUCCCUAUACUGUGCAGCAUACUUAAAUAAGAGAACCAUCUCCAAUGUUAAAAGCAUUCACUCUAUAACAUUCAUUUAGAAACUAUAUUCAGAAUAAUUUUAUAAUUAAACACAAGAAAUGAAACACACAGAUACACUUGAUCGCCUAUUUUACUCUAAAAAAGAACGAUUACUGUGCUAUCAUCAUCUUCUUCACUAGCAACAUUAACACCAAAUCGAUAGACCCAUACAUUUCAUCAAGAAAGGUAUAUAUCCAAUAAAGUUGAAGCCUAACAAAAAAUUCAAGAAGAUUAAUGCCUCGCCACAACAAGGGGCACAACAACAUCAAAGUAGAGAUUAAGCAGUAUUCUCAAAGCUAAAACUCUCAAAUCCACCCACCAGAAUUUCAUAUCUCCUCAACAAUUUUAAGAAAUAAAGAUAAUUAGGAUUUAACAUUAGUUUUUUAUAUAUUAGUUUCAUAAUUUACAAAUCAAUGAAGAUGAAGAUUAUGCUAAUAAAUUCAAAUUAUACCAUACAUUCUCUAGAUGUUACCAAAAAUUUCUAAGUCAAUCCCACAUAUUUCAUAAUUUUAAGACUAGAAAAUUUCACUAGUUAGAAGUUUCAUUAACUUCAAGUGGAAGAUGAAGAACAUUAUACAAGUGAUUCAGAUUAUAUCAUACAUACUCCAAAUGCAACUAGAAAUUAACAAGUUCAUGCGCACAUAUUUCAUAACAUUAUGAUUGAAACGUUUCACAAAGAGAAAUUCUAAAUUCAAUCUCUUGCAUGAAGGCAGUUUGAUUGAUUUGAGUUACUUUCUUAUCAAGCUACUAAUAUAACAUUCAAGUCAGGGAGAAAAUAAAUUAAAACUGGGAAGAAAUAACAGUAAAAAUUUGUUGCUCAACAUGAUGUGUAUUUUUUUUCAAGGCAAUUUGGAAACACAAUUGUUACUACAGAUAUUCUUCUCAACUUGGAGAUAAAUACAAAUAUUAAAAUGCAUAUGAUCGCACAUAUUACUUCGAGUUUAGUAAGAUUUCAUUAAAAGAAGCAAUCAAACCACUUAUCAAUUGUCGCAGUCGUUCUAUAAACUAAAAUAGCAAUAUAAUACAAGAAAAAGAACAUAUAGAUACUUGGCAAGAGUUCAUUAAGAAGUCGCAUCACAUUCGGGUGAGGAGUUUGCUUCUGAUAUCUUGCUAGCUGGGGCUUUUUCUUGUCUUUCUACGUAUGCCGAGGGAAACCAACCAGCUUGGCCCUUGCAUUCACCUUCCGACCAUCCAAUAGGAGCCACCUUGAGAAGUUAUAACUAAAACGGUGAAUUAAACAAAAGUUGACCGUUCAAAGACCUAAGGGGAAAACUAAUUCUUUUACGUAGGAGGAGUGAAUUAGUUGUGAUCACUGAAAUAACAGCAUAACUAUGGAAGCAUAACAAGAUAUAAAUUCACACGUCUAUAAGGAUAAACUGGGUGGUUUAGAACUGAGCUAGCAACCCUACUAUAUUCUGAUUUGCACUUCAAUGUAAAAGGGAAUAUAUGGUAGGAAGAAAGAAAACCAACCAUCAUUUGUUAACUCAUUGCUUUUCAAUCAAAAUUUUAAGAACAAAAUGCCAUGUGCUUUGAACAUCAAAUAAGUAUAAGCAUUAGUUCUAAAUUCCACAUAUCAUAAGUUGUUAGAAGGAUAAGUUAAUAGCAGAGUAGAAAAAUCAAUGUGUUGGUAUUUAGAGGGGAAAGUACCUGGCGAACCACAACAUAAUCAUCAAUUGAAAGACUUAGCUCUCCAUUUGCUUGAGCAUCAAAUGGAUGUAUAACCUGCAAGAUAAUGGGAUAAAUGGAACUUAAAAAAAGCAUAACAAAAGCAGCAACAGUAGCAGCAACGUUCAUUGUAACCACUAUGAUCAUGGCCAACAAAGAUAUAUUAGAAACAAAAUUCCAUUUUUACUAUGACAUUAAUAUGUACUAUACGAUAUCAUGACGAUUGGGUUACUAAGAGCUAUCAAAGUCUAAUAAGUUCUGUAUAACUUUAUGUAGUUAUUUAAAUUAUGGAUCAGAUUUUAAAUUUGAAAUUUUGACUGCUCUCCACAAAACAUGGCCUAUGCACAAGAAAGUCAUAGAUAAUGAGGAUUACAAGUGUCCGACAUCUUUUGAGUGAUGGAUUUAACAUGAGAGCUUAUGGUCAGUCAAUUUCCUCUGCCUAGCAAUAUAAGCUUUCUCGGCCAGAUUUAUCAUCAAAUACAUAGAUUGCCCCCAAGUCACAUCCAUAUAAACAUAGUUUUUCUAGGUAAACCAAGUAAGGAGCAUCAUAAUUCAGACAUAAUCAUAAAAAGGCCCAUCUAAAUUAAGAGAAAAUCUCAAAAAGAGGGAUGCUGAGCUAUCAGUCUUGUAUCUAUAAGCAAUAUCAAGACUUUACAUCACCUGCUACAUCAUGAGUGGCUACACAACUUUCAGUGGUUUGUCUUUCUUUGGCACGCCUAACUCAGCUUUGAUGUUGCUGAGAUAUUGAUAGUAGAGACACAUGAUACUUCUAGCUCAUGCAUUCUAUCUAACUCAUCCAACAACUAUCUCUUUUUUAAUUCAUUAGUGUUUGCUAAACCUCAUGCUUAAAAGUCCUGUUCUCCUAAAUAAAGUUUCCUAAGAAUGACUUCCUUAGCACCACAGUUGGACACUUGUAGAGCAAUUUUAUUUGGGGGAAAAGAAUUUUCAAGGUGUUAACUAAUAAAUUUUAAAAAAUAAUUACAAUUUGUCCUACGAUCAUAUGACAAUUUAUCUGGGAUGAAAGGAUACAGAUAGACAUCUUCCACUUUCAAGACUAAUCACUACUUCCGUAGAUGUUGUGCAAUAAUACAAAUACUUGACCAGAUGGUAGUGAUGGUAGAAAAAAAAUUUAUUGCUCCAAAAUUAAAAUAAGAAUGCAAUAUGUUAAGCAAAAGGCUGUGCAACAUCAAAUUAAUUGAUAAGAUAGAUGCAGACAAGCAAGUUAAAAUGCAUAGUCCCAAACCUCCGCAUACAACUUCUCUAAAAUAGCAAUAACGUGUUGAUGCUAUGUUUUCUCAGCAUCUACCUGCAAAGGCCCGAGACCAGGAAAACAACAAUAAAACCACUAGCUGAAGGAGAAAGCAAAGAAAGAAAUACACUUGACAUAAAUCUUGACAAGAAGCACAAUUUAAGACAUAACAAACCCCAAUCAUAUUGUUUAGAACUACCAUUCGUUAUUUCGUUAUUGUAACAUUUCGAACAAGUGUUGACUUAAUUCAACAUUGUUGGAAAGAUAGGCUUUUAGAAGCAGAAGAAAGCCUCUCAAACCAAAGUGCUGGUCCUUGUAUUGAUCAAGGGAUGUAAACAUAUUACAUUUGCAGGAUGAGAUUUAAUCACUCCCCUGAUUUAUUUGGGUUGCAGUAAAACUAAGCGAGCAACUGUUUGACUUCCAAGCAACAGCUAAAUCAGCUAUUAAAAUUCAAAUAAAAUCAUAAUAGAAUAAUAACAGGCCCUCUUGCAUCAAAAAUUAAGUUUAAUUUGUGCAUUGUUUUCUAUAGACAUGUCAGUUUCUGCUAUUGAAAUGUUAAAAGCAUUGAAAAAUUAUUCAAUAAAUUAUGCAAGCAUUAAAAUAGAGGACAUAUUAAAAAGUUUCUAAUUACAAUGCUAAUAUUUCCUAUAUUUUAGCAUUUGCAUAUUUUAAUUUAUUUAAAAGCUACGUCGAUCAACUUUGGGCAUGAAGAUUUUAGCUUCUACGAGACUUGAUUGGAAUAUGCAUAAGGAAGAGUGUUAAAAUAUGAUGCAUCCAACGAAAGAAAACCACGUGUAGUCUUUUAAUUAAGCCAAAGUAGCAGCUCAAACAAAUGACACUUGGACCAACAUGCAAUCAUGAAGUGGCCGGAAAAAGGACAAAUGCUACUUUGGCUUAAAUAAAAAAUAACAUGUGACUUGACUUUUGCUGGACAUGCAUCAUGUUAUUACAAGACAACAGAAAUCAGUAUGAUAGUACUAAAAGUUGACAAUAACAUGAAGAUAAGAGGCAGAAUGUCAACACAUGCAUAGGCACACACAAGAAAGUAUUAACAUAUAUACCAUAGCAAAAACUCUUUUAUAUGUCAUCUGUUGCUGCUGUGAUUCAACUGACAGCAAGGCAGCUGUCGCUUCUCUACCAAGAGCCAUUAUUUUAGAUUUAAGCUCGGUCAAUCUUGCUUCUGCAUUUCGAAGCUUCACAGCACUCUCUGCUGAUAUAUCAGAUUCCCUAAUCUUUGAUCGGUGCCUAAAUACUUCAGCUGCCUGGUGAAAAUAUUCAAUAUAAAUCUAAUAUAAUUCUCAUCUUGCCUUAUACAUGCAUAUGUUACGUCAAAGCUUACCUGGGCUUCAACUUCAUGUCGAAGUUUGUCAUAACAAUGAGUCAGGUGUCGAGCAUCUUCCAAAGGUGCUCCGUUGAUUAACGCCCGUAGUGGCUCAGAUACCUACAUGUCCAAAAACCUGUAACAUAGUUAGAAAAAUGAAAAGAAAGAGCGAAACCUCAAUUAAAAAGUUCAUCCAACAUAAUCAUGGAAUUUGGGCCUACUUUAAGAAUAUAUAUAAGGAUAAUUUAUGCAAUUUUGGGUCUUAGGAUGAUUGGUAUUAGGUUAGUGUUCUUCUCUUCUGUAUUUAAGGUUAAAAUAGAAAUAAACCUAUGCAAGUAUCUAAAUUAGGCCUGUAAGACAUCCACAUGCAUCCUUCAGUCUCAUGGAUUUGAUUUUACUAUAGAUGCAAGUGUCUUUAUCGAAAAUGCUUGGAGUCAAUUGAGAGAACUCAUGGCCAAUAACUUGUCACACGCUAGUCUUUGCUAGUGAUCACAAGGUCUCUUCAACAUUUGAACCAAUAAAAUUAUUAAGUCAUGGAUGUCACUAGCAAUGAUUUUAAUAUAAAACAUUAAAUAUUUCAGAGUUGUAACUUUAAAAUGGAUUCUUUUAUUCAAUAUCAUAGAACUAAGUUUCCUUAUGAGAAGAUAAUAGUUUCGAUAAUAAUUUUACAUAUAAUUUUCUAUAUUUGAAUUAUUUUCUAGUUAGGGAUGAACUAACCUGAUCACGAAGAAUCCCGAGCAAAGUUUCCCUCUCAUUUUCCAUCAAAUCAUGUGAAGUGCCAAAUUGAAGAGCAGCUCUUGCAACGCAAGAAUUGUCACUUUGAUUCUCUACUCCAUACUUGCAACAAUCUUCAGCCAACUUUCUCGCUACAAUAUUUGAAUACAAAAAUAUUGUACACAAGAACUAUAAAAAAACUAAUGAAAAAUGCCAAGAUGGAGCAGAUGCUUCAAUACUGCCUAUACAAACCAUAAAAAACUAAUGAAAAAUAAAUAAAAUCGAGAAAUUUUACUAAUUAAAAGUCUAAAUAUAAUUUUGAAAAAAGAAAAGAAACGGACUUGCUGCUGCUUGGCGACUUGUUCUCGGAGCUUGAUUGCCUGUUUCUUGAUAGCUUCCAUACUGUUUCUUUCAAAAAGCGACGACGGCUCUGCUCAUGGAAGUGGAAAAAAAAGUGUGAUCGAGAAAAAUGAAAAGGCGUGAAUAAUUUUUGACAAAAAGCGAAAAUCAAGGAAAGCCGGCUCUUUCCAGAAAAUAAAAAAAAGAAAAAAAGAAAAAAGAAAAUCAUAAGUUUGAAAGGAGAAGAUGAUAUUGGAAGUAUGCAGUGUGGCUGCCAGGUACUUGGAUUGUAUUGUCGGGUAAGGUAAUAGUGGAGAAUUGUAAGUUUGAACGGAGCAUGUUGGACUUUUGUUGACCAAAUUCAAAAGCCAAAUGGCACGGCCCGGAAGCUUUUGAAUAGAAAAACUUGCUAGAAAGCAUCAGUUUAAAUCACUACUUAAACGCUUGCUUUAACUGCACCGCUUUGUACUGUUUUAUGUAUGUAGCGGUUGUGCGGUUGUAAUUCACGGCUGACGCUACGUGUUUGUUUGUACUGUUCUAUUCGGUGACAGAGUAUUAUUAGUUAGGCCAAAACUAUGUUGCAACAGUGGUACAGUAGCACUGUUGCUUUCAGUCAUUAGAUCUAUAGUUGUACAGUUGCAUUAACAAGAUCCAAUGACUGAAAGCAACAGUAGUACCGAACUACUGUUGCAACAUAGCUGGAGCCUAUUAGUUAUUUCAAAGGGAUAAAUAAGAUUGGUUACAACAAACCUACUAAUUUUAUAAAAUUCAAGUAACAUAGAAUAAAAUAAAAAAAUAAAUACAAAAUUGACUUUUAUUUUUUAUGGUUGACUAUAUUUUGUGUUCUCUUCGGGCACUGCUACAAUUGUUCCCUAUAUAUCAAUUACACCACAUACUAUCGACACAAGAAAUGAAAUCUAAUAUCACCUGUUUAGUUAAAAAAUCACUCAUGAAAAAAUUUUACCAUUUUGAUUUGAGGAUCCAUAUUUUAAACUACAAGCUAAUGUUCAUCAAGAAUUACUGAUGGACAAAUUAUUUUUUUUGAUAGAAGAAUUUCUUUAGGAACUACUAAAUUAUUAAUAAAAAUAUCGAACACACCCACAUAUCAUCGACACAAUUGAUUUUGAGGAUCCAUGCUUUGAACUACAGCCUAAUGUUCAUCAAGAAUAGAGUAUGGCUUAUGAGUAGAAAAUUUUCUUAUUUUGGCCCAAAAUAAAAAGAAAUUAAAUUGGAUGAGAAUCUGCCACUUUCUCAUGAAGAAAGGCAUACGGAGCAUACCAUGGUACCAUACAAUAUAAGAAGCCUCCGUUCUUUGGUUUUUCAAACUCUGAAGGGGCUAAUAUUGCCAAAUUCCCCCUUGAAAAUUCUGAUUACGACAUUAUUCAUCGCUUGAUGCAAUCAAAGUAGUGACAAAGUUAGGAAAAAUAUGAGUCCUAAGUAAUUGCUAGGCAGGGCUCCUGAGAGCAAAAUUGUCCUAAGCAUUAUAUGCAUACAUAGUGCAGUACAUAGAGCACGUUGAAUUCCCCACUAUAACACAAACCCAGAAAGACAAGUAAUAACUCAACUGAUAUAAAGACAAAAAGAAGAUAAAAUGAUAUAGAAAAAAGAAUUUCAAAGAGACAGCAACAUACAAUAGACUGAAGCCACUUGAUCUGCUCAUUGAUUGCAGCCUUAAACUUGCAAAUAGUUACUGUACGCUAGUGCUCUAAGAAGUGAAAAUGAUGCGAGCCCUGAUUCCCUUUUGACUUCCAUUUACUGUCAAACAUUCUAGUAAUACAAAAAAUUGUUUAGAUAUCUUGCUAUAAAUAUAGCCGUUUGACUGUCAUAAUAAAGUCACAAAUAACCAUUCAUAUUGAUCUACUGUCACACAGCAUGCUUUAUGCAUACAACAGCUGUAUGCAUACCAACUCCUAACCUUAUCAAUACAUUUGGCAAAAACUUAAGAAGAAAGCUAUUUCUCCAUCUCUUUUUUGAAAUUUCACAAUAACCAGCACAAUGUGAAAGCUAUGUUCUAACCUUAUGAUAAAUGCUCCAGACUCCAAAAGGGUUUUAUAUAUGAGAGUUUGUUGCAGCAGAUAUAUUGACUUAUCAAGUAUGAAUCAUUGUCUGGAUGAACUAUCUUUAGAUAAAAGAAUAUUAGAACCACUGUAGAAUAUCUUUACCCUGCUGGUUCUAACAGGAAUCUGCAUGUGGCAACAAUUGCUAGACCCACAAUUCCCCAACUUGAAAUACAUAGUUGCACACCAUGAGAUAGUGCUACAAUCUACUGAGAUCUAACUUAUAUGGUACUUUAAGCUACUAAUGUUUGCAUAUUUCUACAUGUUAAAUUAACACUAUCAUCUAUAAUCACUCCAAAACAACAAAUGAUAAGCAGCUUUUGGCCACUUAUUACUAGCAUACACAAUUAUAAAUAAGAGAUCAUGGGUUUACUUGUUGCACCUACUUAAUUAUCUGCAGUUGACAUCCUGACACAAGGUUUAAAUAGUGACUGCUUAGAACCCUUGUAGUUGGAUCUUGACCUCUCCCAUUGUAGCCAAGAUUGGUUACUCUGGUAAUGAAUCAACACUCUCCUGCUCAGGGCCAUGAAGAUCUGAAAGCUCAGCACUAGUGGAGAACUUCAUCAAUCUCUUCUUCUCAGCAUACUUGAGACAAGGCUGCAUUACGAGACCAAUCACCACAGCACCAACGCUUAAAACUGCAACUUUUAAAGAAGAAAGAGCCAACACAACACAACACAAAUCAAUAUGGUUGGAGGAAUACACAUGAUAAUGGCUCCAACAGUGCCAGUGGGUAUCUUGUAGGGAUGAGAUGCAGCAGGAUAUUGUAUCCUUAACCAUACAAAUGCUAUGAACUCCAUAAUCAUUCCAAAACAGUACAGGAAGUUCUCUGCAGCUACAAUAUCUCGAAAGCUCAGCCAUGAUAGCAAAACCACACCAGAAGCUGAGAAUAUGAUUCCAAUCAAAGGAGUCCCAUAACAAGACCUCUUAGCAAAAAACUGAGGUAGCAUUCCACGCUCAGCCAUCCCCAAAAGUUGGAAAGAGUCGCUGCUCAUCUCAGCCACAAACAUGCCCAUAUUGGACAUUGCUGCAGCCCCCUGGAUGCACCAUCUCAACCAAACUCCUCCAAGCACUUUAGCAAUAUCUGAAAAGUAACCAUCGGUCCACAAGUCGCGAUCUAAUGGAAUAGCUCCAGUUCAAACUAGAAGGGGAAAGAAAUACCCAAAAAUGACCAAGAUCAAAGCAUAAAACAAAGCCUUUGGAAGAGUCUUCUUUGGGUUAUCCACCUCUCCAGCUAGUGUACUUAUUGAGUCCCAGUAGUUGAGAUUCCAAAACAGGGUGUUCAAAUACAAAUUCCAAUCCACUUCACCUAAAUUUACUACAAGCCAUCUUGAAGGCUCUAACUUGGGAAGGGACACAAGUCCCAUAACCCCAAAAGGAAGGAGUGAGAAAAUCCCUAAAAGAACAGCAGCCCAUCCCACAAUGGUUAGACCCCUAUAGUUCAUGAAAGUGAGAACAAAAGUCAAAGCUAACGCCGCAAAGGCUCUAGGUAACCCAUUGCCCAACGCAGGGAUACCAGACUUCAAGUAGUCAAGAAACAGAACUGGGUAUAAAGCAUUAUCAAUAACCCCACUUAGCCAUCCAACCUUGCUGAAAACCCCAAUAUGGGCCUAAGGCAGAUGAAACCCAAACCACAUAACCACAAUUUUCAGGAAACACAGUACCCAUUUCGGCAGUAAUUAAAGCUUCAGGGACACUCCAUAUAAUCGGAAACACCAAGAAACCAAGAAGUGCUAAAAGAGGACCAGCUGCCUUUACACUAUCCUCAACACCAAACGGCCCCCCAGAAACCUCAUAGAAUAUAAGGAAAAUAAGUGGCAAGAUUGAUACUUUUUUAGUGCCAUGGACUCGAGGAGAAGAUGGUUGGUCAUUGAUAUUAACAUAUUCAACAGCAUCAGACUGCCCUAUUUCUACUGAAACUUGCCUAUUUACAGUGUUCCUCAAUUUCUGCAUCAAGUUUAAGCAUAACUAUCAAAAGGGUAUCCGCAUCUAAAUUAUGAAACAAAAUGAGCAUUUACUUAUUAAAAAAAAUCAAAAAACAGAAAUGGAUUUCGCAGAGCACAUGAAUUUAAGUUCAACAUUAAACAGGCGCUUAAGAAAACAAAAGGGUCUGUUCGUAAAGCCAUCAGAUUGCAAGAUUGAACAACAUUAACGGAAUCAAUAGAAUAGAUGUAAAGAGAUCUGAAAAGAAAAUAAAAUAAAAGAUAAAGAGAGAUAAAACGAACCAUCAAAUAAGUGCAUGCAGAGCAGAGAGGCAGAUACUAGAGAAGCUCCGUCAUGUUAGAGAGAGCCUAAUUCAAUCAGAGCUCACUGAGUUUCUUUUCAACCGACCGGCAAAUUUGGAGUGGCACAACAUAAUAUUUUUACUUUUAAUUUUUGGAACACUUUUGAAUAGAAUUUUUUGUUUUUAAAAAAGGUAAGGGAGAUUAGUAUUUAUUUAACGGAUCAGGCUACGGUGCAACUGUGGCACCGUGCCACAGUUGCAUCUAGCCGUUGGAUGCAAUUGGAAUGGUGGAGUCCACUGACAUCCAACGGUUAGAUACAACUAUGACACGGUACCACAGUUGCACCUAAGGUUCCCUUAUUUAACUUUAUAUUUUUUAAAAUACCUUAAAAAUAUUUUUAUGUUAAAAUAUUAAUAUUUUUAUUAAUAAUUUUUAUAUUUUUAAUUUAUUUUUAUAAUAUUAUUUUUUAUAAUAAUUUUUUAUUUAAAUAUUAAUAAAAAAAUAAUUAAAUUAACAAUUUAAUCCUAAAAUAAAUAAACACGUGUUUGGUUUUGGGCUUUUUCUUUUGUUCGUUUAAUAUCAUCUGGCUCCCUGAUUUGUGACUAAUUAUCAACAGAAUCCCGUUGGUUUCUAAAUUGAAAUAAUAGAAGGUCAUGAGACUAUUUACUCCAUUUAGCACUGCAGACUUAGAGUAUAUUGAAAAAGCUUUGUCAAAUAGUAGUAAUAGGGGCAUAAGAAAUAAAUUAUAGCUAUCACAAAUUCGUUAGGAGAAUUUCAAUUUUUUCCAUCAAUAAUGGCUAUGAAGCAAAAUUACCUUAGGUUAUAUUGCAAUACUAAUACUUCAAAUCCUGAUAAUAAAUUUGAUGACAGUCGUUUUUAUCAUGGUUUUAACAGAUAUAAGAAGAGAAAAUUAACUGUUCAAACAAAUUAGAAGCAAAUUCUUUCAUAUCUUUCUUUUAUUUUUCCGCUUACUUUCUUAGCAUCCAAACAAGUUAAAGUUAAAACGCUGUUAGAGCCAACAAUAUGCAGGCAUCAAUAAGCAUAGUAGUUUUGUAUAUGUAUUCUAUACGAUAUUCUAGGGAUGUCAAUUGUAGAACAUUUUGUGGUAACUUUUUUACAUUAAUUAAUGUUUGAAGAACUUGUUAAAAAGAAAAUGGUAAUUUUAUCAUUUUGAAAGACAAAAAAAAAAAAAAAAAGAGUGAAAGUGGCGUUACCUCAUGGUCAUUAGAGACUUGUUGCAAUGAUAGCUCAAAAUUAAAAAUUUGUGAAGAAUUAGUAGACAACGACGAUACUAUAUUUAUACAGUCACCAACGUGUUGAUUUUUGUUUAAUGUUUGAUCGAUAGAAACUUUCGUCGUCGUCGCCGUUGUUGAAUUUGUGCUAAGAAUAUCACAAGAGAAGAAAAAAGGAUGAAAGGGAAGAGAAGAAGAGAGAAGUGGUGGACAGCAAAUAUGAUAUGCUAGCUACACACAGGCCUUAGAGAGUUUUUUUUUAAUAUUUAUUGUAUUUUUGUUUUUGUUAUUGGUUUUUCAUAUGCUUCCAAGGCAGCAAUGCGUUACAUCAUAAAUUGCACCUUUUAGGGGAGGUGGUAAAAAACAUGAGAGCAAUGCAUUCUAGCGCAUACAUGCAGAAAGAGUUUCCAAAUUUUCAAAAGUUUCUUUAUUUCUUCCACCUUUUUUUGCUUAAAAUAAAUUUUAAUUGUAUUUUGCAUUAACUUAGAGAAAAAAAAAUCCAGUUCUAUACAUAAACGCAUACAUUGAUUAGAAAAUGAGUUUUAUGGACACAAAGGGACAAUAUAAGAGAUUCUUUUUGUUUAUUAGAAGUAACAUAACUAGUUAGUGUAACAUGUAAUUAUAAGCUACCAAUAAUUUGCACUAAUGAUAAUUAACGGUAUAGAUUUUGAGCUAUGAAUGUCUUGUGGCUAGUUUAAUUAGAUUUUCGAGUUUUCAGCAGAUCUAUUUUAAUGAUUAUUAAAUUAUUUUCACUUCUUAUGCCUUAAUAAAAAAAAUCAAUAUUUUUUGCUGUAUUCUAUAUUUUAAAACUUAAUUUUUAGUUCUUUAUAUUGCAAACCAAACUGAGUCAAAUAGAGUAUGCUCUUCAAAUAAUUUUUCCAUUGCCUUCAAGAAGAAUUCAUUUUAUUUUUAUAUAUUAAUUUAACACUUGUAAACCGGGCCGUCAGAUUGCACAUAAAGCAAAUGAUCAAACCGUUACAAGACCGGCCCAGGCCCACCGACUCUAUUUUCUUUCAUUUGACCAUUAAAAAGCUUUUGGCCACCCCCACCAAAUAAAUAAGCUCUUGUUCUCUUUUGUUCCCUCUCAAAGGAAAAUAUCUGAUCACCGGAUAAUGAUUCCGGCGACACAAAAGAUCGAAACACCCCCCUAAAUUCCCUAAAUUUACGAUAAUACCCCACCAUGGAUGAUUCCGUUGAAAUGCCGCCUUACGAUGAAAGGCCUAAAAAGGGUUUUAACUUCACCUCCAUGCGCUUGAUCUUAACCCUCGUUUUCCCAAUUUUAACUUGCUUUUUGUUGGCAUUUUUUAUUGGAAUCGUAGCUGUUUUAUUCGGUGAAUCAUCAGUUUCCAGUUCCAUUUUUGUCCCUUCCCAGUGCAAGAUAGUGUCCAGCAGUAAGCUUUUUUUAACAUUUUCAAUUUUUUUUCCAUUUAUGAAGUCCAAAAAUUUUAUUAAUUUUGACUUUUUUGAAUGAUUUUGCAGGUGUUGAUAUAAGGUCAUCAAAAGUUUGUGAACUUGGGGUGUUGAAUUAUAAGGCGAAGCGUGUGUUUUAUCCAUUUGAAGCAAGUAAAUUUCGCUGUCGGUAUGAUUACUAUUAGGCUUCUAUCUUCAAGGUAUUCAUACAUUUUCCCCUGUACUAUAAGCUUCUCAGUGGCGGUCUUGUGAGCGGAAGUGAGCGGUGUGGUUGACAGCUUCUUGAAAAUUAUAAGUUUGAACCAAGCAUGUUAGAGCACCACCAAAAGCCUCUUUAAAUAAGAUUUUAUUAUUUAUUUAAAGAGCCACAUCAAUAUUGAAAGCUCCAAAAGACACUUCAAUUAAAAUUCUUUAAAUAAGAAUUGAUUCUCUUCAAAUUUGGAGAGUUAAUUUCUCCCUCUUCAAUUUAUAUUUUAUUACUUUUCAUUGAAGAAAUAGAGAAAUGCUUUAAUUGCUAUUAACUUUUCCUUUAAAAAACUAAUUAUAUGAUUAAAAUAAUAUUAACUUAUUUAUAUUUGAAGAGUCUUUUGAAGAAUAUCAUAUUUUUUUCACCAUUCUAUUUGCCACAUAGGUAAACAAAUAGAUAUUUAAAGAGUAAAAUUUAUAGAAACUUUUGGAGAUGCUCUUAGACUUUUGUUGACCAAAUUCGAAAGCCAAAUGGCACAGCUCAGAAGCUUUUGAAUUGAAUAACUUACUAGGAAGCUCCAAUUUUUUGUUGGCUACAGUAAAAGGAUGUUGUUUUAUUCUUCUUAUACUUUACGCUUGCAUCAGCUUAAAUCACUUCUUAAACGCUUUGCUUUAACUCCACUGCUUUGCUGGGGCGGAUUUACCUUGGAACAAGUGGGGACUUAAGUCCCCACUGAAAAAAAAAUUGUUUUAAUAAUUAAUUUGAUUUGCCAAAACUUCUCAAUAAAUUUUUCUUAAGCCCCCAUAAUUUCUUUCAACAAGCAAUUGAUCUAAAUGAGUUAAUUUCUGUCAGUUGUAUCCAAAUGAGUUCUCUGCAAUUGAUAUCAUGGCACUUGAAAUUCAACUUGAUACAUAUAUUUUGGAUAUGCGCACUAGUGCGAGACUAAAAGACAUAAGGUAUAUCCAUUGGUUUACUUGUUAAUAAUAUUAGCAUUGACUUUACCCGUUGCCAUUGCUAGUGUAGAGAGUAUUUUCAGCCAUGAACAUUUUGAAGAAUUGGUUAUAAAGCUGUGAGUAAUAGAUGAAUGAUAGUUUAAUUAUUUACAUAGAAAAAUACUUAUUUAAUAAUAUUGAUAAUGAACUUGUAAUGCAACAUUUUUAAUGUAUGAAAACUUGAAAGGACAAUUGUAAACAUAUAUUGAAGUAUGAUAAAUCUUUCAAAUUUAUAUAUUUAUUACUUUUUAAAUUUUUUUAUAUUGCCGUUGAAUGAGCCCCCAGUCAAUCAAUAUGUUGUCUUCACCCUGCUUCGUACUCUUCUAUAUAUGUAUCGGGUAUGCAGUUGUAGUUAAUGGUUGAGACUACGUGUUUGUUUGACGUGGUAGUUACGUUACGAGUCUGUUAAACAUUCGAUGAUUAAAGUAUUAUCUGUUAUUUCAAAGGGACAAAUAAGAUUAGCUACAACACACCCACUAGUUUUAUAAAAUUCGAAUGAGAUGGAAUAAAAUAAAAAAUAAAUAAGUAAAUUGACUUUUAAUUUUAGUGGUUGAAUAUAUUUUCUAUUCUCUUAGGGCACUGCUGUAAUUAUUCCUUAAACGUCAGUCAUACCCACAUAUAAUAGACACAAGAAAUGAAAUCUAAAAUCACCUGUUUAGUUAAAGAAUCAUCAUGAAAAAAUUUUGCCAUUUUGAUUUGAAGAUCCACUUUUUGAACAACCAACUUAUGUUCAUCAAGAACGGAUCAUGGCUUGUGAGUAGAAAAAUUAUUUUUGGACAAAUUAUUUUUUUUAAUAGAAGAAUUUCUCAAGGGACUAAUAAAAUUACUAAUAAAAAUGUCAGACACACCCACGUACCAUCGACACAAUUGACUAUGAGGAUCCAUGUUUUGAACUUCCACCUAAUGUUCAUCAAGAACAGAAUAUGGCUUGUGAAAAGAAAAUUUUCUGAUUUUGGCCUGGAACAAAAAGAAAUUAAAUUGAAGGAGAAUCUGCUACUUUCUCAUUAAGAAAGGCAGACAUGGUAUACCAUGGUACCAUACAAUAUAAAAAGUCUCCAUUCUCUGGCUUUUCAAACUCUGAAGGGGGCAAUAUUCCCCAAUUCUCCCGUGAAAAUUCUAAUUACGACAUUAUUCAUCGGUUGAUACAUAAGUACAAGUAGUGACAAAAUUAGGAAAAAUAUGACUCAUAAGUAAUUACUAGGCAGGGCUCUUGAGAGCAACAUUGUACUAGGCUUUAUAUGCAAACAUGGUGUGGUACAUAGAGCACGUUGAAUUCCACACUAUAACACAAACCCAGAAAGACAAGUAAUAUCUCAACUGAUAUAAAGACAAAAAGAAGAUAAAAUGAUACAGAACAAAGAAUUUCUAAGAGACAGCAACAUACAAUAGACUAAAGCCAGUUGAUCUGCUCAUUGAUUGCAGCCUUAAACUUGCAAAUGUUUACUGUAGCCUGGUGCUCUAAGAAGUGAAAAUGAUGCAAACCUUGAUUCCCUGUUUACUUCCAUUUACCAUCAACACAUUCUAUUCAUAAGAAAAAAAAUGUUUAGAUAUCUUGCCGUAAAUAUAGCCAUUUGAUUGUCUUAAUAAAGCCACACACAACCAUUCAUAUUGAUCCACAUUGCCACAUAGCCUGAUUUAAGCAUACAACAGCUGAAUGUAUACCUAACUCCUAACCUUAUCAAUACAUUGGCGACAACUUAAGAAGAAAACUAUUUCUCCAUCUCUUUUUUGAAAUUUCACAAUAAAACAGCACAAUGUAAGAGCUGCAAUGAAAAUGGACCGUCUGAAACUAUGGCGGAAGCUUCAACUAGUGUAGUGAUUUGACCUUCUUAUUAACCUAGCGAGAUCAAACACUGCCCUUGAUCUUGAACAGAUCAAUACGAUACGCACAACUUAUGAUUGAAUCCAGAAACAAUCAAAUCUUUAGCAAGAAUAAUUAAUCAGAAUCAAGAAACAAGUUUAAUGAAUAUAAACCUAUAAUUGGAACAAACACAGCCAAAGAACCCAAGAAUGACACAACGAACACCAAGGGAGAAGCUUUCCAGUGAGAUUAUAUUGAUGAUCAAAGAAGAAUCUUUUUACAAAGCUAACAAAAGAGAUUUCAGAGAAUAAGCUAUGACCCUCUCUCUCUUCAAUCUCUGUCUAGUUUGUUAACAGUGAUGACCCAAUCUGCUUCGUUAGCCAGCUUCAUAACUGCGUCAGUGACAAACCAGCAAACCCAGAUUGAGCAGACUAACGACACGUGCAUAACGGCUUUAACGAACUUGGUUAAAGAACUGCUCACAUGUUCGUCACGCGUGUUGCUUAAAUGAUAGCCAAAACGACUUCAACCAGAUGCCGUUUUGAAGCUUAUGAAUUAUAAGUGAAAACACGUGCUUGUCUCGUGACAUUUAAAUGCAACAACAAGCCCAAAACACUGCCGUUUCACUAUGUUGAGUUUGCCAUCUCUAAGCUUCACAACUAGCAGCGGACAAGAUGAUAAUUUAAUUGACAUGGACAACUUUUAUAUCACUUUUACAACAUUCUAUAUAAUUGUGAUAUUGGGAAUCGUCGGUGUUGUAUAUGUGAACCCUCGUUGGCGACACUGGUGGUUUUAUCUUUGUUGAAAUAUGGAUGACUUUUUGUUACUAUUUUGUUGUACAUAGUACAUAACCUUAUUCCCAGGAGAUUUAAUCAUUGAAAUUAACAUGUUAGUUUCAUUAGAAGGCUGAGUGGUUAGGGCUGCUACCCUCCAACUUGGAGGGCAAUAGUUUAAACCCACAAGCGCAAUGUGGGGGUAUUUCAUUCUUUAAUUACAUUGUAUAAUUGAAUAAAUGUAAUCUUCUCUCUUACACAAGUGUGAGUGGAGUAGACAUCUCUCGAAUAUUAGCGAGGGUUAAAACUUGGACAGAGCUCAAUAAGUAUUUAUGUAAGUUGGUCCUAGUAAUAAUCUGAUUUGUAAAUAUCAGUUAUAGUCUCAUGUUUCCUUCCUUAAUUAUAUUGUAUAAUUAAGUAAAUGUACUCUUCUCUCUUACCCAAGUGUGAGUGGAGUAAACAUCCCUAGAAUAUUAGUGAGGGUUAAAAUCUGGACAGAGCUCCAUAAGUAUUGAUGUAAGUUGAUCCCAGUAAUAGUAUGAUUUGUAAAUAUCAGUUAUAAUCUCAUGUAAUAUGAGUUGUAAUUUGAGCAACAGUUUCAUGUAAUUACAAAAAAAAUGCUACUUUCAUUACAUUUUUCUUCGUUAAAAUUCUCAAGUAUCAAUUAUGUUUGCUUAAGAAAUAAAAUUUCGUUAUGAAAAUUGUAGUAGUAUUUCCGAGCAUCUCACAUUUUCAAUGAUUUUUCAUAAAUCAAUUAAUCUGUCGUACCAAUAUCAUGUUUAGUUUUUCAGACUAAAUAAUCAAGAAAGCAAACAAAUUCACAGUUUAGAGGGGUAAACUAGCUUUUAGAUUUUAGAACUAGGCUAGAUACCUCACCAAAUUCCAAUUUGUACAGUGAACUACAAGAUUGAGAAAAUAAUGUAUUUAUAGUUUAAUUGAAUCAUGAGAAAACAAUGUAGUCAUAGCUCAAUCGGACAUGAUCACGGAGAGGCAUAUUCUUUUCAAGUUAAUUUGAUCCAUUUAUAAGAAAUGAAGUGGAUCGAAGUUAAAAGUUAAAAUAAAAAAUCCUUAUUCUUGAGUUUUACGACGUCGUUACUCCUUCAAGAGGCUGAUUGUGCAAGUGAAUGGAGAAACAGAAUGCUUUUAUAAUUUUUUUAAUAAUUGUAAAAAUAAUUAACCAUAACAAAUCCCUUGCGUAAAUACUAAUCAUUAUUUAAAAGGUAGAAAGAUAGUUAGUGCACAAUCAAAUUUUAAGCCCCUACCUCCUCGGCCCAAGAUUCAAACUUAGAUGAUCAGCCAAAUAAAAUUAUUUGAAAAUCAUUCAAUCAGGUUCCCGGAGUAAAAAUACAAGAUCCUUAUUAUAAAAGUUGUCCCACCUGCUGGUGUAUAACAACCACUUCAAUUCAAACUAGAUUCUUUUUGUUUUUUUUAAUGUAAUCCUGAUAAUAUUUAUGUUAUCUUAAGAAUAGGUCAGCUUGAUUAUUGCUGAAAUAUAGGAGGAAGUUAGCUUUGAUUCAUUGUAUUAUUUAUACGCUCUGAUACCAUAAAGAGAUUGAUAAUUGAAAAUGAACUCACUUCGUUACUGGUAUGUCUGGUUCGGUGGUUGGCGGGGAAGGUGGAAGAGAUGGUUGGCGGGCAGGUAGAGCUUCCUGUGGGGUUGGGUCAGCUGGUUGUGAAGUAGCCUCAGGCAGAGAUAAUUCUUGAGAGCUAGCUGCAGAUGGAGUGUUGGCUGCCUGCUGGAGUGAUGUGGGAAUGGACACAGUAAGUACAGGAGGAAUCCAAGUGGAUAUGGUAGUGGAAGUAGGACGUGGAAGAGUGGUGUGUAGUGAGGUGUAUGGAAAGACUGAUUCAACAAAUUGAACAUGGCGAGAAACAUGUUGCUGUUGAUUAUCAUUUUAUCAGAGAUCAAGUUCAAUCUGGUCUACUUCGAGUAGCUCAUGUCUCCUCUGCUGAUCAGCUUGCCGAUCUUCUCACCAAGCCACUGCCCACUUCUCAGUUCUUGCUUUUACGGGACAAGAUUGGCCUCUCUACUCGUGGCCUAUCUUGAGGGGGCAUAUAAAAGUUGUCCCACCUGCUGGUGUAUAACAACCACUUCAAUUCAAACUAGAUUCUUUUUGUUUUUUUGAAUGUAAUCCUGAUAAUAUUUCUGUUAUCUUAAGAAUAGGUCAGCUUGAUUAUUGCUGAAAUAUAGGAGGAAGUUAGGUUUGAUUCGUUGUAUUAUUUAUACGCUUUGAUUCUAAUGGAACGAAGUGAGUUCAUUUUCAAUUAUCAAUCUCUUUACUUAUUUGCAUGAUAUAUAUGAAUUAAUGUAAUUUAUUUGAAUUAUCCAAAUUCAUUAGAGAUAAAACUAUAAAAUAUACCAAAAACGUUAGAAGGAAGGGUGUGUUGGGAUGUUUUACAAACUAUAGGAAUCUGGUGAGAUUUUGAGCCAAACUGUAGGGAGUUGAAGGCAUUUGCCCAAUAUGUUUAGUCGUACACUAACCGUUAUUUGAUCUUGUUGUUGGUCCCGGAUGAGCUGUAGUCUUAUUUUAAUUUUAUUUAAACUCACCAUAAGAUUCGCGGAGCUCCUAACUAACUUAAAUGACUCUGCAGAGCAUGUCAACACAUAGCAUGUUUAACCGUUUUAUUUGUAGAAGAAUUUAUGAUUUCCCAUUAGCAUUAUUAUUGAAGUGGGGCGGGGGCGGGUCAAAUCUCAAUUGCUUGAAAAUUUUAUUUAUUAUUAUUAGUCUUGAAGUGAGGUGGGUAACGGUUCGCUCCAAUUCGAGGGAAUCAAAUAUAUCAUCCAAGGUAGAAUUGUGGAAAAUUAAAGCAAAAUAAGAAAUAUGGAAAGAAAAGAAGAAAGUUAAGGCAUGAAAGACAUAUACAGUUGAAAUUAUAAUCAUGUUUCUAUUUUGUUAACUAAUCAAAUGGAAAGCUGAACUGUAAACAAACAUUAAAACGUGUGGACCAAGCUAGCUGCCCUACAAGUCCACAAUAAUAAUUGAGUACUUUGAUUCAUCCUUCUAUAAAUUUCUACCCAUAUUGACUCCACCGAAAUUUCCACAAAAUUAAAAAAAAAAAACUGAAUUUCCACAAAAUACAAAACCCGUUGAACUUAUUUUUUGGUCAUGUGAACUAAGAUGUAAAUUAAAAAAAAAGUAUAAAAUUAAAAAAGAUAAGAUUUCUAAAAUGUGUGGAAGGUGAUUCAUGAUUCACUGAAAUUACUUACCCCAGAUAUAAAAGUAAACCUAUCUAAUUUCAUUAAAAAUAGUUAGAAAAAAUUAACUAAUAAAAAGCUACGGAAAUUAACCCCCCACAAAAAUGACUUUUUAUAGAAGAAUUUAUGUUUUUUAAAAUAUGUUAUCAAAGUGUAUUUGAUCAAAUCUCAAUUGCUUAGUAUGGUUAGGAUUUUGUGAACAUCACUAAAAAGUGAAAAACUAUGAAUGAUAGGGGUGAUGCUUGCAAUAUGAAUAAAUAAUGGACUGAUUCAAUUGAUGAUUACAUUUAUAUAUUAUUGAUUAUUUAUGAAUUUUCAGACUUGUUAUGAUGUAUAACUAUGUGAUUUUGAAACUUGAAACCGUGGCAAACAUUGAAAGGAAUUAUAACUUGAAAGCAUGACUCACGGGGUAUGUCAUGAUUCACGUGCACAAAAAAGGUAGAAUUGUGGAAAUUUACAACCCAACGACAAAUACGGAAAGAAAGGAAGAAAAUUAAAAGACUUCGGGCCUAGCCUGCGUGUAUUAAUUAUUAGAUUACUUUUUUUUUUAUAAGGGUAAUCAUCAAUUUACUCCAUAACAAUCUUUAAUUCAUUUUUAAAAAAUAUGAAAACUUUAAUUUAUCUUUUAAACAUCGUUACCUCUUCAUUGGUUUUAAUAGUUCAAAGGGUAAAAUUAUAUUUGCAUAUUUUCUUGACCGCCAACUAAAUGAUAAAACUCAAAAUUCAAUCUUGUUAUCUUGUUUCAAUCCUCUAUCAAUCAAAUAAGAUUUCUAAAAUAUGUGAAAGAUAUUGCAUGAUUUCCUCAACCUACCUGGCCCCGAACAUCAAGGUAAAUCUCUCUAAAAUAGUUGAUUAAAUCUCAGUUGCUAAGUAUAGUUAGGAUUGUGUGAACAUCACUGAAAACUAUGAUUGAUAGAAGUGAUCUUUGCAAUAUGAAUAAAUAAUUAACUGAAUCAAUUGAUUUAUAUAUUAAAGUUUAUGAAUUUUCGGACUUGUUGCGAUAUAAUAAUAGCAUAUGAUUUGAAACUUGAAACAGUGGUAAAUAUUGAAAGGAAUUAAUUUGAAAGCAUGAUCCGUGGGGAAUGUGAUGAAUCGUGUUUACAAAAAAGGUAGAAUUGUGGAAAUUUAUAACAGAACGAUAAAUAUGGUAAAAAGGAAGAAAAUUGAAAGACUUGGGGCCUGGCCUGGGUGUAUUUUCUAACUGUCCAAUGGACAAAAUUAUAUUUGUAUACUUUCUCUUCCCUAGCUAGGUUUCAUAGAAUAGCUCAUUUCAUUUUUAUUUUUUAAAUAAUAGCCCAAAACAUCCUUAUGUUAAUUCACUGUUAGUUGAAUAUCAUUUGUUAGUAAUUCAUUAAGGGUAAAAAAUGAUUUUCUAUCAAAGAGAAAAUUAGAAAAAUAAAUAAAAGUUGACAUAUAACUAAAAAUGAUCUUAUCUAAUCCCACUAAAUAAGAAAUGCCAAAAAAGAUGAAAAAUUUAUAUUUCAAGCAAUUCUUUUUUCACUUAUUUCUAUUUUGGCGGCAUGAAAGCCCUAUAAACCCUAGAUCUAAAUACCAAAAAUAUCACAAUUUUCUUAUUCAUAUAAGUAUACUCUCUAAUUGCAUUGUAAAAUGGCUUGAAUUGAAUUGAAGAUAAAGAAAAUAUUCAGCACAUGCAAGCACAUAAAAAUUGGUGGCAUUUUUGAGUUUUUCUUCCAAUGAUUUAAAGAUAUUGUUUUAAUUACAGUUUGUUCCUUAUGACAAUUAUUCAAUGGCUAUAUCAAACUAUAUCAUCGUUGAUUUCAUUUAAGAAAAAGUUAAUGAAUUUUGCAUACUUUGUAGUGUUAUUUAAUUGUGUAAAAAAAUUAUUUUAAUAUAGUUUGUAUCACUUUAAUGAAAAAUCUUAUUUUGCUCUCAAUGAAUUACUGGUUAAUAGUUUUACACUCACGGUGAGUUAACGGAAGGAUAUUUUAGGCUAUUGAUUGAAAAGGAGGGAUAAAAUGGGCUAUUGCAUUAAACUUUAGGGAUGAAAAAUGCUUUUUCUCCUUUCUUAUCAAUCAACUAACUGAUAAAAGUCAAAACUCAUAUUUUUUUUUUCCUUGUUUCAAUCCCCUCUCAAUCAAAAAAGUUUCCUUGUCUAAGCAAUGAGGAAUAUGGCUAGAAAGAUUGUUAUUAGAAAGAUUUAUCAAUAGUAAUUGGUUCACAACUGAACAAUUUUAGAUUAUUGUGAGUCAAUAUAGGUCUUGUUUGGAAUUGAAGUGUUGUAGCUUUUAAGCUACAGCUGCUUUAGAAAAAAAACUAUAAUUAUGAAAUAAGAGUUAAUAAUAUAUAAUAAAUAUAAAUUUUAAAUAAUAAAUUUGACAAAAUUAUUAAAAAUAUAAUAGAUUUUUGAUAAUACAAGUAAAAAAAUCAUAUCAACAUAGCUUGCAAGUUACAACAGUUAGUGUUUACCUAAUACUUUAAUACUGUAGCUUUUAAGUUACAGUUGUCCAAUACCUCAAUUCCAAACGCACCUAUAAAAUGGCUUGCUUCAAAAGUCUAUCAACCCAACUUGGAAUGCUCUCAUUGUUGCGGAAACGUGGGUUGAGCAAUUACUAAUACUGCAACUUCUGGAGAAAUAUAAAUGUGGUGAUAAACAAAUGCAAAGAAAAUAGAACACAAUAUUUUACGUGGUUCGGCGUAAUGCCUACGUCCACGGGCAAAAACUGGAAGAUAAUUUUACUAACAAUGAAAUUUACAAAAGUGGGAAAAACUCACAAAACCCACAACCCCAAUACACCCAAAUGGAACCUCACUAGAACACUCAAGUGGAAGCUCUCUCAAAUUCUCUCAAAGAACUCACUUGCAAUUGCUCUCUACUUCUCUCAAAUUGGGAUGGUUACAAUAGCAAAAUGCUUCUCUAUUUAUAGAUUGCAUUCUGCUCCAAGUUGGGUUCAAUUUGUCAAAAUGUUGAGCUGGAUCUUGUAUUGCAUGCACGAGCUUUUCAACACCUAACUUUGUCUUUUGAAAUUGCUUAGCCGACCAUCUUUGCUUUUUUGAAUUUGGCAAGCAAUUCUUUGACUUUUCAACAAUUCUCCACCUCGGCGAAGAUUUAGUAAAUCUGAGCCGAUUAUCAAUAAAUUAUCCUCCAGCCUUUGCCUUCUCCGACUGCUUUUAAACUUGCAGGAUAUUAAUCAAGUUUAGACAAUGCUCAAACUUGAUCGCUGUCACCACCUUGGUCAACAUAUCUGCGGGAUUAUCUAUAGUUUUAAUUUUCUGAAGAAGAAUCUUCCCCUCAUCAAUAAUUUCCCGCACAAAGUGAAAGCGUACAUCGAUGUGCUUCGUACGCACAUGAUAAACUUGGUUCUUCGUUAAAUGAAUAGCACUCUGACUAUCGCAAUACACAUUAAUGUGCUCCUGCGCCAAUCCCAAGUUUUCAAGCAAACCUUAUAACCAAAUAGCCUCUUUAAUAGCCUCUGUAAUUGCCAUGUACUCGGCCUCUGUGGUCGAUAGUGCAACUGUAGACUGUAGUGUAGACUUCCAACUAAUUGGCCCUCCAGCAAAAGUAAAUACAUAUCUGGUGGUUGACCGUCGUUUGUCCAAAUCACCAGCAUAAUCAGAAUCAAUGUACUCGAUCACACUUUGACCAAGUGUAUCGUCUCUUUCAAACAGUAAACCAACAUCCACGGUCUUCUAAAUGUACCGUAGAAUCCAUUUCACAGCUUGCCAAUGUCCUUUACCAGGAUUAUGCAUAUACCUGCUCACUAUACCAACUGCAUGUGAAAUGUCAGGCCUUGUACACACCAUUGCAUACAUCAAGCUACCCACUGCAUUUGAAUACGAAACUUGUAACAUGUAUUCUCGUUCUGCAUAUGUUGAAGGAGAUAAUUGUGCAGAAAGCUUGAAAUGAGAAGCCAACGGGGUACUCACAGGUUUUGUCUGCUCAGUCAUGCCAAACUGCUGUAGUACCUUCUUCAAAUAUUGCUUUUGAGACAAGCUUACUUUGCCACGAGCUCUAUCUCUGCAUAUCUCCAUGCCAAGAAUCUUCUUAGCUUCACCUAAAUCUUUCAUUUCAAAUUCUUGAUUGAGUUGAGUCUUCAACUUCUCAAUCUCAUUUUUGCUCUUCGAUGCUAUUAGCAUAUCAUCGACAUACAAUAGCAAAUAAAUGAAAGAGCCUUCUUGUAGCUUGCGAAAAUACACACAAUAAUCAAAUUUAUUUCUUGUGUACCUUUGUCUUUUCAUAAAUCGAUCAAAUCGCUUGUACCACUGCCUCGGAGAUUGUUUCAACCCAUAAAGCGACUUUGUCAAUUUGCAAACCCAAUUUUCUUUUCCAGCAACCUUAAAUCCAUCUGGCUGAGUCAUGUAGAUUUCCUCUUCCAAAUCACCAUGUAAGAAUGCAGUUUUUACAUCAAGUUGAACUAGUUCAAUAUCAAAUUGCGCAACCAUGGCUAGCAAAAUUCGAAUAGAUGAAUGUUUCACAACUGGAGAAAAUACCUCAUUGUAGUCUAUUCCUUCCUUCUGAGCGUAACCCUUCGCUACCAAUCUAGCCUUGUAUCGAAUUUCAUUUUUACAAGGAAAUCCUUCCUUUUUUGCAUAUACCCAUUUGCACCCAAUUGCCUUCUUUUCCUUGGGCAGUGUAACUAACUCCCAAGUUUCAUUUUUGUGAAGAGACUGCAUUUCUUCGUUCAUUGCUUUCUUCCACUGUAUACUUUCUGGAUUACUUACUGCUUCUCUGUAAGUGGAAGGAACAUCAUCAUCUACAAUUGGAAGUGCAUAGGCCACCAUAUCAACAAAGCGAGCAAGUCUGCGAAUCUCUCUAUGUGGCCUUCUAUAUGCAAUUGAAUCAUGUUGCUGUGAAGGUUCCUAGGUCAGAACCUCUUCAUCAUUUUCGGUCGAUGGAGAAUCAUUAUCCAUCUCAUCGACACCAGCUGGAUCAGCUUUAACUUUUUCAAACUCCACAUGCUGCAAACUGCUACUGGUCUUGUCAUUCUCUUGAGAAUCUUUUUGUUUCAACAUGGUUGAUUCAUCAAAAGUUACAUCUCUGCUGAAAAUAAUCUUCUUCGUUACAGGACACCAGAGACGGUAUCCUUUUACUCCACCAGUUAUACCCAUGAACAAUGCUUUCUUUGCUCUUGGGUCUAACUUAGAUUCUUUUACAUGAUAAUAAGUAGUGGAACCAAAAACAUGUAAAGAAUUAUAAUCAGUAGUAGGUUUACCAGUCCACAUCUCCAUGGGUGUUCUGCCCUCAAUUGCAGUUGAUGGCAAACGGUUGAUCAAAUGGCACGCAUAUACAACUGCCUCAGCCCAAAACUCUUUGCCCAAUCCAGCAUUGGAUAACAUACACCGAACUUUCUCCAGUAUAGUCCGGUUCAUGCGUUCUGCCACCCCAUUCUGUUGUGGUGUAUCUCGAACAGUGAAAUGUCGCACAAUACCCUCAUCUUGGCAUAUUUGAAGAAAUGGAUCAUUCUUGUACUCACCACCAUUAUCUGAGCGAAGUCUUUUGAUCUUUCGACCAUUCUGAGUCUCGACCAUUUUCUUCCAUUUCAUAAAUAUGCCCAAAACUUCAUUUUUGUUCUUCAUCAAAUACACCCACACUUUUCUUGAAUAAUCAUCAACAAAAGUAACAAAAUAGUGCAUACCUCCCAAAGAAGCUGUUUUGGUAUGUCCCCACACAUCACUGUGAACAUAGUCCAUAAUUCCUUUUGUAUCGUGAAUUGCUGAACCAAACUUUACCCUUGUCUAUUUGCCCAGAACACAAUGUUCACAAAAUUCUAAUUUGCAAGAAUUUGUACCUUUCAAUAAGCCUUGCUUCGCUAAAGUUUGCAAAGCUUUUUCACCAGCAUGUCCCAAACGCAUAUGCCACAAUUUGGUUGCUUCUAAAUCUGCAUCUUUUCCAGAAACUGUUGAUGCUGAUCCAAUAACUGUACUUCCUUGGAAAUAGUACAAGUUAUUUCUUCUUGUGCCUUUCAUUACCGUCAGUGCCCCAGCUACUACCUUCAACAAUCCAUCUCUUAAAGUGAUUGUGAGUCCUUUAGAUUCUAGGACUCCUAAUGAGAUGAGAUUUUUCUUCAAGCUUGGUACAUAGCGAACAUCUGUCAAAACUUGGAUUGAGCCAUCAUGAUUCUUUAAUUGGAUUGUACCUAUUCCCAUGGUUUUACAAGCAUUGUCAUUGCCCAUAAAAACAACUCCACCGUCUAGCUCCUUGAAGUUAGAAAACCAGCCCUUGUUAGGACACAUAUGAUAAGUACAACCCGAAUCCAAAAUCCACUCAUCUGAGUGACAUAUCAAUGUCAUGCCAACCAGACUAAAGUCUGACUCCUCAUCAUGCUCUGCUACACAUGCAUCAGAAGUAGCCUUGCCCUUUUGUAACUUAGGACAAUUCUUUUUCCAAUGCCCUUUCUCGCGACAAAAAGCACAUUCAUCUUUGGCAGGUCUCCCUUUAGACUUGUUCCUUUUUCCAGGUUUGUGGCUUUGCGAACGACCUCUCGCUGUCAGUGCUUCUGCAACUGUAUAUCUGUGAUCCUUUCUAUCUUUCUUUCUGGUCUCAGAGUUGUACAAUGCACUGCAUACAGCAUCGAAUGUGACACUGUCCUUCCCAUGAAGCAAAGUAGUGGUAAGAUGAUCAUAUUCAUCAGGAAGGGAAUUCAACAACAAUAAUGCCUUAUCUUCAUCUUCAAAUCUCUCAUCUAGAUUUAGCAAAUCCGCCAAUAUCUUGUUGAAUGAGUUCACGUGGUCAUUCAUUGACAUGCCAUGUGUAUAUGUAAAUCGAUAGAGUUUCUUUUUCAUAUAAAGCCUAUUUUCAAGACUUUUCUUCAUAUGCUUUUCUUCCAGUGUCUCCCACAAUUUCUUUGCCGAUGUCUCCCUCAUGACAGAGUAUUUCUGAUCUUUAGCCAGACAUAGGCGAAUAGUACCACAUGCCUGUCUAUUGAUUUUUAUCCACUCCUUGUCAUCCAUCACGUCAGGCUUUUCUUCAAGAGCAACGUCCAACUCUUGUUGACAUAAGACAUCCAACACCUCACAUUGCCACAUACCAAAAUUAUUGGUACCAUCAAAUUUCUCCACUUCAAACUUUGCAUUAGUCACAGUAGUUCUCGCUGAUGAAGACGACGACGGUGCCUCUGCCAUCCUUUUUAUCUCAAAUGAUCAGUUUCUUCAACAACUAUUUACACUUAAAAAACAGCCUCUAUGAUGUUUAUUUCGCGUGAAUAAAUGCACCAGGAAAGUUCCCAAGAGACUGGACGGGAACUCGGUCCCAAUUAAAAACCAGAAUCCUUAGACUCUUAUCGCCUUUGUUGACAGAACUUUCCUAGACAUGCAAAAAUACACACUACUUACAAUAGACUGCCUCCCAAGUAUAAAUGACCGUCUCCACCGUAUUUGUGAACAGUACCGUUUAUAGGAAUAGUACCGUAUACGUGAACAAUACCGUAUCCCCCCAAGUACGAGCCGUCGGCUCUGAUACCACUUGUUGCGGAAACGUGGGUUGAGCAAUUACUAAUACUGCAACUUCUGGAGAAAUAUAAAUGUGGUGAUAAACAAAUGCAAAGAAAAUAGAACACAAUGUUUUACGUGGUUCGGCGUAAUGCCUACGUCCACGGGCAAAAACUGGAAGAUAAUUUUACUAACAAUGAAAUUUACAAAAGUGGGAAAAACUCACAAAACCCACAACCCCAAUACACCCAAAUGGAACCUCACUAGAACACUCAAGUGGAAGCUCUCUCAAAUUCUCUCAAAGAACUCACUUGCAAUUGCUCUCUACUUCUCUCAAAUUGGGAUGGUUACAAUAGCAAAAUGCUUCUCUAUUUAUAGAUUGCAUUCUGCUCCAAGUUAGGUUCAAUUUGUCAAAACGUUGAGCUGGAUCUUGUAUUGCAUGCACGAGCUUUUCAACACCUAACUUUGUCUUUUGAAAUUGCUUAGCCGACCAUCUUUGCUUUUUUGAAUUUGGCAAGCAAUUCUUUGACUUUUCAACACUCAUUCAAGUGGCUAUAACUAAGAUAAAACGUCGCAAAGGAAGAGUAAUUAAAAAAUGUAACUUCUUUAACAUGUCCAUAUAGCAUUUUUGUUUACAAGUGAAUUUGUGUGAUAGAGAGAGGAUGUAAGCAAGAUAGUAAACUCCUAAAUAUAUUAUUGUUUGUAAUGUCUAAAAUUUGAAGAGAAUCAAGCUAAUAAAACUCCAUUGAAAUUAGACCUUCAAGAGUACGGUUCUUGGGCAUUAUAAAAUGUUGUAAUGUUGAGAGAUUACCCAACCAUUAUGGAAUCCUACCAAGAUGAUUGUUACCACUAAGAUACAAUCCUUCUAGUGAACAACAAUUAGACAAAUUUUUUGGAGAUCUCUCUUACAAAGUCAUUACCAUCCAAUCGCAAUUUUGAAUGAAAAUAAAUUUUUUUUAUUGGGAGUUUGACCUUAACAUUAAAUUUAGACAAUGAAUUUUAACUUUCUUCAAUUAUUAAGCAGAUUACGGACAUUUGAGGAAUUUGAAAACAUUUCAUCCAUCGAAAGUUAAAAUUAGAGAUGGAAGCUAGGUGCUACAGCUAAUGGGAACAUUAAUUCCUGUCCCUCAUCACACUUUAUUUUGGGUCUAAUAAUUUUACGGCAGCAUUGACCACUGCUCAAGGUAAGUAAAACUUACAAAUGUGUGGCAAAAUAAAUAAUUAAGUGGAUAAACUGUUAACUAAUUUUCUUGAUAUAUACAGCUAAUGUAGUUGUUCCUCUGUUAAAAAAACAAAUGCUAAGCAAUUUCGGCUGAGCCUGCUUGUGGUGUUGAUAAAAACGAGGGCUGGCUUCAAAUAUUUGAAUAGACACCUCCACCGUACCUCAAACAAAUCUGUCAUUAUUUGUGCCAUGAAACAUGUUUCGGCCGUCAAAGUCAUGAGAGGGUUGAUGACGCUACUACGUAUGAUGACACACCAGCCGACAGUGUAGUAACAGCUCAAAAACAAAAUCUACCAAAAUCAACGGAAGUUAAUAAAAAAUUAUUUUAUUAAUAAAAAUAAAUAAAUAACUUAUUAUUUUUGGAGACGUGUGUAGUUGAGUCUGUGGACUGAAAUGGAAAAUAUGAAGAAGUUCAGAGUCGUUGUGCAGAUUGACUUCAGUUAAAUGGGACUAGUAGAUAUUUUAUGCUGACGUGGCACGAAUUAGUUAUAAUCUGUUACAACGUUUCCAGAAACAUCAGUAUAAAUAGAAGCUGAUGAGCAGUGCCUGUUGUACUUGUACGAUCCUUUUUCUUCUUCAGUUGUUCGUCAAUUUGCAUAGAAUCUGUUUCAUUGUGAUCUGUGCAAAGUCUUCUAUAAAUCCACUUAUGUUUGAUUAGUUAUUGAUCAAUAUCGAGAACAUUAUCCACCUGGAACGACUUCAAGUCCAAAGUAAAAGAGAGAGUGGCUCCCCGCAAUUUUCUUGUUUUCAGUAUAUUUUCUUUUUUUUUUCUUUUUUAAAAUCUUUUGACGCAUGCAUAAUCUACCCUUGUUUAUUAUCUCUACUUUGCUCUGCUCAAGUCCAUUUUUUCAAAUCUUAUUUUAAAUAAUAAAUUGAAUAAAAGUACAUUUGUGUAAUUAAUUAGUAUCUGAGGGGGGCAGCAUAUUUGGUGGAGUGUUAUGCUAUGUAAGACUCAGCUAUUAUCAAACAGUCCCUUAACCAUUUAAUUUAAACCAACUUCUAUUUGGUUUAUUUGCUAUCUUUGUGGAUCUCAUAGGCGUGGCAGAGUUUAAUAAUUUUAUCGUCUGAAGAAUAGGAUAUUGGCUUCAAUAAAUUUAAUUUAAACCAACUUCUAUUUACUCCAUCAAUUAAUUAAUGACAUUUUGUUUUGAAAAAUUCAAUAAUUAAAUUCUCACGUUUCAUGUGUUUGAAGUCAAAUUAUUCAUUAACUAGAACUCUGUUCAAAAUUGACUGUCUUGUGGUUCCCAAAUGUAGUUGUAAUAUUGAAUGAAAGUAAAAACUUUCUAUGGCGAGUUUAAAUCUAAAUCUGGACAAUGAAUUUUGAGUUUCUCAAUGCUAUUCUAAUAACAAAAAUUAUGUUGAUUGAUUUAUUGUUACAGUUACUAUCCUUUGAAAAUGGAUGGAUUCAUUGUUUCCGUGACCAAAUUAUGCCUGCCUAACGCUGCAACUAUUAAAAAAUUUAAUAUUUAAUGCACAUGUUAAAAGAUUUAAAAUUUUAUGCAUUUAUUAAUUGUUAUAAUCUUAAAAAAAAUUAAUUAAUUCAGGUCAAUCUGAGUUGGUGCAUCUGCAGGAGCCUUUUUUUAAUUUUUUUUUCCCCUUAUUGACCAUAAUGACAUCUCCUUCAACAUGACUAUUGACAAAGAGCAUGUAAAAACAUGGAAACAGAACUUCCACAGGUGGAAUUUAAGUUUUGGCCAUGUGGCCAUGAAAGAAAAAGGAAAAGACGCCUCUAAGAUUUGUUUCAGUGGUUUACAUUGACUCUUUAAUUUAAUUUAUAGUAACACAAUUUUUUUUGUACAAAUAUAUAUUAUUCAUGUUUUGUAUUAUAUUUUAACAUCAUAUUUUUAUUUAUUAUAAAUAUUUAAAGCUAAUUUUUAGGUUGAUAUUUAAUAAAAGGGUAUAAUCGUUCCAUCCAUUUCUCAUCUCGCGAUCUCUCUCAAUUAUCCUUUAUUGAUAGCUCAAAGCGCGUUGCUGUGGAAAAUUGUAGCAAAAUGAAAAAUUGGAAAGAAAGGGAAGAAAAUUAAUGCUUGGAGAAAGCAAUCCAAUAAGUCAACUGGUCUUUAGUGGGAACAUAUUACAAAAAGGCCUCGAUCAUCAUAUCGUAGACUCGGGGAUAAGGAUUUGGAUCGAGUUUUUGUUUUGAUAUUGAAGGACCUACUUCUCUGCCGCGAUGUAGAAUAUAUGCAAGGAGUUGUCUACUGCUCUUUAGGUCAUAAUAAUGUGAUUGGUGCAUUCAACGUUGCCCCGAAACACUGGAAAGUACUUCCAUAUCCUCCGAAUGAGAACUGAUUUAUAUAUGAUUUCCUAAUUGACUCAGGAUCAGAUGACAACAACAACUUAUUAAUAGUUAUAUCAAAACGGCAGAAGACGUGUUUUGUUUACAGGUUUGAUCCAUUUGGAAUGAAGUGGUCUCAAGUCGAAAGUAAUUUAUCGAAUAACUUUCGACUAAUUAAUAGUUAUAUCAAAGGGUGUGGGUGUUUUACCUCAUCAUGUCUUCAAGUGGAAGAUGAAGACUAGCAAGUGAAUUCAGGAAUAUUGCAUGCCAUUAAAUUUGUAGUUUUUACAUGUUGAUCAGCAGGAUACAACAUUAAAUUUUGUCAUUGACAAUACUGCAUGCCUGUCGUCUAAAGCAUUACCUCACAAGGUUUUAUGAGAAACGAAAGAUGUGUUUGCUUUGAACAAUUAAAGUUACUGCUACGAACCUCCCCAAAGGUCAAGAAGACAGAACAGGAAGCUAAUGCCAUCAAUGUCUUGUUCAUUAUAGCUGCUGGGUAGUUAGGUGUAGUUUCCUCAUUUGAAGCUGUCUAUACAUGGGCAUUUCCCCUGCUUAUGUACAAAUAAAUGAACAACCUUGAAGCUUUAUUAUUCGCAACAAAAAGGGAUUACUAAUUGGAGAAGACUAUACAGAGUUUCUCUCACACUUUCACUCUGUCAAUUUCAUCUAGAAGUCCCUCUAAAAGCAUCUCCCAAAACAGUUAGUCAUCUUUUAUGCUCUGUUUGUAAAAAAUGUGGGCUUUAUUCUUUCUAGAAGAGAUGGAAUUCUAGAAGAGAUGGAUUUGCACGGUCAAAAAGAAAAGAAAAGCCGUAAAAUAAACAGUAGCCGCAAAAUGAACAGUAGCCGCAAAAUGAACAGUAACCGCAAGAUGAACAGUAGUCACUGGUGGCUAUAAAUAGAGGAGUGCUCCUCCUUAUUGUUUGUAUCCAAAAUCCCAGAGAAGGAAUCCAAGUUUUGGUGAGAAAUUGAGAAAGAAAAAUAUUCUUAAGCAUGUAGUUAUAUUGAAGGAGCAUUUGUCUCCUCAAUAUGGGUAUUACGAGUUUGCUUUGUUAAGAGGUAUUUCUCAAGAUUAUGUAUUUGGGGUUUGGGUGAGAGAAAAUUUAUGAGAGUGCGGUUGUAAUAAUUUUCCACAUAGUGAAUAUUUUUUCUCUGGUUGUCUUUUUGACAACGGCCGUGGUUUUUUCUCCGGAUUUGGAGUUUUCCACGUAAAUCUUGUGUUGUGGGAUUGAUAUUAUUUUUCAUUUAAUUUUUCUUGUUAAUUUGUUAAUUGACAAAUUGCUUGGAGAGAUCUUGGGAGGAAGCUCAAUUUCCUAACAGUGGUAUCAGAGCCAUUGAUUGAAGUUUUGGUGUCGGGGUACUAUUCACGUAUACGGUACUGUUCACGUGAAGCAGUUUGAGCCAAUCCGAAUAAUCUGUGGUGAAGAGAAUAUGAAGCAAAUAUGUCAGCAGCUGGUGUUUUUCAAACUUGGUUGAAGUUUGAUGUUGUUGAAAAAUUAAUGGGAGAAUGAUUUUAUUGGCUUGUGGAGAAUUCAAGUCAAAGGUGUAUUCAAUCUGGGUUACACAAGGCAUUGAAGGGGAAGCCAUCCCCUGCGUCCAGUGGUGGCUCUGGAAAAGCUAGUAUAAGUGAUGAAGAUUGGGAAGAAUUAGAUGAUCGAGCUGCAAGUGCCAUACGACUAUGUCUAGCAAAGAAUGUUCUUGCAAAUGUAGGAAAAAUUCUUACAGCGAAAGAACUUUGGGAGAAGCUAGAAAAGUUGUAUCAGACAAAGAGCAUCUCAAAUCGAUUGUACCUGAAGGAGCGAUUUCACACACUGCGAAUGGCUGAAGGUAUAAAAAUUUCCGAUCACCUCAGUGUUCUCAAUGGUAUUGUGUCAGAACUAGAAGCCAUUGGAGUUAAAAUUGAAGAUGAGGACAAGGCGCUUAGGUUACUAUGGUCACUUCCAACUUCCUACAAACACUUGUUACCUACUUUGAUGUACGGGAAGGAUACAGUAGAUCUUGAAGAAGUUACUAGUACUUUACUCUCAGAAGAAAGAAGACUGAAUGGUGAAAGUACUAAAACUACAGAUGUCUCGGCUUUGGCAGUUGUAGGGAAUUGGCAGAAAGAUAAAUCUAAGAAGAAAGGAGUCUGCUGGGGGUGUGGACAAUCGGGGCACUUAAAAAGAGAUUGUCAUAGUAGAAAUGGAGUAGGAUCGGCAAGUGGCUCCAGAUUAGAUACUGAUAGUAUUGCUAGUGGUAAGUCUCUCAUCAUCAUGGGAGACGAUGAUCCCUUGUAAAAUGGAUGAUGAUGACAUCCUCAUGGUAUACCGCUAGUACCAUGAAAGGGGAUAUGUUACUACUAGCGGGUCCACAAGAUUUACACACAAGGCAUGGUUGGCAUUGAUGCAGGGUGUGUGGUGGAAUUUAUGUCGAUGAUUGACAAACUUCCAGGAAGGCCAACAUGGAAGUUGCACCAUAAAUUUCAGCAGGAUAUUUCGACAUGUGCCGAUGUAAAAUUCUUAGAAUUGGUAAUUAAUUCUAAGUGGUAUAUUCUUUAUGGUGGAGUAUGAUAAUUCUCUAUGACGAGGAUUAUGACUUAGGUGAAAACAGUAAGGACAGUGUGGAGAUUGAUUGGUUCUUAAUCAAAUCUCCAAGUGAGAGAAUGUAAAAAAUGUGGGCUUUAUUCUUUCUAGAAGAGAUGGAAUUCUAGAAGAGAUGGAUUUGCACGGUCAAAAAGAAAAGAAAAGCCGUAAAAUAAACAGUAGCCGCAAAAUGAACAGUAACCGCAAGAUGAACAGUAGUCACUGGUGGCUAUAAAUAGAGGAGUGCUCCUCCUUAUUGUUUGUAUCCAAAAUCCCAGAGAAGGAAUCCAAGUUUUGGUGAGAAAUUGAGAAAGAAAAAUAUUCUUAAGCAUGUAGUUAUAUUGAAGGAGCAUUUGGCUCCUCAAUAUGGGUAUUACGAGUUUGCUUUGUUAAGGGGUAUUUCUCAAGAUUAUGUAUUUGGGGUUUGGGUGAGAGAAAAUUUAUGAGAGUGUGGUUGUAAUAAUUUUCCACAUAGUGAAUAUUUUUUCUCUGGUUGUCUUUUUGACAACGGCCGUGGUUUUUUCUCCGGAUUUGGAGUUUUCCACGUAAAUCUUGUGUUGUGGGAUUGAUAUUAUUUUUCAUUUAAUUUUUCUUGUUAAUUUGUUAAUUGACAAAUUGCUUGGAGAGAUCUUGGGAGGAAACUCAAUUUCCUAACACUGUUUUCUAGAAACAGAGUCCUAACUAAAUUGAUUGACUGAACAGUGCAUUUCAACAUAGCAUAUUUAACUGUUUAAACAGUUAUUUGAACCGUCUUCAGAGUUAUCAUCAACAAACUCAUUCAUACUGGUCCAAUCUUACGGACGAUAUCAUAUGCUUAAUAAUGAACGAAUAGUCUUGGAUCAGUGUUUUGCGGCAAGAGCAACUCGACACAAUCUGGAUUCAACCUCCUCCUAUCUAACAAGGGAUUUCGAUUUGAGUUACUUGGUGCUCAAGCAAAUUCACAUCAUAGUUUUGAUUCUUUAGAUAUGAAUUCAUCACAUUACAUAUAUCAGAUUAAGUGUAACAAAAUUCUUUAUCUACUGCGAAAAUAAUAUGCGCUAAAAAAUGAUUUCAAGACUAUUUGACUACAAAAAGCAGCUGCAUGGCUCAGCCUCAGGUAAGAAAGCCACAGAAAAGGAAAAUCUCACUGUCACGACUCACGUCACGCAUCAUUCAAGUGAUGGAUUUAACAAGACUGCUUAUGUUCUAUCAAAUUCCUCUGCCUCUCAGAAGAUAACUUUUCUGGGCCAAAUUUCUCAUCUAAAGCAUAUUAUGCCCCAAAGUCAGAGAUAACAAAAUGGGGCACUACCGAUUAUGAAAGAGAGCUAGUAGUUGUCAGAAGCCUAAGUCAAAUUCCGGUAGUAAGAAGAGGCCUUUCUUGAGUUUAGAUUAUGUGUUCGAGUUUUAAUAAAUGCCUAAGUUAAUAAUAAUAACAACAGUAAUAAUAAACUAAAAAGCAUAAUUACUAUUGAAUGGUAAAAAAAAAAAAUGAAAAUGUGUGAACUCCAAUAACCACCCCAGUGGCGAAUUUUGGAGAGGGCUAGGCCGGGCUUCUUAGAAAUUAUUUUUAUUUAAUUACAAAAUCACCUUUACUGAAACCUAUAUAAAAUUUUUUAUAUUAAUUAAUUAUGUUGCCUCUUCAAUUAUCAUUGAAUUCUUGUCCGUUCAUCAUUUGAUGGAUAAAUGUGUAUUUCAAUAAUUUCAAAUAAUGUCUAGAACAAAUAUUUUGAAUGAUAAAACUCAUUAUGUCCUGCAUUACUAGAUGUAUCUAUAAUUUAUUAUUUACAAAUUAUAUUGUAUGAUAAAAAUGUAUUGAAUUUUUUAAAAAAAAAAAAGUUCGGCUCACUCAGAAAAAAAUGUUAUUAGCUUCGCCACUGCACAAAUCUAGAAUAAUAAUUAUUCCUUAUUAUAUUGACUGCACCAAGCAAUAAACUAAUAAGUUCUCAUUAGUGGUUUUUAAUCUUUUUAAUUCUUUUUACCGCACACCUGAUCAAUAAUUCUAUUUUGUUAACUAAUCAAUUGCAAAUCAUAUAUUAGUGUUGAACGGUGAACAAAAUUGAAAAAAAAAAUUCUUAAAAAACGUGUGGACUCGGAUAGCCAGACCAGAAAUCUAUGACAAUAAUUAGCUUUGAUGCUGGGAAUCUUUUAGUUUCUGGCCGUAUUGACUCCACCAGUGAUGCUGGGAAUCUAAUGGAGCUCAUUCUUUGGUUUUACUUGCAGGUCUAGAAGCAGGUGUCAUCUUGUAAAGAAGGAAAAUAAUAUUUGCCUUUUUGAAUAAUUUUAUUGAACCAGGAGACGCAGCUAUAUACAAGAGAUUUCCUACAAUCAUGCUAAUCUAUUCUAGGUAGUCUAAGGGCCAGUUUGGUAAUGCUGCAGCUUUUAAAAUAAUUACUGUUAGCUGUGCUGUAGAAAUAAUCAGCUGUGAAGAGAAUCAGUUAAGUGUUUGGUAAAUUUUAUUUUUAAAAGUACUGUGAAUUUUGAAAGCAGUUAUGGGUGUUUGGUAAAUCUUAUUGUUAAACUGCUGUAAGAAAAUAAAUGACUAAAAUGUACAUAAUGUAGGAUGAAAUUUACUUAUACAUAUAAAAAUAUACACGUACAAUAUUAUAAUAAAAAUUGCAUAGGCAUAGAAUUGUUUAUAUAUAAACAAACCCAAAUAAGACAAACAACAAAUAUUAUAAUAAAAAAUACAUUGAAUAUGCAUGAAAAGGGUGAUGAAUCACUUACUGUUAUUGAAUAUGGUUAUGGAACACAUACUGGAUCUUGCUUUGUUGCACUAGAGAAGUUUUGAUAGAACACAAAAUAUGAAGAAAUAGGGUAAACGAAAGGUGUGUGUUAAUUAUAAUAAAAAAUUAUUAAAAUAUUGAUUUUAUUUCCAAUUUAAAUAAGGAUAAUUUCGGGUUUAAGUAAUAAUUGUAAGGAUAUUUAUGGAAUUAUAUUAAAGGAUAAAAUUGAUUCUCAAAAUCAAAAUCUAAAAGUUACUCCUUCCCUGCUUUUCAAAAUCAGCUGUAGGAGGAGCUGAUUCUGGCAAAAGUAAUUUUGAUUUUUUUUUUACCAAACACCAAAAUUAGCUUUUAGAUUUUUAAAAUCACUUUUAACCCUCUCAAAAGCAAUCCCAAACGGGGCCUAAAUAUAAAAGGCAACUAAACAAAUAUACAACUAAUACAAUAUAUUCGUCAAUGAAUGGUCAGAUAUCAUUGACCUUUCCUUCUCAACACUCCCCCUCAAGUUGGAGAGUGGAUGUCAAGAACUCCCAACUUGCGUAUCAUAGUUGAGAAAGCUUCCUUUCCCAAUGGCUUGGUGAACACAUCUGCAAGUUGAUCUGUUGAGGCAACAUGUUUGGUUACAACUGAACCAUCUUGUAUUUUGUCACGAAUAAAAUGGCAAUCCAUCUCUAUAUGUCUGGUUCUUUCGUGGAAAACGGGAUUGGCAGCUAUAUGUAAGGCUGCUCUGUGUUAUCACAAUAUAAUAAUGCUGGCUUCGGAUGCAAUAUUCUCAAAUCCUUCAAUAAUGAGCGUAGCCAGGAUAAUUCACAACAUGUACCUGUCAUGGCUCUAUAUUCAGCUUCUGCUGAGGAGAGAGAUACGGUUUUCUGCCUCUUUGUCCGCCAAGAAAUAAGAGAAGAUCCCAGAAAAACACAAUAACCCGUAGUGGAUCUACGAGAUAUUGGACAACCAGCCCAAUCCGAAUCAGAAAAAGCUCGCAAAGAUAAAUCAUUCUGAGAAAGGAAAAACAAACCUUGCCCUGGACUAUUUUUCAAAUAACGCUAUACACGCAAGACAGCUUCCAUGUGUGGUCUACGUGGUGCAUGCAUGAAUCUGCUUAACACAUGGACCGAAUAGGUGAUAUCCGGUCGGGUAAUAGUUAAAUAAAUUAGGCGUCCAACAAGUCGUCUAUACUGAGACGGAUCUUUAAGCAAUUCACCUAAAUCCGAGAGCUUUAUGUUUUGUUCCAUGGGAAAGUUCACAGGUUUAGCACCCAAAAAUCCACCAUCUUUUAAAAUUUCCAAAGUAUAUUUUCGUUGCGAGAUGGAAAUACCUUUCUUCGACCGAGAAACUUCGAUGCCCAGAAAAUACUUCAAAUCACCCAAAUCUUUAAUUCGAAAAUGACUAUGUAGAAACUGCUUGAGGGAUACUAUGGCAUUGACGUCAUUACCCGUAAUAAGAAUGUCAUCGACAUAUAUCAACAAAGCUGUAAACGAUUUGCCUUUCCGACAUGUGAAUAACGAGUAAUCAGCUUUGGAUUGAACAAAGCCAGCAGCUUGGAUAGCUGUAGAGAACUUGGCAAACCAUUGUCGGGAAGCUUGCUUUAAGCCAUAUAACGACUUGUGAAGGCGACACACUAGAUUCUCCCCCUGUCGCCGAAGACCAGGAGGUGGAGACAUAUAAAUUUCUUCAUGGAGAUCGCCAUGAAGAAAGGCAUUGUUGACAUCAAGUUGGUGAAGAGACCAAUUCUGGGCAGCUGCUAAAGCCAAUAAACAACGAACAGUAAUCAUUUUAGCAGUGGGAGAAAAAGUGUCAUGGUAAUCUAUACCUUCUAGCUGUGUGUAACCUUUUGCAACCAAACGAGCUUUGAAACGCUCAAUACUACCAUCCGAGUGUCGUUUGAUUUUAUAAACCCAACGACAACCAAUAGGCUUCUUACCAGGAGGAAGAGAAGUGAGGGACCAAGUGUGGUUGGCUUCUAAAGCAGCCAAUUCAGAUUGCAUUGCUUCUUGCCAAUGGGAAUGGGAAGCUGCUUUGGCAUAAGAUGUAGGCUCAAUAUCUUGACUGACAGCAGCAGUAAAAGAGCGAUGUUGUGGUGAGUAACGAUGAUAAGAGACAAAAUUGCAAAGGGGAUAUCGUGUACCUUUUUGUAGACUUGAUGACAAAGGCGGCAAAUGGUUGGGAGACGUUACUUGGUUACAGACAUAAUCACGUAAAGCCAUGGGAGGGUGAUGAGGUCUUUGGGAACGACGUAAAAUGGGUUCGGGAGGAGGACUAGCAGGUGAUAGCUGAGUAGAAACUAAAUUCGGUGGUAAUGGUUGUUGGAUGGGAGAAAUUGGUUCCGGUGGUAAGGGUUGUGGAACUGGUGGGGAAGGAGCGGAUAUAGAAAGAGGAAUCACAUGGUCUGAAUUUAAGGAAGGGGAUGGAAUAGACUCAUAAGGGAAAAUAGUUUCAUGAAAAACAACAUCACGGCUAGUGAACAUUUGGUGGGUGUCAAGGUCAUAGAGCUUGUAAGCUUUUUGACCAACUAGAUAGCCAAGAAAAAGACAUCGUUUAGCUCGAGGAGCAAAUUUAUGGGGGACGUGCACAUUAGUAGCAUAGGCAAGACACCCAAAAACUCGGAUAUGAGAAUAAGAAGGAAGCUUUCCAUAAAGUCGUUCAAAAGGAGUUUGGCGAGAAAGGAGUGGUGUGGGCAAACGAUUAAUUAUAUGAACAGCAGUAGAAACACAUUCUGCCCAAAAAUGUAAAUGAAGGUGGGUUUGAAAACGAAAAGCUCGAGCGGAAGCAAGAAUAUGGCGGUGCUUGCGCUCUACAACCCCAUUUUGUUGAGGGGUAUAGACACAAGAAUGUUGGUAAGUGGUCCCUUUUUGUUUAAAAAAUUCCCGCAUAGAGAAGAAUUCUCCACCAUUAUCAACCCAAAUGUUGGCUAUAGAUACAUGGAAUUGGGUUUGGACAAAUGAAAAAAAAUUGACAAGUAAAUGUUGUGUUUCACUUUUGUGAUGCAUAAAAAACACCCAUGUGAAUCUAGAAUAAUCAUCCACAAUAGUCAAAAAAUAUUUCGCACCAGAAAGAGAGGCAAUUUUAUAGGGACCCCAAAUGUCACAAUGAAUUAAUUCAAAAGGUCUAAUAGAUGAAAUUGAACUAAUAGAAAAUGGAAGUCGACUUUGUUUUGCAAGUGCACAAACAUCACAAGCAUUAUUAGACUGGGAAGGGAAAUUUAACAAAUGUUUUGCCAUAAAAUCUAAUCUAGAGGAAGACAAAUGCCCCAAACGGCGAUGCCACAAAAUGGUGGAGGAGGUGACCUGAGAACUGGGUGAACAGCAAGAAGUGGCUGCUGCGGAUGGAGUUUGAGGUUUUGGUUUUUCUGAUGCUAACGCAACCAAGUAAUAAAGUCCGUCUCGUUGUUCACCCAAACCAAUUGUCGUCCUCGUCGUCAAGUCCUGCAAAAUACACCAAUGAGGGAAAAAAGUUACUGAACAAUUGAGAUCUCUGGUAACUCGACUCACAGACAUUAAAUCCACCUUAAAAGAUGGCACACCAAGCACAUUUUGUAAAGUAAUAGCAGAAUUCAAAGGUAAAUUCCCAAUGGAUGUAAUCGAAGCCUGUUCUCCACUUGGCAUAGCAACUGGUGGCAAAAAAGUGUUCUUAUUGCUGUUGACAAGCAAAGUUGGUGAUGAAGUAAUGUGGUCUGUUGCACCACUGUCGAUAAUUAAUCGAUGGAGGCGCAACAAUCUUUGUAACAAACCUGAGGCAGCAGCAUUAGCUUUAGGAUUGGUGGAUUGUGUUGUCCCUUUACCCUGCAUGAUAGAUAAGAUUUGUUGGAUUUGCAAGUCAGAGAGCCCAUUUGUCACUGAUGGCACUUCCUGCAUUACUGGACUUUCCUUGACAUUGUUGGCUGAAGAUUGAUGGUUAUUGUUGCGCUUGAAAUGAGUGCUUCCUUGAUUAGAUUUGUUUGAUGCAUGUUUAGGGUGUUCUGGUGGGUACCCAUUCAGCUUCCAGCAUUUUUCUCGUACAUGAUGGUCACGAUCACAAUAAGAGCAAUGCAAAGGUUUUCGAUUAGAUGGGUUGGAACGAGAAGAAGAACCUUGUUCAUGUCGAACAGCUAGAGCUACCGGUUCAGCCCUUCGAACAAUCAUGGCUGAGUUCUCCAUCAUCUCACGUGCAACCCCCAGGCUGCGCUGCUUCUCCUCUUGUACAAUGGAAGAGUAAGCCUUAGCAACAUCAGGUAGCGGAUUCAUCAACAAAAUCUGCCCUCGGAUUGCACUGUAGGACUCAUUGAGUCCCAUGAGAAAUUGCAUCAAUCUGCGUCUCUUAUGGUCUGCCCCACAAGAGCAAACGGUGUCAUUAUAGGAUCCUAGUUCAUCCCAUAAUUUUUUUAGCCUUGUGUAAUAAGCUGCAACAGUCAUCUGAUCUUGAGCAAGACAAGCAAUGUCCCUCUCAAUCUGAAAAAUACGAGGGGCAUUGCUUUGAGAAAAACGAUCCCGAAGGUCUUCCCAUACCUCCUGGGCGGUGGUCGAAAAUAUGACACUGUCUGCAAGGUCUUGUGUGAGUGAAUUGAGAAUCCAAGACAGGAUCAUAUCGUUGCAUUUUUUCCACGAAGCACAUUCGUCUGGUUUGGCUGUGGCAGACGGCAUUGUGGUGGUCCCGUCUAUGAAACCUAACUUGGAUUUGGCAUUCAAAGAAAUCGUCAUGGCUCUACACCAUGUCGAAUAAUUAUCCCCAUUAAGGGGCUUGGAAACAAGCACCAUUCCUGGAUGAUCAGAAUGAUGAAGAAAAUAUGGAUUGGCAGCAUCAAGCUUGCCUCCAUUCGAAGGUUGCUGUUCCGUCAUGAUAAUGAGUAACAACGAAAAAAGAAAGAGGGCAGAGAGCUAGGGUAUCGUUCCCUGCUCUGAUACCAUGUAAAGAAGGAAAAUAAUAUUUGCCUUUUUGAAUAAUUUUAUUGAACCAGGAGACGCAGCUAUAUACAAGAGAUUUCCUACAAUCAUGCUAAUCUAUUCUAGGUAGUCUAAAUAUAAAAGGCAACUAAACAAAUAUACAACUAAUACAAUAUAUUCGUCAAUGAAUGGUCAGAUAUCAUUGACCUUUCCUUCUCAACACAUCUAACAGCUGCUUUGAUAAUUUCCCACACCUUCAUCUUUGAUGGAAAUAUGAAAUAAAAACAAAUUGGUGAAAAUGGUUUUGGUACCCGCGGCUCUGUAAUCUAUUUCAAAAACUACACCAUCAAAACGACUGCAUAAGAAUCUAACUUCUCCUCUUGAUUUUUAUGGGCAUGUUGUGUAGUCCAUGCAGACAAAAAUCAUAUUUUAGUUUACUCUUACUCAAUGCUUGGAUUAAAGGUUUUUUUUUUGGGGGGGGGGGGGGGGGGGGGGGAUUGAAGCAGACUAAAAUGACACAAAAAAUAGUUGAACGAGUGUGGGUUUUGUCUUCAUUUUAGGAGAUCUUUAUAAAUUUUAGGAUUUUUUUUCCCGAGAAAAUUUAUGCCAACUCAUUCUUUGCUUCUUUUAUGAAGGGACAGAUGCAACUGAAAGUAUAUUCUUGAAUUCUAUAAGAGACAGCAGUUUAGAUUCUCGAGCCUUCAAAAAAAUAUCAAAUUCUAGAUUGCUGAAAUUUUAUAUAUCCAAGUAUGAUGGUGCACCAAUUAUUAACUCCAGGGUGCAACUUCACCGCGGAUUAGAAUGUCUUCCUGCAGAAUUGAGAAAUCUCCAUUGGCAUAAAUAUUUUUUUGAAAAUACUGUCAUUAGAUAUUUUUAUUAUUCAUACUUCAUUGCACAAGGCACCACCUGGCUUCUAUUUCAAGCCCUAAUAAUGAUCCGCUGCUGGAAAAGAAUUUGUGCAGCAUGUACGCUCCUUGACCACAACAGCAAAGUUUAUUGAUGUUAUUUCAUAUUCUGCUGUGAGUCAAAUAAAAAUUUACUAUGCCCUUUCGGCAUGGCUUGCCUUUCAGCAAAAAAAGAAAAAAAAUCUUUCAAAUUGUGGAAGCAUGCUUACAUUAAUCAGCUCAGUAUGUUAUGUUUCAAGGGAUGCAAAAUUCGUUUUGUUUCUCAUGGAAGAAUUGACUUGUCUGGAUGUAUUAAUCUCAUAGAUUUUCCACAGAUUCGUGGGAAUAUAACAAAGCUAGACUUAAGUGAGAUCCCAAUAGAAGAAGUUCCGUCAUCAAUAAAAUGCCUAGCUGAUCUUAAAACGUUGCGUUUGAGUAAGUGCACGAGGCUGAAGAGGCUUUCCAUCAAGCAUUUGUAAAUUGAAAUCUCUUCUUGAGCUUUAUCUCUAUAACUGCUCAAACCUUGAAAGUUUUCCAGAAAUCAUGGAGAAAAUGGAACGUUUAAAGAUAUAAAUUUAGCAAGGACGGCCAAUUACAGAGCUGCAAUCUUGAUAGCCUUCGGGAUAACAUUAGCAAUUUAAAAUCUUUGAGGUACAUCUCUACUAAUGGAUCAGCCAUUAGUCCUCUGUCGCAGGUUCGGUUGUACUUAAAUAUCUAUCAUUUUCUCAAUACAGAGGUUUGGUAUCAUUGCCUCCAAUAUUAUUGUCAGGUUUAGGUUUAUCGAAUUUGUUACAGCUAAAUUUAAGAGACUCUGCUAUAAUGGAAAUUCCCCAAAAUAUUGUUCGUCAAUCCUCAUUGAAAAUUUUAAAUCUAAAGGCUUGUUUGUUAACUACUUGAAGUAUGUAGUUAAUGCUUUUUUUUUUUUUUUUGUAAUUUAUGUUUGAUUUGAGAUAUUUACAUUUGAAUAAAAAAAUUAAACUUUUGUUACAUUUAUCUAAAAAAAAAAAAGGCUGAAUGGGAAGUAAAUAAUUCCCUUUUUCGUUUUAACUUACAAAAACAUAAAUGUUAACUAUGUUUAAGAAAUUUUUUAUUUAUAAAAAGAAACCAAAUACUACUUAUAUUCGUAUAUCAAAAAAUGAAAAACAAACAUGUUAUUCAUACGUUCACAUACAAACUCAUUCAGACCUCAGCUAAAUACAAAUCCAUUUACAUUUCAAAAAAAUAAAUAAAUACUUCCUAAGCGGGAAUAACUUUGAGAGUUGACUUGCAAGGCUAGAAUAUCUUGACUUGAAGGGUUGCAAUGAUUUCUCAUCAUUGAGAGUUUAUCAUUGUGCUUCAUCAUCAUCAUCAUUAUUAAUAAAAAGGUAAGCAAUUAAGAGUCAAAUUAAACCAGAAAAUCACUCAUCCACGCUUUUGGGACAUCAUUCUGCUCAUUAUUUUUAUUCCGUAUCUUCAUUGUUUUAUUUGGUAAUUAUUACCAUUAGUAAAUAAAGGGAUUAGUUGAUUAUUAUGAACUAACUAAAUGGAGCUCACCCUUAAAUGUCGGCUUGUAUCAGGGAGGUGCCUUAGGGUUAAUAAAUCAACUAAUCCCAUAAUUUGUCGAUGUAGGUGAUGGUUGUUAAAGCCAACAAAAACAAAUACCUACUCUAAAUAAAUUGUGUAUAGUGAUUGAGCAGGGUCGUGUUUACAGAGAUCGGUAAUUAUUUAAAUCCUUUUAAAACGUAAAACAUAAAAUGGGGGUUUUGUUGACAAUAAUAAAAAUCAAAUUAAAAUAACAAGAAUGCAAAUUAAAGUUGUAAUUCAAAUUUGGAGAAAGCUCUGGUUGAAGGAAUUAACUCAGCUUAAUUCGACUACUGAUCAUUUAUUCAAAUAUAAAUUAUUACUACUUAUGAAUAGACCGGUUAUGGCUACUGAGAACCUCUAAUAGCCAAUAUCUCCUUAACUAGUCGAUAACCAAGGUACGACCAUUGAUUAUUUCCCUAAUCAAUAGACAACCCUAGAUACGAUCAUAUGAUUUAAUCAAUUGACAGCCUAAAAAACCAGAGAGACCCAAAUCCUAAUCAACAAACACAUACGAUGGUUCAUUUAAAUUAGAUUGUUUAUUCUCAUAACACAACUCUCUGCUAUGUUAUUUGUCACAAACAUUAAAAUCUUCAUACAAUGAAUCCUUUAAUUGACAAUAGAUUAAGUUGAUAAUUAAAUAGUGGCCAAUUACCUAAUUAACAAACAUAAUCAUGAAAAUAAUUCAGAGAAUAAACAAAUACCCAAAAAGCAAUAAAACAAUUAAAACAUAAGAAAGAUCUCACAGUAGUGAUGAAUCAAAGCUUCAUUAACCUUCAACUAGAAAAAUAGGUUUAGUUCUUCAUAGAGAGAAGAGAAAAGUUUAGAUCUAGCGUUUCUUUCUUUUUCUCCAAUCCCCCCUUUUUCACUAUAGAUUCCUCCCUUAAAUACUCUCUCUCUCUUCUCCUCUAGAGUUCUAUUUAAAAUAAAAUACUAAUAUAUGAAAUAUUAAAUUCGUAAUUACAAAAAUAGCCAAAAAUACAAAACAUGUUAAACUAAAAACUGCAGGUCCGUAGUUGACAGCACGCGCCCACGCCUUAUCAAUAAAGUUCUUCUGACGCUCUAAAUUUCUCCAAGAGAACAAUCAUCUUUAAACAUCAUCUUAUAGCUCAAUUUUAUCACAAAUCAAUAAAAUUGCACCUACAAAAGUAAAACACAAGUAAAUCAUUAUUAUUAAGUGCAAAACAUCGAUAUUAAGGGAAGUAAACAAUGCAAAACUAGUGCAUAAAUUGCACUCUAACAGUAGGGUAGCAAAUUAUUGCCAUAGAUCAGCACACAUCUCGAAAACAUAUUUGAUCCACACAGUGAAGAUGAUUCAAUAUUAAGCAUGUCAUAUAAUCUGGAGUUGGAUAUUGGAUCAAUUUGAUGAUAAUGAGUUUCUUUCAAUCUCAAUAUGUAUCUUCUUCGCAACAUGACUAGCCAUUGCAAACUCAAACUCUGACAAUGAUUUCUCAAUCGCUUUCUAAGACGAUGAGCAUGUAUGUAUAUAUAUGUGUGUGCACGUGCGCGUGUGUGUUUGUGUACGUAUAUAGAGAGAGAGAUAUAUAUAUAUCACACAUGUGCGCUUUCCUUUUGUCAAUAAGAUAUGCAGAGAGCUUAAUAAUCAUAGAUUAGCUUAUAUCCUUCAAACCAUGUGCUAUGAAGUAAUUUCACAAACACUUGUUGAACGUUAUUGAAUCAGUAGUUCACAGUUCAAUACAAUGUAGGUUUCCUAUUUGAAGUAAAUGAUUAUGGUGUGUGCAUUUUUCAUAAAGCUAACUACUGAAUUUACCAUUGAAACUUGCAAAAUGUAACAGAGAGAUGCAGAUAGCAGCCACGAAACACUAAGAUUGAAAAUCAGGACUACUGAAUUCUAUUACAAGCCCUUAAAAUAGACAACAAUCAUCCUCAAAUGUAUAUACUGAAAGUAAAAAAUAUUAAUCGUAAAGUUAUGCAUUAACAAAACUAUUGAAUACUUAUCUUUAGCUAUAUAUUUUUAAUUGUAGCUCCCUACUUUGUUCUAAGAACUAGGCAAAAGUAGCAUAUCUUCAAUCCAAUCAGCAUAUAUACCGCUCAUCUUCUCCAGUUCUUUCCACUUUGAUUUGCAUUUCAUACCCUGCACUUGCUGCUUAGAAAUAGUCAUAGUUUGCACAUUGACAGUAGAAAAAGUACUUGAAACAAUCAUUGGCAUAGCAUGGGAUUCCAUUGAGUCGCGGUCUCCAAGCUUUCAUGGUUCUGUAAAGAAAAUGACAAAAACAUCAUGCUAUUGGCAUUCUACUUUUAGCAAUUUUCCACAAGCUGAGCUUUUUCAUAUCUCUCUAUAAAUUAUGCUGGUUCAACCUUCAGAUAAGUUUGUGAUAAAGGCAUCUAUGAUUACAAUGGGAAAAUUACAUGAACUUAUGUUAUCAAUCAUUGUUUUGCCUUCUCGUGAUAGAAUUCUGCGCAAUAUAAAACAUGACAUAUCUGUUACUUACCAUGCCAUGUCGUGAACCUAGAAGCAAUGCAAAUUGCAAGGAACAUAUUAAGCUAUCUACUGUAUAUAACAAAUUCUUAUUAGCCCACAAUCUUGUGCCCCAACAUUGAUCAAGUAACACUAUUAUUUCAUUUCCAAAAUGGCAUAUAUAAUCUGAUGUUGAACAAACCAAAUUGGGAAUCAUCAUUCCUUACAUUGAGCUGACAUUCGUACCUGCUAGUCCAUGAGCAAAGUUGCUUAUAUUUCCACACAGGCAGCUCCCCUUAUCUCUCGGUUCCGACAGAGCUUUGUUUUCCCAUCACCAGCUUUGGAUUCAUUCGAUCACUGAUGCUCCGAGUUAGCAAGCCCCUUGUUGUGUUCCCAUUUAACAGACCCACUUCUGUUAUCCACAGAAGAUCCACCACUCAAAAUGCUUAUCACCGAACUAUUCCUAAACUGAGUAGAAACUUCCGCACAUCUCUCGGCAUUUACAUGAAGAAAUCGACACCCACCCUCAUAUUUGUAAGUUUUCUGAUAAUAGAAAUGUCUACAAAGCUGCAUUUCGUUAGGCAAUCUAGUCUCUCCAUUCCUAGCAAAGUGACAUUGAUUCCCGUAUUUGUAAUUGCCUAAUUGGGGUUUUGGCAAUAGCCUGGUCUUAAAAUUACCACCCAUUACUUUGUUCAAUGCCACUGGCAUCCUCUGAUUAGGAACAUUUUCACAAUUUUUAGCCCUGUUAGUCGAAUCACAUUCAAGGGGAUAGUGAGACAGUAUUUCACUAAAAGAUUCAAUUUGACUACACAUAUAAGAAUUUGAAAUCACUUUUUCUUGGAAUAUUUAAUGACCCACCCAGGGUGAAAGUUUUUGAAUGGAAAUUAUUUAAUUUGAUUUGUUUUCCAACAAAUUCAAGAAACCCCAGAUAGUAACAUAAAAAAAAAAAAUCAACCAAUAAUACGCAAUGGGUUUCUUUCUUUUUGCUUUUGGAGGGCCAUGAAGAUCUGGAGUGGGCUGUAAGUAAUAGCCUUUAUCACUGGAGUGACAAAUUUGCAGAAGAUGAUGCAUGGGGAAGGAUUGGGCGAGCAUAAAAAUGGCUUUACACUCUUUGGAUUAGCGCCUCAUUUAGGUUGUAGCGAGAUAAAGAUAUCAUUUAAAGUUUUAUAAUCCUUGUUAUGCUUAAGGCUUCACUUAGUAUAGCAUAGAGCUUUUCUAGUUUAGCAUUUUACAAGUAGAAUUUUUUUAAAUUAUUAUUUAUUUGGUUGUUUUGUUCAGAAGAGCUUUUAAAGCUCCAAAAUCUUUGAUAGUCAGGUUUUUUUUUGGUAAGUAAAACUUUUAACAAAAAUUUAUUAUUCACUUGAUCGUUUACAAGAGUUUUCAUUAGAAGUUAUGUAAAGUUCUUUAAUUUUUUUUAUCAGUGCAUCUUUUUACAAGUAUAAUUUUUAUUUUUUAACAAAAAUUAAUUCAAUAAUAUUAAUAAUCUCAAUAUUUGAGUUUUAAUAUCAUAUGUCACUCAUUUAUUGGAUGACAGAUUUCAUAACUUAUAAAAUUAUUUAACUAACAUCCACUAAGCUAAUGUCACUAUAGUGAAGAUUGAAGUUGAAAUUUAGAUGUUACGUUGGGUAAUAUUGCGCUUAUUUGGUUGUUUAUGAGAGUUUUUUUGUACAAAUUUAUUUUUAUACAAAUUGAUAUAGUCUAAAUUCAUUAAUUAGAUGAAAAUAGAAAAUAAUAAAAAUAAAUCUUGUGUACUAAAAGUUAUUUAAUCUAUUUAAUUGAAUUAUCCUACGUUUGUUUGUACUAAAUAAAUUUAUAUAAAAAUUAAUUCUAUUUUUUGAUGUGCAACUAAACUUUUAGUCUCUUAUUAUUCGUAAAAUUCAAAUUCAGUGGCUUAUCAAAUAAAAUUAAAACUAUUGGUUAAUCAAAUAAAAUUAUUUGAAAUCAUUGGGUGUGGUAGCUGGAGCUCUUGAAAGUUGAAACUAUGGAAGCCAUGAAAUAUACCAGCGAAAAGAGUUCUAAUUUUUAAAUGUCUAUUUUAUAAAAAUUUUAAUAAUAAAAGUGUCGCAUCGACAUUGAACAGUAUAAAAAUUUUUAAUAAUAAUUUUUUUACGUUUGGGGUAUUUUUGUAAUUAUACGAAGGUAAACUAAUCGCAAAAUUCAUUUGGCUUACACUUGCUCUGUGUAUGGUUAUGGCGGUAUCAUUAUCAUCUUCUCCAUUCGUACUGACACCAAACCUUAACCGUUCAGAUUCCCUUUCUCGACUGUCAUACCCUACGCCCCGUCUCCGUGUCUCCGAUAAACAGUGCUCAAUUAAGGCCAUCAGAUUAUCCCGGACCCACAUUGAUCCAACGGCUCACAAUGACCGACGACCUCUCCAUCUCCAUUACAAGCUUCCUCUUCAACUGGCUUCUGCCUCUAUCGUACUCUUUCUCGGAUUCGGAGCCCGUAUAUGCUCGGCUGGUCCUACGGAGCUACCUCUCACUCCAGCUGUCAACCAACAAGACCAAUUGCUUAAUCCAGACACAGAACAACAAGAGGGUGAGAAAUUGAAUCAAGAAUUUGAGAAUUGGAAAUCGAAAACGUACGCAUUGACCGUGCCUUUAAGGGUCGUUUCUCUUCAGAAUUCAGUGCCUCAAUCUUGGGUUAAGGAUUUUAUGCGAAGUCAAGGAAAGAGAUUGAAGUUUCAGAUGAAUUUUUGUGCUAGCACUGAUGGGAUCGUUAAAAAUUUAUCUAUGCCCUCUAACAAAGUUAAGGCUAACUCAGCUUCGUAUAUGGCUGCUGAUUUGGUUAGUGUUGGUGAUUCAUGGCUCAGUUUUGCGAUUAAAAAGAGAUUGAUUGAGCCAAUAGCUGAAGCUGAAGAUCAAGAUUGGUUCAAAUGCUUAAGUCACAAAUGGAAGGUAACAUCUUUGUCUUUGACCGGAUGAUUUUUAUUGUCUUACAUUGAAAUUUGGUAAUGUAAUUUGUUCUCUAUCUGUGUUACCUUUGUAGUGAUUUUUUUUUUUAUUUGCUUUUAUUUGCACUAACAAAGUCUUAGGUAUAUCUACGCAGGAAUGAUGCAGAAGAAAUUGAUCCUCGAGGUAAAAUAUGGGCGGCACCAUACAGGUGGGGCACAAUGGUGAUAGCCUACAAGAAAAGUAAAUUUCGAAAGCAUAAUUUGGCUCCGAUUGAGGUAAUAAUUGUCUUUAAACUCAUUUAGUUUUAUAUGAAACAAAAUCAAGACUGCCUUUCUCUUCAAUAUUUUUGAUGAUAAUAUCUUUAGAAGCAUCUCAUUGACAGGUAAUAAUGGUAUCCCUGAAAGAGUCUAUAAACUCAAUGAUAUUAUCUUCUACAAAUGGUUCAUUAAACUUCUUCGUUGCAGUCAAAUGUACACUAAGAACAAUGAGAAGCUAUGCCACUGUAGCAUGUAGUGAUGGCACUUAAUAAGUGAGUUGCUAGGAUGUGAACUAGAAAAAUUAAAUAUUGUCUCCUUGGGUAUGCUAGCUCGUAAGUCAGGGUUAAUAUUAGAACUUAUGAUACUAUAACCAUGAGAAGCUAUUGACUGCCAAUUAAAAUAUCCAUUAAAAUGUCUAGGGAGUUAUGAAGGUGGAGGUAACUUCCAAUUUCUAAGGCCACAUAGUAGACAUCAUGCAGGAUCCUAGGAAAGUGCAGUUAACCUCCUGGUCGAUGCCAUUAAUAAAUUUGAUCAAUGCCACUGAAACCUGCUAACUGAUGUCACAAUGCGACAUGAGCACUUCAAAAUGGGACAGACGGUCAGUAGCACUAAAUUUUUCUUGUCUAAGAUUGAGCAAUUGGUCUAACUACUAACCCCUAUUGUAGGUUGAUCAUUAUGUUUUUCAAUUAUGUUCAGUUUGACCCAAAACAUUACAGAAUCUUGAUCUGAAUAUUGUCACUGAACACUGUCAAUGUCGUUUGGCAUAGCCAACUAACUUGAGUUUGGUAAAACAAACACACAGUGUGUCUCAUGUCUCACAAUUCAAAUUAUCAUCUGUAAUGAUGGAGAAUUUUUCCAAUGUAUGAAGUAUGCUUUGAUACGUGGGUUACCUUGGGGAAGGUAUCUCAAAAUAAAGAAUAUGGGGAGAAAACAGUGCAGUAGUUUAUUAUUCCGUAGUCAAGUUUUGUCUCAAAAAUGGUCAAAAUUUAAAUGAAUAAGGACAGGGGAUCUUCAGUCUUUUUUCCCUUUUUUUAUACCAAGAUAUCUCUCAACCUUUAUAUAAUCCCACUGGAUAUCUGCUUCUAAUAAUUAAAAUAAAAUUUCACCCACACAAAUAAGUACUGACCAAGCUCUAACAAUAAAAAGUAACAUCUUUAGUCAAGUAAUUUACAGUUCCUCAUCAUCUUAGUGUGAGACUAUCAGUACGAUCCAAGAGCAAAAUAAAACUGGUUUGACCCUGUUUAUUGAUGUUUAAAUGUUGUUCAUUGUGACAUGUAGAAAUGAUGAGGUGAAGUUUCUUUGGUCAUCAAUUAGUAAGAUCUCGUUUGAAGUUGUUUUCUGAAAUGAACUGGCAAAUGGUAGUUUUUUUGGGGCAUUUGAUGGCUCUUUUUCUUUUUUCCUCAUUUUAAACAUGUGCCUGCUUGGAACGGGAUGGAUUAAGCUGCAGGUUAUAUAUUUUGACAUGCUCUGGUCAUUACACAAUUUGUUCACACUGGGAAUUAGGAUGAGAAAUUUGUUGAUGCUGUUUUGAGAGACCUGCAUUCUAUGCACAAUAACCUGAUUAAUGAAAAUGGAUUGUAGAACUGGAAAGAUCUGUGGCGGCCUGAGCUCGCAGGAAGAAUUUCAAUGGUUAAUUCUUCCCGAGAGGUUAUUAUUGGUUCAGUUUUUAAGUAUAUGGGAGCAUCAUACAAUUCAAACAAUAUUGAUUCGCAAGUUGCUGGUGGGAAGAUUGCUGUUCAGCAGAAUCUGGCAUUACUGGCAAACCAGGUACUCUUAAAGAAACGAUAUCUGGUCAUUGCAUGUUAUUGCCUGACAACUGAUUUUGUUUGUAAAAGUCUGCUUCUUCAUACAUAUGAAUGCAUAUGUUAGUGUUUUCUUCUCCUUUUCAUAAUAUAUGAAUGCAUAUGUUAGUGUUGUCUUUUCCUUUUCAAACAUAUUAUACAGAUGUUGGUGUUCUCUCCUGAGAUGGAUGCAAUAAAGGCAUUUGCUGCUUAAUUUAGCUGAAGAAAUGGCAAGGGAUGUGAGAUUCUGUCUCAUUAAAUUAACAAAAACCCAAAACAAUGAAAGCCCAUAAUAAUGUAGUGUGGGUAAAUUGGCGCCAUUUGGUUCGUUUCCUUAAUGUGAAUAUGCGAGCAAUAGAGACUAACAAAAUGAAGUGAGAACAGCAAGUCAGUGUCCUUUGAUGGAUGCUUUUUUAAGCAGAAAUAGGUUUGUAAUUGACCAAAUUUGUCUGGCAUGCCAAUUUCAAAAAAAUUAAAUUGUGUGGUUAUUAGCUGUAAUGAAGGGGCAUAGUAGGUGCAAUUAGGCGGAUCCAGGAAAGUUCAACAAAGUUCUGGUAUGGCCUAUUGAAAUUGGUUUUUGCAAUUCAAGAGUCUUUCAAGUGAACGAUGAGGGGUUUUGAUUUAUAAAUGUUAUAAAUCUACUGUGCAUAGUAUUCUAGUAGAAUCAUCUAUAAGUUCUAGUUAUUGAAAUUGUCUACCUUGUUCAGUUUGAGUUAAGGGCAUAUGUAAUAUGAAAAAUAGUUGUCGCAUCUUUUAGGUUACCUAACAUUUGAUCAAUCCUAUUAUGAGGGCUUCAAGAUGUCUAACAAUAUGCAGAAUGCCCAUGCUCCUCCCCAUUGUUUAUCUUAUACAAUAAUUUGUUUUAGAUGCUAAUAUCUUUGUUGAUACCGGUAACAAUAUUGCAAUAUCUGCGUUUAUUGGGUUUUACAUAGGUUCGACUGUUUGACAGUACACACUAUCUGAAGGCAUUUGGAAUUGGAGAUGUAUGGGUUGCUGUUGGGUGGAGUAGUGAUGUUCUUCCUGCUGUCAAACGUAUGUGAGUAUGUCUAAUGUUGCAUUGUUAUCUCCUUCAUAUUAGCGAUCAGUAAACACGAUAAUGUGACUAAUAAGUUUGUAUUCUCUUUUAUAGAUAAAAAAAUAUUAGAUGACUAGUAAUUAACAUUUAAUUAUAGUUGAAAUAUUGUUUAUUAAAUUAGUCUAUUGUCUAAGAACGGUUAUAAAAUUAAUUUCAACAUAUAAUAAGAACUAUUACAAUAAUUUAUUUAGAUUUAUAUAUAUAGCUUAACUAUGAAUUAUUAAAACCAAUAUAGCUUCAUAGUUUGUGUGUUAAUAUCUAUUUUAAUCUUUUGUUUAUCUUAUUAAUUUUUCAUUUAAAUUUAAAUCUAUGUUAAAGAUGUUCUAUCAAUCAAUUUGGACUAGAGAGUAAAUAAACAAUCUAGUAAUCACACAAUAGAUAUUGUAUAUAAUUGUUCAAUUAUAACAAACUUUAAAUUUGCAUUAAUAUGAUUAGAAGUAUUGUUUUGCAAUUAACCGAAUCAUAGGCUAAUAAUUUUCAAUAUGAAAUAACUAACUUAGGAUAAAUUAAUUAAUUGACUGAUUUUUUUUUUAAUUUGAAUAUCUUGUGUUAUCUCUAGUAAACAAUUAAAUUUGUCCUUCAAGACUUGAAACAAAACAAAUUGGAGGGCGAGUCAGAGGUCCCUCUCCCUUAAUCCAUCAAUGGAUAGAGUUCUGCUUGCAAACAGCAAGAGCAUUGCCUUUCAAGCAAGAGGUUAUGCCGGGCGCAUCUCCCUCUGCCCUUGAAAGACUCUGGUUAAGUUGCCUGAAGAACUUCUGAAGGGUAAACCAAGCCUGGAUACUAACUUAAUUGCUGGAGUACCCCCGGCUGAAAUUCUGGCCAGAUGUGAGUUUUUGGAGCCAUUAUCUGAAGCUACUUUGUCAGAUUAUGAGUAGCUGGUUGCUAAUCUGCAAAAACCUGCUCCUGUCUUGAUGAAAAGGGUGCAACAUUACUUGUCAUCAUUAAUCCAAAGCUUUCCAGCAAAAGCUACACUGAAAAGUUAAUGGCACUGCAUGCCAGUCAUUAUAAUGCUGUCAGGGCAAUUGGUUCAGGGCAACUGGGUCAGAGCAUAACUUCAUUGGGAAAAAAGGCUUCAGCUAGUUACCUAUUACAGUGCGCACUGAGAUGGCAGUUCUUGAGGUUUUAUAAGAAAUGAAAGAUGAGUGCUUGUUUGAACAAAGUUGUUGCCAAUCUCGCAGAGUUCAAGAAGAAAGAUCACAGAGCUAAUGCCACCAAUUUCUUCAUCAUUGUAGCCUGCAUAGUUGAAGUUUCCUCACUUGAAGCUGUUUAUGCAAACGCUUUUUCCCUGCUCAAGUACAGGAAAUUGAAGAAUUAACCAGAUAUGAUAUGCUGAAAGAGGGAAUUUCUUCCUUAGUGGCCUUUUGAUUUGUAGUGAAGGAGUAGGAUGAUCACUAGCAAGAACCCUAUCAAGGUAGAUUUUAUGAUGUUAACAUAUUAUUAAGCAUUUGUCACUUAGGAAUGAUACAUUCAUAGCAUGAAAUUAAUUAUAUGAUCCUGAUUAAUCAAUUAAUUUUCAUGAGUUUUAACCUAGGUAAAACUAAGUACAAUCGUCGUUAACAACUACUGAAAUUGGGUAAGUAUGAUCUUGACAUUGAAGAAUUUGAAAACACAACCCACAGAGGAAAUUACCUAUUGCAUGGGGAUGGAGAUGUUUACCGCAGCGAUACAGAGCAGUGUUGUCCACUGCUCUUUGGGCUAUGGUGUCACUAAUUCUGAUUACGUAAUUGACUCUGGAUCGGGUGGAAAUAAUAACACUUUAUUAACAUUGCAUAGUCCGAGUACUUUUCCAGGAUCAGAUACGACGUGGUCUAAUGUUGAUAAUAAUAGUUUAUUAAAUGACAAAUCGUUGUUCAAGUAGAAGAUGAAGGUUGUGCAGGUGAUUUCAGAAAUAAAAUACAUUCUAAGAGAUGCUGGUCUACUAUUGCAUGCCCCCAGAUUUAAGAAUCUUUUGAUUGGGGCAUUUGGCAACGAUUCGACAAAUUCUAGAUUCAAGCUCCUCCACCAAGGGAUACCAACUGAGUUAUCAAUUAUCGUAGCAGUUUCUAUGAACUAAAAUUUGCAAAAUAAUUUCUAGCCCCGUUGACUCCACCAACUAAAGUUUACAACUCUACAAUAAUAAUUUCUAGCCCCGUUGACUCCACCAACUAAAGUUUUUUAAAAUUUAAAAAAGUACAUAGAAUUCCACAACAAGCAAAACGUGUGGAAUUUAAUUUUUUGCCGAAAAAGGACAAGAAAAAUGAUAAGAUUUUUAAAAUGAGUGGAAGGUGAUCCAUAUUUUACUAAAACGACUUACCUCGAACAUUAAGAUAAUUGAUUUUUAUUUUUUAUUUUUUAAUAAUAUCAACUUCCAUAUCUUUCUAGCGGGUCCAGCUAUGUUGCAACAGUGAUACUGUACCAUUGUUGCUUUCAGCCAUUGGAUCUUACUAAUGUAACAGUACAACUAUAGAUCCAAUGACUGGUUGCAACUGUAAUACCAUACCACUGUUGCAACAUAAUUUUGCCCCUUUCUAACCCCCAGAAUAUGCUCACGUUCAAGUCUAUCUUGCUAAUUUAAAAAAAGAAAAUCAAAUCAACACCAAAACAAUGAAAAGUAAAGCUUUUGAAUUUCAACUCGAGCUAGCAAACGUAUUCAGCUUUUUCAAAUUCUUCCCAUUGCAUAUCUUCUUCCUCCAUCAAUGCAAUAUUUGAACGAUUAUGAAAGAGUUUAAGAACAUAAAAAAUCUCCAAGGUUUAUACGGUAUAACAAAUUUAAAUUCUCAAUUACAAUAGAUAAUAAUUAAACUAAUAAUUUUUUAUGUACUUAUUUUAGUAAUUUCACCUAAGAAUAAUAUUGUAAUUAGAAAAAAAAUCUAAUAAGUAGGGUGGUCUUAUAAAAAAUCAACUGGUCUCCCCCCCAUAUAAUUAUAAUCCUUCUAGAAAGCUAAUUUUUAUUAAAUAUUUGCUUUUUAAGUUAAUUUCAAUUAAAAAAUGUUUUAAGUUAUAUAUACUCUAAUGAGAUUCUGAAUUCCUUUAUUCCAAUAAUAAUGAAAACGUAUUAAAUUAGAAAUGAAAAAAUUGGUGUUGACGAUUCAACCUAUUUGGAUAGAUUACGUGAAUAAAAUUGAAAUUUUGAUUUAAUUUUUGUUUAUUGUUAAUUCUCAGGCUAUCUUAAUUUCAAGAAUUUAGAAUGUUAAUUUGGUCAUGGAUUUCAGCCCGUGAGUGUCAUAUUCUAGACUUAAUGGUAUCAUUCUUUGAUUGAGGGCAAUGACUCUCACUCCUCUUGUAAAAAAAUAUUUUCAACUAUUUUGAUGACUUAAAAAUUGAUAGAUUUAUUGUUGUCAUGACCAAAUUAUUCAUUUUAAUGAAAUAUAAUUAAUGCAUCAAAGUUACCAGGUUUAUGUUCUAUCUUAAUGCGCUUUUUUUUUUUUUUCAGUUAUCAGCUAUGCCCCUGAGGCAUUUUGUAGAGUAUAGCUUCUGCUUACCUCUGUUUCAUUUUUUUUUAAUAAAAAAACAAGGGAAGGUUUUUCCGAGUCAUCCAUUAUUUGAUUACCGUCAAUCAAGAAAACGACCAAAUUAAUUUCUCUCCAAAAUUUCCAAAAGCUAGAAAAUUUUGUUAUUUGAAAAUAACAUCAUUAAUUAUAGAGUGGAUCAAACCGCGUUAUUGUCUUUUAUAAAAUUGAUGUCUUUUUAAGAGUCAAUACAUUUUAUUUACGCAAACCAGUCGACAUCAACUUGAACUUCCAUAUUUUUAUUAUUAUGUUAUUUAUUUUAAUCCCCGAUUAUUUGAUUAGCCACUAUAUAUAUCAAGAAAGCGACAAAAUUUAUUUCUCAUGACUUCCAAAAACUAGAAAACAACAUCAUUUAUUAUUUUUUUGCAACCCUAAUUGACAUCAACUUUAACUUUAUUAUGUUAUUAUUUCAAUCCCCCAUUAUGACCUUUCUAAUCCUCCAUUAUGCAUCUUUUAUAGUGCAAAUUUAAUUGCACAUCUAAAUAAAUUGAUUAUUGUCACUCCACCACCAAUAUUUCAAAUAGUCACUAGACCAUUUCUGCCUUUAAUUUUCCCUUAAUUUUAACUGUUGACUGUUUUUAGCAUCUUAAAAUAUACAUUUAUUCCUUGAUUAUGUGAUAAAAUUAUGAAAAUAUCCAUUUUAGCUUAAAUUAAUUGGAAUAACCAUAAGCGUAACAUAAAUUAAUAGAACAAAAUUAUCAAGUGUAUGUUCUAUCUUACUUUUUGAAGAAUUUAACAUAUAUAAUGCUAUACUAUUAAUAAAUUUAUCAUUUACUAUAUAUGUUCAAAUAUUUUAUAUAUUUAUUAAUUGUUAUAUAGUCAAAGGAUGAAUGAUUUUUCAGGUCUACAUGAGUUGGUGCAUCUGCAAGACUCAAUUUUGACAACAAUGAUCUAAGGGGUAAUUUACCUUGGCGUUUGACAAAUAUAACCUCUCUUCAAGAUUUACUUCCAAUCUACUUACUGUAAAUAUCUCCUCAUCUCCUCUCAUUUAUAUGAUAACCCUUGAAGAUCUCACAUUUUCAAACGAUCAUAUUAGGGUUUUUAUUAUUAGCAUCAUUGUGUCAAUAAUAUAUGUUGCAGUAAGAUUUUUUCAGACCAAUUCCCUUCUUCAAAUAAUAAUGGAAAAGUAUUAAUUUAAAAAUAAAAUGAAUAUGCAUUGAUUAUAUCCUGAUUUUCAUCGAUUAUAGAGAGAGUUUCUCCAAAUCAACUCCCUUAUUCAAAUAAUACAGAAAAAAUAGUAAUUUAAUAGUAAAAUUAACAAGUGUUGAUUAUAUAUCCUAAGUUUCAUCGAUUAUGUGAUCAAAGUGGCAUUGUUGAUUUAUUUCUUCUUCAAUGUAAAUUUUUAGGUUAUCUAAAUUUCAAGGAUUUAAAAUCUUUGUUCAUGGAUUACACGCUUAUUAAUUUUUCUGCCAUUGACUGUCAUAUUCUAGACUUAAUGGUACCUUCCUUGAUCAAGGAUAAUUACUCUCUGCUCUCCUCUUAUAAAUUCUUCUUCCAUUAACAUCACUAGGAGUAUGUUGAUCUCUCAGACGUUAACUUCAGUGGAGAGUUUCCAAAUUGAUUGUCACAAAACAACACAAAAACUAGACACACUUGAUCUGUCUAUUAAUUCUCUUUCGGUAAAAUUAAUUAAUUUUAGGGGAAUAUUCGACCAACCUAUAUAAUUUUAGAUUGAUCAUUAAUUAAUUGGACGAAAAAAGUGCUUGUGCUUUUGUGGCGACAAUUGAACCAGAGAAGUGAAGCUGUAAAGAUUUGGCAGUAGUAAAUUGUUAGAAAGACAUAAAGACGAGUUCCCAUUAUUAUAAUUUUUUCAAAAAACUUUUUUACAACACAUGCACCUGGCCAAAAAUUUUAUUUUGCUAACUAACAAUAAUUGAGUAGCUGACCGUAUUGACUCCACCUACUUGCUAAAGUAAAAAAAUAGAAAUAGAAUUUCCACAAAAUGGCAAACAUGUAAAAUCUAAUAUUUGGCCGUGUGGAACAAAAUACAAAUAAAAAAAAAAGAAAAGAAAAAAGGCCUAAAGACUUUUAAAAUGUGUGGAAGUCUUUCGGCCCUUUUAUAAUGGUGUGUUUUUCAAAGGAACAAAUAAUAAUAAUGACACUUCUACGGUUUGUUUUGAUAAUCACACAUAUACUCUUUAAUUUGAUAAAUGGUUACACAAAUUUUGUUUACAAAAAUAUAUUAUUCAUGUUCUGUGUUAUUUUUUAACAUCAUAUUUUUAUUUAUUAUAAUUGUUUAAAGUUAAUUGUUAGGUUGAUAUAUAAUAAAAACGUAUAAUCGUUCUCUUACUAAACACACAUACUCAUAGUUUCUGUUCAUUUGUCAUCUCAAUCUCUCUCAUUUAUCCUUUAUUGAUAGCUCAAAACGCGUCACUGUGGAAAAUUAUAGCAAAACGACAAAUAUGGAAAAAAAUGGGAAGAAAAUUAAUGCAUGAAAGAGUUGCAGAAGACAACCAAAUAAGUCAACUAUACGCUAGCUGGGUGUAUAAAUUGUUAGAUGUGUUAUAAACAAAUAGCAUAGAGCCCUUUGGUUGGUUACAAAGAUAGAAAGAGUGUGUGUGUUUUUUAGAACUUAAAGAUACAGUUAGAAUGGGUGGUUCAAAAUAAAAAAUGGUGAUAAUGUUUGUUCUGUUAUUAAUAAUAUUAGAAGGUGGGGGGAGUGAGGGAUGUUUGGAUCAUGAGAGAUUUGCUCUUUUGCGACUUAAACUUUUCUUUGAUGAUCCUUUUAAUUAUCUUCACGAUUGGAUAGAUGAUGAGGGAGCAACUGAUUGUUGUCAGUGGGAAAGGGUUGAGUGCAGCAACACCACAGGCCGAGUGAUAGCGCUAUACCUUUUUCACACGUAUGGGGGAGAGGACAGCUGGUAUCUGAAUACUUCUUUUUUUACUCCCUUCCAACAACUUGAGUCACUUGCUUUACAUGGCAACAACAUAGCCGGUUUUGUUGAGAAUGAAGGUGCUUCGUCUAAUUCAAUUAAAUUACAUUUCGCUCUCGUAAUUUAAGACGAAUAUCAAGACUGAGCAGCUAUAUGCAUAUUCAUUCAAUUGACAAUUUUUGAAAUUACACCAAACAUCAUAUGUGAUCUUUGUUUUGAUUUUACUUGCAGGUCUAGAAAGAUUGAGCAACUUGAAGGGGCUUGAUUUAAGAGGAAACUUGUUCAACAAUAGCAUCUUAUCAUCUGUGGCUCAUCUUUCAUCACUAACAUCAUUAUAUUUAUCUGAAAAUAGAUUGGAAGGAAGUAUUAAUGUUAAAGGUACGUAAUUAAAACGUCAUCGCUUCUACCAACUCUUUCAUUAACAUGCUAAAAUAAGAUUCAAGGCUUUGAAUUCAAUUUUUUUUAUGAGUAAUAUUAGAAAAAUAGUUUUAAGCAAUUCAUAAAUACAAUUUUCAAUGUUUCUCAUAAUUUCAUCUUGUACUUUUGUAUGUCUUGACUUUAAGAUUAAAAAAAAAAUUACUCUAACUGUGAAGCAAAUACCCCAUGACUAAUUUACAAUUUUGUCCAGUUAAAAAUGAUAAAAUUUAUCAUUUGUUUAUAUUGAUUUAUUAACUCUAUUUUAAGUCUUAAGUCUUGGCGUCUUGGCAUGUUUGCAGAAUUUGAUUCCUUGAGCAACUUAGAGGAGUUGGACAUGAGCGGCAAUGAAAUAGACAAUUUCGAGGUUCCUCAAGGUACACAAUUAAAAUAUUAUUUAAUUAUAUUAAUUUAAUUCGUUUGAUUAGGGAAGGCCCAAAAUGUACAAAAACAUAAUUAAAAAAAAAAUAAAGAAAUAGAGAAUUCAUAUUAUUUCAAAAAACAAAAGGUAAUACUAUUAUUUCAAAAAAAGAAUGUAAUAAAGAUUUGAUUCCGGUUCUUUAAUCUUUAUAGCAAUUGAAAAACAAUGUUGCUCUUUUCCUAAAGCAUAAAAUAUGAAAUGAGUCAUAAUUGAAUUAGUCAUUUAUUUUGUUUAGAUCUAAAUUUAGACAAUAAAUUUUGAUUUUUUUUUUCAAUCCUAUCCUUAUUAUUAUUGUUAAACAGGUUACAGAGGUUUGAGGAAGUUGAAAAGCCUCUAUCUAUCGGAAGUUAAAAUUAGAGAUGGAAGCAAGUUGUUACAGUCAAUUGGAUCAUUCCCAUCCCUCAACACUCUUUACCUUUCAUCUAAUAAUUUUACCGAUAUAGCGACAACUACUACUCAAGGUAAGUAAAAGGUACAGAUGUGGCCAAAUUUAUAAAUAAAUUGUUAAUUAAUUAAUUUUUCCGUAUUAUUAAUAAAGCUAAAUUCGUCGCUCCUUCCUUCUAAUUCUAAACAGAGUUGGCAAUUUCACCAACUUGGAGUAUUUGACAUUGGACUUGUCCUCACUCCAUUUAAGCCUUCUGCAAUUGCUUGAAGAAUGAAUUUAUAUAUUUAUUUAUUAUUAUUAUUAUUGUUAUUGUUGUUGUUGAAGUGAGGUGGGCAAGCGUUCACUCAAUUAAUAUGUGGGGAAUUAAUAAUUACAAUCCAAGGUAGAAUUGUGGAAAAUUAAAGCAAAAUGAGAAAUAUGGAAAGAAAGGAAGAAAGUUAAGGGCAUGAAAGACUGGGAGAAGACUAAAGACCACCAAAUAAGUCAACUGAAAACUAGCUGGGGCCUGGCUGUACAAAUUGUUAGAUGUGUUUGUUAUAAAUAACAUAGAGCCCUCUUGUUGGUUGCAGAGGCAGAGAGACAGAGAGUGUGCAUUUUGUUAAUUAAAAAUAUAUAUAAAAUGGGUGGUUCAAAAUCCAAAAUGGUGAUAAUGUUAGUUUUGUUAGUAUUAAUAAUAUUAUAAGGGAGGUGGCGUGAGGGAUGUUUGGUGCAUGAGAGAUUUGGUCUUUCGAGACUUAAAACAUUUCUUUAAUUCUCCUUAUAAUUUUUGUCACGACUGACCAUUGUCAAUGGGAUGGGGCUGGGUGCAGGGUUGAUUUACGUUAGAACAAUAUAGCCGGUAGUGUUGAGAAUGAAGGUGUUUCAUUUAAUUUAAUUAAUUUACUUUCUCCCUCCUAAUUUAAGUGGAAUAUCAAGACUGAAUAAUUAUAUGCAUCUUCGUUCAGUUGACAAUUUUGACAUAUUUUUUUAAGUGAUUAAUUUUGAAAUUACACCAAACAUUAUUUGUGAUCUCUGCUUUGACUUUACUUGCAGCGCUAGAGACGUUACCAAGAUUGAGCAACUUGACGAUACUUGAUUUAAGAGGAAACUUGUUCAAUAAUAGCAUCUUGUCAUUUGUUGCUCGUCUUUCAUCAUUAACAUCAUUAGAUUUAUCUUACAAUGGAUUGGAAGGAAGUAUUAAUAUUAAAGGUACGUAAUUAAAACGUCAUCGCUUCUCCCAACUCUUCCAUUAACAUGCUAAAAUAAGGUUCAAGGCUUUGAAUUCAAUUUUUUUUAUGAGUAAUAUUAGAAAAAUAGUUUUAAGCAAUUCAUAAAUACAAUUUUCAAUGUUUCUCAUAAUUUCAUCUUGUACUUUUGUAUGUCUUGACUUUAAGAUUAAAAAAAAAUUACUCUAACUGUGAAGCAAAUACCCCAUGACUAAUUUACAAUUUUGUCCAGUUAAAAAUGAUAAAAUUUAUCAUUUGUUUAUAUUGAUUUAUUAACUCUAUUUUAAGUCUUAAGUCUUGGCGUCUUGGCAUGUUUGCAGAAUUUGAUUCCUUGAGCAACUUAGAGGAGUUGGACAUGAGCGGCAAUGAAAUAGACAAUUUCGAGGUUCCUCAAGGUACACAAUUAAAAUAUUAUUUAAUUAUAUUAAUUUAAUUCGUUUGAUUAGGGAAGGCCCAAAAUGUACAAAAACAUAAUUAAAAAAAAUAAAGAAAUAGAGAAUUCAUAUUAUUUCAAAAAACAAAAGGUAAUACUAUUAUUUCAAAAAAAGAAUGUAAUAAAGAUUUGAUUCCGGUUCUUUAAUCUUUAUAGCAAUUGAAAAACAAUGUUGCUCUUUUCCUAAAGCAUAAAAUAUGAAAUGAGUCAUAAUUGAAUUAGUCAUUUAUUUUGUUUAGAUCUAAAUUUAGACAAUAAAUUUUGAUUUUUUUUUCAAUCCUAUCCUUAUUAUUAUUGUUAAACAGGUUAUAGAGGUUUGAGGAAGUUGAAAAGCUUUGAUCUAUCGGAAGUUAAAAUUAGAGAUGGAAGCAAGUUGUUACAGUCAAUGGGAUCAUUCCCAUCCCUCAACGCUCUUUACCUUUCGUCUAAUAAUUUUACCGAUACAGCGACAGCUACUCAAGGUAAGUAAAAGGUACAAAUGUGGCCAAAUUUAUAAACAAACUGUUAAUUAAUUAAUUUUUCCGUAUUAUUAAUUAAGCUAAAUUUGUUGCUCCUUCCUUCUAAAUCUACACAGAGUUGCACAAUUUCACCAACUUGGAAUAUUUGGCAUUGGACUAUUCCUCUCUCCAUAUAAGCCUUCUGCAAAGCAUUGCAUCAAUAUUCCCUUCGUUAAAAAAUUUGUCGAUGUAUCACUGUGUAGUCAAUGGCGUCCUACGUGGUCAAGGUAAAAGAAAAGUGUUGAUUGUGAACUCGCUCAAUGGUGUCCUACGUGUUCAACAUUUUUAUUUAUUUAUUUUAUUGUUUAAUGUUUCUGCUAGGUUUUCCUCAUUUCAAGAGUUUGGAACAUUUGGACAUGGAUUUCGCGAGCAUUGCACUCAACACCAACUUUCUUCAAAUCAUCGGAGAAUCAAUGCCUUCUCUUAAGUACUUAUCACUAUCAUAUUCUAAUCUUAGCACUGACAGCAAGACUCUUGAUCGAGGUUAAUGAGAUGCUUCAACCCUCCCCUUUAAAUCUAUAAUAUUAAUUUUCGAUUAAAUAUAUAAUUAUAGAAACCAAUCACUUAUAAAAGAAUGCUAUGCAUUUGCCAAUUUUUUUAUAUUUUACUGAUUGAUGAAUUAAUAAAUUUUCAGGCCUCUGUUCGUUGGUGCAUCUACAAGAGUUGUACAUUGCAACUCUUGUAGUAAUUAAUUAAUUAAUUAAUUAAGUAUUAGUUAAUUAAUUAAUUAAUUAAUUUUUUGUAUUAUUAAUAAAGCUAAAUUUGUUGCUCCUUCCUUCUAAUUCUGAACAGAGUUGCACAAUUUCACAAACUUGUAAUAUUUGGCAUUAGACUCUUUCUCUCUCCAUAUAAGCCUUCUGCAAAGCAUUGCAUCAAUAUUCCCUACGUGGUCAAGGUAAAAGAAAAGGGUUGAAUGUGAACUCACUCAAUGGUGUCGUACGUGUUCAACAUUUUUAUUUAUUUAUUUAUUUUAUUGUUUAAUGUUUCUGCUAGGUUUUCCUCAUUUCAAGAGUUUGGAACAUUUGGAUAUGGAUUACACUCGCAUUGUACUCAACACCAGCUUUCUUCAAAUCAUCGGUGUAUCGAUGCCUUCUCUUAAGUACUUAUCACUGUCAAAUUCUGAUCGUAGCACUAACAGCAGCAGGAUUCUUGAUCAAGGUUAAUCAGAUGCUCCCACCCUCCCUUCUUAAUCUAUAAUAUUAAUUUUCGAUUAAACAUUUAAUUACACAAACAAAUCACUUAUUAUAAAAGAACAAUACGCAUUCAUUAAUUUUUAUAUUGUAUUAAUUGAUGAAUUUAAUAAAUUUUCAGGCCUCUGUUCGUUGGUGUAUCUGCAAGAGUUGUACAUUGAUAAUAAUGAUUUAAGAGGUAGUUUGCCUUGGUGCUUGGCAAAUAUGACAUCCCUCCGAAUAUUAGAUGUUUCUUCCAAUCAACUUACUGGAAGCAUCUCCUCAUCUCCCCUCAUUCAUUUGACAUCCAUUGAAGAGCUGAUGCUUUCAAACAAUCACUUCCAGAUCCCAAUUUCACUUGAACCACUUUUCAAUCACUCAAGACUCAAGAUUUUCAAUGCUUACAACAAUGAAAUAAAAGCUGAAAUAACUGAGUCACAUUCUUUGAUCGCCCCAAAAUUCCAAUUAAAUACACUCUUGUUGUCUUCCAGUUACGGAGACAGUUUCAUAUUCCCUAAAUUCCUUUACCAUCAACAUGACCUGGCGUAUGUUGAUCUCUCACACAUAAAAAUGAAUGGAGAAUUUCCAACUUGGUUGUUGGAAAACAACACAAAAUUGAGCCACCUUUCUCUCAUCAAUGAUUCUCUUGCAGGACCUUUUUGGUUGCCAAUUCAUUCACACACGCAGUUAAUACUGUUGGAUAUAUCCAACAACAACAUCCGAGGCCACAUUCCACUAGAAAUUGGAGAUGUUUUACCACGUUUAUACGUUUUCAACAAUUCCAUGAAUGCUCUAGACGGUAGCAUUCCCUCUUCAUUUGGUAAUAUGAAAUUCCUCCAAAUUCUGGACUUAUCCAACAAUCACUUGACUGGUGAAAUCCCCGAGCACUUGGCCGUGGGUUGCGUCAACUUGCAGGCUCUUGCAUUAUCAAAUAACAACCUACAAGGUCAUUUGUUCUCUAGAAAUUUUAACUUGACAAACUUGAAAUGGUUACAAUUGGAGGGCAAUCGCUUCGUAGGUGAGAUCCCACAAAGUUUGUCUAAAUGCUCCUCACUAGAAGGAUUGUCUCUUAACAAUAAUAGUCUUUCGGGUAAGAUUCCACGAUGGUUGGGUAAUCUCACACGGUUAGAAUAUAUUAUAAUGCCCAAUAAUAAUCUUGAAGGCCCUAUUCCAGUGGAGUUUUGUCAGCUUGAUUCGCUUCAGAUUUUGGACAUUUCAGACAACAACAUAUCUGGAAGUUUACCAUCUUGUUUCCAUCCUCUCUCUAUCAAACAAGUUCAUCUUUCAAAAAAUAUGUUACAUGGACAGCUAAAAAGAGGUACAUUCUUUAAUUGCUCUUCCCUUGUGACAUUAGAUCUUAGCUAUAACCGCUUGAAUGGCAGCAUUCCGGAUUGGGUUGAUGGGCUUUCUCAGUUAAGCCACCUUAUCUUAGGUCACAAUAAUCUUGAAGGUGAAGUGCCAGUUCAAUUGUGCGAAUUGAACCAACUACAAUUGUUAGAUCUUUCUAAUAAUAAUCUUCACGGUCCUAUUCCUCCUUGCUUUGAUAACACCACACUUCAUGAAAGUUACAGCAAUAGUUCUAGUCCUGAUGAGCAAUUUGAAAUAUCUUUUUUCAUCCAAGAAACUCAGGGAUAUGUAAAAGAGCAAAUCCAUGAAAUUUUUGAGUUCACAACAAAGAACAUUGCGUACAUUUACCAAGGAAAAGUGCUUAGCCUCCUAUCAGGACUUGAUCUUUCUUGCAACAAGUUAAUCGGUCAUAUUCCUCCUCAAAUUGGAAAUUUGACAAGGAUUCAAACAUUGAAUCUAUCACACAACAACUUGACAGGAUUGAUCCCAUCAACAUUUUCAAACUUGAAGCAUAUCGAAAGUUUGGAUCUUUCCUACAACAAAUUGAAUAGAAAAAUCCCUCAUCAACUAGUGGAGUUAAAGACAUUGGAGGUUUUCAGUGUGGCAUACAAUAACUUAUCAGGCGAAAUUCCAGAAUGGAAAGCACAAUUUGCAACCUUCAACGAGAGUAGCUAUGAGGGAAAUACUUUUCUUUGUGGAUUGCCAUUGCCCAUUUGCAGAUCACCAGCAACUACGCCAAAGGCUUCAAUUGGCAAUGAAAGAGAUGAAAAUUUAAUUGACAUGGACAAUUUCUUUAUCACAUUUACAACAUCGUACGUAAUUGUAAUAUUCGGAAUUGUUAUUGUUUUAUAUGUAAAUCCUUAUUGGCGACGUAGAUGGUUUUACUUUGUUGAAAUGUGGAUAAUUUCAUGUUACUAUUUUGUUGUAAACAAUCUUAUUGCAACAAGAUAUUGUCAGUGAAAUUAAUUAGCAGUUUAAUUACGAUUCUUUAAGUUCUAAUCAAGUUUGCUUAGGAAAUAAAUUUAUUUUUAUUUUUUAUUAAAAUUGUAGUAGUAUUUAGCGCUAUAUAGCUUCCAACUUCCAAGCACUUCACAUUUGUCUCUACACUUCCAAACCCAUAUCUAUCCAACAUAACUUAUACUUCCCUAUACUGUGCAGCAUACUUAAAUAAGAGAAUCAUCUCCAAUGUUAAAACCAACCACUCUAUAACAUUCAUUUAGAAACUAUAUUUAGAAUAGUUUUAUAAUCAUACACAAGAAAUGAAACACCUAGAUGCACUUGAUCGCCUAUUUUACUUUAAAAAAUAAUGAUUAUGGUGCUAUCAUCAUCUUCUUCACUAGCAACAUUAACACCAAAUCCAGCGAUGGACCCAGACAUUUAAUCAAGAAAGGUAUAUAUAUAAUAAAGUUGAAGCUUGACAAAAAAUUCAGGAAGAUUAAUGCAUCGCCACAACAAGAGGCACAACAGCAUCAAAGUAGAGAUGAAGCAAUAUUCUCAAAGCUAAAACUCUCAAAUCCACCCACCAGAAUUUCAUAUCUCCUCAACAAUUUUAAGAACUAAAGAUAAUUAGGAUCUAACAUUAGUUUUUUAUAUAUUAGUUUCAUAAUUUACAAAUCAAUGAAGAUGAAGAUUAUGCUAAUGAAUUCAAAUUAUACCAUACAUUCUCGAGAUGUUACCAAAAAUUUCUAAGUCAAUCCCACAUAUUUCAUAAUUUUAAGACUAGAAAAUUUCAUUAGUUAGAAGUUUCAUUACCUUCAAGUGGAAGAUGAAGAACAUUAUACAAUUGAUUCAGAUUAUAUCAUACAUACUCCAAAUGCAACUAGAAAUUAACAAGUUCAUGCACACAGAUUUCAUAACAUUAUGAUUGGAAAGUUUCGCAAAGAGAAAUUCUAAAUUCAAUCUCUUGCAUCAAGGUAGUUUGAUUGAUUUGAGUUACUUUCAAGUCAGGGAGAAAGUAAAUUAAAACAGGGAAAAAAUAACAGUAAAAAUUUGUUGCUAAACAUGAUGUGUAUUUUUUUUUUAAGGCAAUUUGGAAACACAGUUGUUACUACAGAUAUUCUCAACUUAGAGAUAACUACAAAUAUUAAAAUGCAUAUGAUCGCACAUAUUACUUGGAGCUUAGUAGGAUUUCAUUAAGAGAAGCAAUCAAACCACUUAUCAAUUGUUGCAAUCGUUCUAUAAGCUAAAAUAGCAAUAUAAUACAAGAAAAAGAACAUAUAGAUACUUGGCAAGAGUUCAUUAAGAAGUCGCAUCACAUUCGGGUGAGUUUGCUUCUGAUAUCUUGCUAGCUGGGGCUUUUUCUUGUCUUUCUGCGUAUGCCGAAGGAAACCAACCAGCUUGGCCCUUGCAUUCACCUUCUGACCAUCCAGUAGGAGCCACCUUGAGAAGUUAUAACUAAAACAGUGAAUUAAACAAAAGUUGACCGUUCAAAGACCUAAGGGGAAAACUAAUUCUUUUACGUAGGAGUGAAUUAGUUGUGAUCACUGAAAUAACAGCAUAACUAUGGAAGCAUAACAAGAUAUAAAUUCACACGUCUAUAAGGGUAAACUGGGUGGUUUAGAACUGAGCUAGCAACCCUACUAUAUUCUGAUUUGCACUUCAAUGUAAAAGGGAAUAUAUGGUAGGAAUAAAGAAAACCAACUAUCAUUUGUUAACUCAUUGCUUUUCAAUCAAAAUUUUAAGAACAAAAUGCCAUGUGCUUUGAACAUCAAAUAAGUAUAAGCAUUAGUUCUAAAUUCCACAUAUCAUAAGUUAGAAGGAUAAGUUAAUAGCAUAUUAGAAAAAUCUAUGUGUUGUUAUUUAGAGGGGAAAGUACCUGGCGAACCACAACAUAAUCAGCUAUUGAAAGACUUAGCUCUCCAUUUGCUUGAGCAACAAAUGGAUGUAUAACCUGCAAGAUAAUGGGAUAAAUAGAACUUAAUCUUAAAAAAAGCAUAACAAAAGCAGCAACAGUAGCAGCAACGUUCAUUGUAACCACUAUGAUCAUGGCCAACAAAGAUAUAUUAGAAACAAAAUUCCAUUUAUACUACGACAUUAAUAUGUACUAUAUGAUAUCAUGACGAUUGGGUUACCAAGAGCUAUCAAAGUCCAAUAAAUUCUGUAUAACUUUAUGUAGUUAUUCAAAUUAUGGAUCAGAUUUUAAAUCUGAAAUUUUGACUGCUCUCCACAAAACAUGGCCUAUGCGCAAGAAAGUCAUAGAUAAUGAGGAUUACAAGUGUCUGACAUCUUUUGAGUGAUGGAUUUAACAUGAGAGCUUAUGGUCAGUCAAUUUCCUCUGCCUAGUAAUAUAAGCUUUCUCGGCCAGAUUUAUCAUCAAAUACAUAGAUUGCCCCCAAGUCACAUCCAUAUAAACAUAGUUUUUCUAGGUAAACCAAGUAAGGAGAAUCAUAAUUCAGACAUAAUCAUAAAAAGGAACAUCUAACUUAAGAGAAAAUCUCAAAAAGAGGGAUGCUGAGCUAUCAGUCUUGUAUCUAUAAGCAAUAUCAAGACUUUACAUCACCUGCUACAUCGUGAAUGGCUACACAACUUUCAGUGGUUUGUCUUUCUUUGGCAUGCCUAACUCAGCUUUGAUGUUGCUGAGAUAUUGAUAGUAGAGACACAUGAUACUUCUAGCUCAUGCAUUCUAUCUAGCUCAUCCGACAGCUAUGUCUUUUUUAAUUCAUUAGUGUUUGCUAAACCUCAUGCUUAAAAGUCCUGUUGUUCUAAACAAAGUUUCCUAAGAAUGACUUCCUCAGCACCACAUUUGGACACUUUUAGAGCAAUUUAUUUGGGGGAAAAGAAUUUUCAAGGUGUUAACUAAUAAAUUUUAAAAAAUAAUUACUAUUUGUCCUACGAUUAUAUGACAAUUUAUCUGGGAUGAAAGGAUACAGACAGACAUCUUCCACUUUCAAGACUAAUCACUACUUCCGUAGAUGUUUUGCAAUAAUACAAAUACUUGACCAGAUGGUAGUGAUGGUAGAAAAAAAUUUUAUUGCUCCAAAAUUAAAAUAAGAAUGCAAUAUGUUAAGCAAAAGACUGUGCAACAUCAAAUUAAUUGAUAAGUUUGUAAUUCAGUAAAUUAACAACUUUCAUGGUAAAAUACAACAAAUUUCUUUAAAAAAAAAAAAAUCUUAAAAGACAGCAUUCAAUUUUGUGCGCAUCUUAUUUCUUAAGAUUUUCCAGGAGGGCAAUAGAGGGACUUUCACCUAUGCAAGAGAGCAGAAGCCUUACUUUCGCUAUAAAGUAGACGUCAUUCUGAUUAAUAUGCAUUUGCAAAUCAGCUCCAUUUGAAUCAGUAUUCUGAUAGACACAUGAGGCAUUUACAUCCAUUUCCAAAGUCACAUGUUGAGAGGAGGACUCAUUUGAUUGCUCCUCUAGGACCAUCUAAUUCAAGUAGCAAGGGAUGGAAGAGAAUAAAAAGUCACAAUUAUUCUUUUGCAUAAGUGAGACGAAAAUGAUAAAUGCAAUAUUAUCAGCAGUAAACAAGAAGAGAACACUCCAAGGAAUAGAUAGAUGCGGACAAGCAAGUUAAAAUGCACAGUUCCAAACCUCCGCAUACAACUUCUCUAAAAUAGCAAUAACGUGUUGAUGAUAUGUUUUCUCAGCAUCUACCUGCAAAGGCCCGAGACCAGGAAAACAACAAUAAAACCACUAGCUAAAGGAGAAAGUAAAGAAAGAAAUACACUUGACAUAAAUCUUGACAAGAAGCACAAUUUAAGACAUAACAAACCCCAAUCAUAUUGUUUAGAACUACCAUUCAUUAUUUCGUUAUUGUAGCAUUUCGAACAAGUGUUGACUUAAUUCAACAUUGUUGGAAAGAUAGGCUUUUAGAAGCGGAAGAAAGCCACUCAAACCAAAGUGAUUGUCCUUGUAUUGAUCAAGGGAUGUAAACAUAUUACAUUUGCAGGAUGAGUUUUAAUCACUUCCUGAUUUAUUUGGGUUGCAGUAAAACUAAGCGAGCAACUGUUUGACUUUCAAGCAACAUCUAAAUCAGCUAUUAAAAUUCAAAUAAAAUUAUAAUAGAAUAAUAACAGGCCAUCUUGCAUCAAAAUUAAGUUUAAUUUGUGAAUUUUUUUCUAUAGACAUGUUAGUUCCUGCUAUUGAAAUGUUAAAAGCUUUGAAAAAUUAUUCAAUAAAUUAUGCAAACAUUAAAAUAGAGGACAUAUUAAAAAGUUUCUAAUUACAAUGUUAAGAUUUCCUAUAUUUUAGCAUUUGCAUAUUUUAAUUUAUUUAAAAGCUACGUCGAUCAACUUUGGGCGUGAAGAUUUUAGCUUCUACGAGACUUGAUUGGAAUAUGCAUAAGGAAGAGUGUUAAAAUAUGAUGCAUCCAACGAAAGACAAACCAUGUGUAGUCUUUUAAUUAAGCCAAAGUAGCAGCUCAAACAAAUGACACUUGGACCAACAUGCAAUCAUGAAGUGGCCGGAAAAAGGACAAAUGCAACUUUGGCUUAAAUAAAAAAUAACAUGUGACUUGACUUUUCCUGGACAUGCAUCAUGUUAUUACAAGACAACAGAAAUCAGUAUGAUAGUACUAAAAGUUGACAAUAACAUGAAGAUAAGAGGCAGAAUGUCAACACAUGCAUAGGCACACACAAGAAAGUAUUAACAUAUAUACCAUAGCAAAAAGUCUUUGAUAUGUCAUCUGUUGCUGCUGUGAUUCAACUGACAGCAUGGCAGCUGUUGCUUCUCUACCAAGAGCCAUUAUUGUAGAUUUAAGCUCGGUCAAUCUUGCUUCUGCAUUUCGAAGCUUCACAGCACUCUCUGCUGAUAUAUCAGAUUCCCUUAUCUUUGAUCGGUGCCUAAAUACUUCAGCUGCCUGGUGAAAAUAUUCAAUAUAAAUCUAACAUAAUUCUCAUCUUGCCUUAUACAUGCAUAUGUUACCUCAAAGCUUGCCUGGGCUUCAACUUCAUGUCGAAGUUUGUCAUAACGAUGAGUCAGGUGUCGAGCAUCUUCCAAAGGUGCUCCGUUGAUUAACGCCCAUAGUGGCUUAGAUACCUACAUGUCCAAAAACCUGUAACAUAGUUAGAAAAAUGAAAAGAAAGAGCGAAACCUCAAUUAAAAAGUUCCUCCAACAUAAUCAUGGAAUUUGGGCCUACUUCAAGGAUAUAUAUAAGGAUAAUUUAUGCAAUUUUGGGUCUUAGGAUGAUUCAUAUUAGGUUAGUGUUCUUCUCUUCUGUAUUUAAGGUUAAAAUAGAAAUAAACCUAUGCAAAUAUCUAAAUUAGGGCUGUAAGACUUCCACAUGCAUCCUUCAGUCUCAUGGAUUUGAUUUUACUAUAGAUGCAAGUGUCUUUAUCGAAAAUGCUUGGAGUCAAUUGAGAGAACUCACAGCCAAUAACUUGUCACAUGCUAGUCUUUGCUAGUGAUGCAAGAAGUCACAAGGUCUCUUCAACAUUUGAACCAAUAAAAUUAUUAAGUCAUGGAUGUCACUAGCAAUGAUUUCAAUAUAAAACAUUAAAUAUUUCAAGUUGUAACUUUAAAAUGGAUUCUUUUAUUCAAUAUCUUAGAACUAAGUUUCCUUAUGAGAAGAUAAUAGUUUCAGUAGUAAUUUACAUGAAAUUUUCUAUAUUUGAAUUAUUUUCUAGUUAGGGAUGAACUAACCUGAUCAUGAAGAAUCCCAAGCAAAGUUUCCCUCUCAUUUUCCAUCAAAUCAUGUGAAGUGCCAAAUUGAAGAGCAGCUCUUGCAGCGCAAGAAUUGUCACUUUGAUUCUCCGCUCCAUACUUGCAACAAUCUUCAGCCAACUUUCUCGCUACAAUAUUUGAAUACAAAAAUAUUGUACACAAGAACCAGUCAAGAAAAUAAAAAAAAAUCAAAUAUUAUAACGAGAGCAAGAGCAAACAAACAACCUAUUUCCAUUUGUUUCAAGCUUACUGCAACAAACCCUUCAAUGCCACGGACAAUAUUCCUCUGAAAAUGCUGUGCUACAGAGCAUAUAUUCCAAAUUAUUGUUCAGAUAAAACCAUAGAAACCAUCAUAAUUAUCAACAUACAUUAAGCUCCGUUUGGUAAAUACUUGCAACUUCAGUCUAGAAAAUACAGUUGUUUGUACCAUAUUUGACAAAAUUAUUAUUUAAAAAUCAUAACUAAUUACCAAAAGCCACAAUAAAUCAAUAUCAAACAGAGUCUUAUUAUUAGCUAAAGGAGGAUGGUGCCUUAGCUGCCCUGGUGGAAUUGUAUAGAUUUUAAAGUUGUUGGUGACACUCAAUUUCAGCUUCAUGAACCGCAAUAUUUUCAAUACCAAGAUGGAGCAGAUGCUUCAAUACUGCCUGUACAAAUCAUAAAAAACUAAUAAAAAUAAAUAAAAUCGAGAAAUUUCACUAACUAAAAGUCUAAAUAUAAUUUUUGAAAAAAGAAAAGAAACGGACUUGCUGCUGCUUGGCGACUUGUUCUCGGAGCUUGAUUGCCUGUUUCUUGAUAGCUUCCAUACUGUUUCUUUCAAAAAGCAACGACGGCUCAGCUCAUGGAGGUGGAAAAAAAAAGUGUGAUCGAGAAAAAUAAAAAGGCAUGAAUAAUUUUUGACAAAAAGCGAAAAAUAAAAAGGCAUGAAUAAUGAAUAAUUUUUGACAAAAAGCUCUUUCCAGAAAAUAAAAAAAGAAAAAAGAAAAAAGAAAAUUAUAAGUUUGAAAGGAGUAGAUGAUAGUGGAAGUGUGGGG
rnacentral:lncRNA from 1 species